UUGAAUUUCGUGAACACACUUCCAUAUGCUAGAGAUAGAGUAGUUGAAUGCUACUUUUGGGCAUUAGGAGUAUAUUAUGAGCCUCAAUAUUCUCAAGCUCGUGUCAUGCUCGUUAAGACCAUAGCAAUGAUUUCGAUUGUGGAUGACACCUACGAUGCUUAUGGUACAGUUGACGAACUUGCCAUAUACACGGAUGUCAUACAAAGGUAUGGACUUCAUCAAUUCACUUGCUCAAAUAUACCUUGAAAGAGAAUAUCAUGAAAAACAUUAAACCAAGCAUUUGCUCAUUAUAUUUAUACUAAUUUACCUUAUCUUUGUCACCUUUCAGAUGGGAUAUUAAAGAAAUUGAUAGUCUGCCUGAUUACAUGAAAAUCAGUUACAAAGCUCUUCUAGAUCUUUACAAGGACUAUGAAAAGGAAAUGUCUAGAGAUGGAAGAUCUCACGUUGUUUAUUACGCAAAAGAAAGAGUGAGUCUCAACGACUUAACUAUCAAUUUACUUUUAUCCUUUAUACAUUUCUGUCUUUGCUAUUUCCUCACAUGUUUUUGUGAAUAUAAACUAGAGGUAAUUGGGUUACAAUUUUCUAACACUUUGAAUUUGUAUGCUUGGUUUUCACAGCUGAAAGAAUUGGUAAAAAGUUAUAAUAUUGAGGCAAAAUGGUUUAUUGAAGGACAUAUGCCUCCUGCUUCUGAAUACCUGCGCAAUGCAUUUUUAACUACCACUUACUACUAUCUUGCCACAACAUCGUAUUUGGGAAUGAAGUAUGCUAAGGAGCAGCAAUUUGAGUGGUUUUCGAAAAAUCCUAAGAUUCUUGAAGGUUGUGUGACAAUAUGCCGAGUUAUUGAUCACAUAGCCACAUACGAGGUAUGAGACUAUGAGUUGUAUAUCAUAAAGUCAUUAACAUUUUAAGUUAUUUGAACAAAUAGAUUGUUUUUAACAAUCGAAGAAAUAUAAAAGCUAAACCCUAAUUUAAUCGCCUUUGCAGGUCGAGAAAGACAGGGGACAACUUUCAACGGUAAUUGAGUGCUACAUGAGAGAUUAUAGUGUAUCGACAAAAGAGGCAAUGGCUAAAUUUCAGGAAAUGGGUGAGGCGGGAUGGAAGGAUAUUAAUGAAGGAAUGCUUAGGCCCACUCCCAUAUCUAUGGAGUUUUUAUCUCGCAUUCUCAAUCUUUCUCAGCUUGUUGACGUUACAUAUAAACACAAUGAAGAUGGAUACACUCAUCCCGAGAAAUUCAUAAAACCUCACAUCAUUGCCACGGUUGUUGACUCCUUCAAAAUUUAACCUGACAAUCGUUGGUUUAAGAAAAUCUCCACUCUCUUUGUCGAGAAAGUAAUACGUUUUUUUCUUAUUUUUUUUCACGCUUGUGCAGUGUAGUUCCUACCUAGGACCUGCUUAUAACAAGUUCCUUAUGUUUUUUACUUUCUUGAUUAAACAAGUAAAGUCAGAAUGUUUGUAGUUUCUAAUUCAGUAUGGUCCAUAGUAAUCCCUGUAUUUUGUAAUAAUGCAUAUGAUCUAUUUAUACUAUUCUGUCCUUUUAACCAAAAGUUUCAAUAUUGAAAUAUUUGACGAAGACAACUGUCAAUCAAAAUUGUGAGAGAAAGAUGUAUGUAACACCCCGCGUUUUCAAACUAGAAAUCAAAAUGUUGUUCCUACGUGUGCAAGCUCUAAUAGAAAUUAUUUCCAAGUGAGAAUAAGUGUCAUGAUCUAUAUCUUCGUGUUUGAAGUGCUUUUGAGGUGAAAAAUCUUCAUAGGAAUCACCCAAAACUAUCCAAAACACAAGAUUUAAGCCCCAAAGAGCUUUUGUUACAUCAUUAUUCUCUUUUCCUGUUUAAGAAAAUCCUAGAGCCCCAAAAAUCAAGAAUCAAGCUCCUAAGUAAAUAAUCCCAAGAAACUAAUCAAGAUUUGAAUUUUUAUCCUUUAAACUAAGUAAUCUAAGGUAUGUGAGAUUUCUCUAAACAUCAUAGGCAUAAUUUUUACUGUUUUUAUCUAUAUGAAGGAUCCCCAAUCAUGUUUUAUAAAGGAGUGUUUUGUUAUUAUAUUGAAAAUCAUGGAGUUGUUUUGAAGCAAGCAUAUGUUUGUCUCUAUCUAAAUUAGUCUUUAUAUUUCAUUUUAUUGUAAAGUGUGAAUAAGAGCAUGAAUGAUUAAACUCCCUCUCCUACGAUGUUAUUUUUUAUUUCAAGUAUGGUGGCUUGUGUAAAUGUAUGAAUUUCUUGAAAGGAAACUAAAUGAUGAAUGCUUUACUGAUGAUCAUGAACAAUUCUAUUUACUACAUGUAGAUGGGGUAUUUUUCUAUGGUAAAUGUCUACUUGGUCAAAUUAACACUUUUCAUGAGUUUUAAGUGGUGACCACCUAUUGAUUUUACAAUUGGGAGGAGAAUGUUUUGAUGAAAAUUUAAAUGAAAGGUCUAUUGCGUAACUCUCUCUCAUAAGAUGUUUAAAAGCUAGGGGUGGUCAUUAAUAUAAUAAUUAGUGGAAAGGGUUUUUGAUAUGAUAUGAUGUUAUUUGAUUAACUUACAAGUUAGGGCAUGACGAUACCCGAUGAUUUCAUGCCCUUAACAAGAUAGUGUUGAAUGUUUUGAAAGUAUGAACAUGUUUUCUUUAAAGAACUAAAGGUGGCGUUUGAGUGCAAGGGCUCAUCGUUGGAAAUCGUACUUGCUGAUGCGGGAAUUAUGAUAUAUGAUCCUACAUGAAAGGACAAUUUUAGGACAUCUCACAUGGGGGGAUUUCUUGUGGUAUGCUUACAUUGGGGUAUCACCACUCUAAUUUUGGUGGCUACUUAGAUUGAAGGCUUGGCUGCCGAGUCAAGGGAGGGUUCCACAUAGCCCGUGGAAUUCCAAAUUUGUAGGGUAUACCGACUAGCUCAGAAGAAUAAUAAAGGGUAAGUCUAAGUUUUAAAGAAUUGUUUUGAAAUACACUAAAGUAUGCCCAUGUAGUUUAACUUGCAUUGUGUUCAUGGUUAUUAUGAAUUCUCUCAUCUAUUUUGUAUAAAAAGCAUGCUAUUUUCAGGUUGUUUCACAUACCAGUACAAUUGUAUUGACACCCUAUAUUUUACGAUCUGAGGCACAGUCUCGGGGUCCCACUAAGCAGUUGGUAGAAUCCUGUUAGAGUCUGCAAUUGAUGAGUCUCCCCUUAUUUUGGAAGGCCUGUUGUAGAAUAUUCUUAGUUUAUUUUGAUUUAUGGCUGAAAGGGGGUCUUGUCCUAGUUUUUAGACGUAUAUUGGUCUUGGUAUUGUUAGAGAUUUCACAGACUGGUGUCGUGUGUUUUCAAACAUUAUCAAUUAAAUUUUGAAUUGUUCAUUUAAAGUAAGAGAGUAACCAUGUUUUCGUUUUUCCAUAUUUCCGUAUUUUCUUAUUGUAUAUAAAUUGUGUAUAUGAUUUCCCGAAAUGAGUCGCUUCCCUCUUUCCUUCACCACCAGUUGGAGCACAGUCUUCGCGGUCUCAAGGUUAUCAACAGGACAAGCCCAAUAACAUGGCUAUGAGCUUUUUCCUUACUCAGACCCCAAGUGGGCAGGGUGACAAGACUUUGAUGAAGGGCUCUCAGGCCUUCAAGGUUUGGGAUGCCCGUCACGGCCAGGACCUCAGUUCAGGUCAUGACAAACUUGGUAUCAGAGCAUGAUUCAUGGUCCCAGGGUGUCUCCAAAAUUGCAUCGGGUAGAAUCCUGUUUAUGGGUAUGUAGUGCACCACACUUAUAAGUAGGAAGCUACUAGGCAUUUAGGAAUGUUUCCCUUUUUUCAUGUUCUAGUUCACGCUAUGGAGUUAGAAUAUUCUUCUUUCAUACUCUAGUUCAUGUGAUGGCAUCGUCCAUACGAAAGUUAUCCCAAUUCUUUUCUUACCCUGAUGUUCUUAGAUAUGUCUCCUUGUUGAGGUGAUUCAAGUGUAGAAGCUUAAAGUCUAAAUGAUGUGGUUCUUAUUAAUUGAGUCAUAAACGAUUAUGAAAUUGCACAAGGACUUAAGGGGAGUCCAUAAGUGCUUUAAGGUGCAUUGAUUUAAGAUUGUACCCCUGUUUACAUCAAUCAUGCAUUUGAGCCUGAGGUAUAAAGCGUAUUUAGUCCCCUUCAUGAUUCUUGUUGCAAAUGUCAUGCUUAAGGCUAGUGAUAUAUGUCAGAAUGUUGGAAUAAUAUUUCCACCCAAGUAGUACUAUUUGCUAAGGUGUCAUACCCUAUUGGUAGUAAGAUGAUUAGUGAUAUAACAUCACCAGGUUAGAAUUUAGAAUGAGGGUGACUUUUGCGUAAGGAAGAUAGUUUAGUUAUAUAACCGUUGAUUGGGGGAUGGGUUGCCAUUUGAUAGUGAUAGAAUAAUGUGGUAGCAAUAUUUGUAGAUUGUAUGGUAGUUUGUGGAGAAAGUGUUUGACUAUGAUAUUAUCUAUUCAAAAUGGGGAUGGAGCCUAGAGUGGAUAGUUAUGAUGGUUAUAGAAAUCCCUUAUAGGCAUAGACUCAUUAUUGCAUAUGGAAUUUCGAAGGUAGUUGUGAUGUAUGCAUGGGUAAGUAACGAUGGAGUGAGAAAGUAGAAUAUGUUGAUGAGAUCGUAAUGGGUUAUCUUAUAAGGUUAAGAUCGACCGACUGUCCCUAUUAUGUGACUUUACCCCUUCCUUCUUUGAUUGUCUUUUCUUUGGUAAUUGUAAGCUAGUACUGCAUGUGAGAAGGUGUGCGGUGGAUUCUAAGAUGUGGUAGUAAUGUUGUGGAGAGAAUGAACUUGUGGGCGGUAGUUAAGUUAAAUGGCAUAGUUGGGUUGAUUCCCCAAUUUGAUGGAAUAGUUAGUAUGUGACUUGCUUUAUCGGUGCUAUAUUAUUGGUGUUGUUAGACAAUAGCCUUUGAACUUUAGAUGUGGAGUGUAGUGGUAAAAAUAGUAGCUUAAGAUUAAUAAUGCAUGUUUUGUGGGAGUAAGUAGUAGGCUUGAUUCGAUGUGUGCAAUAGCCUAGGUGAGCAAUUUGUGAAAAAAAAAGGGUCGAUAAUUUUGAUAUAUUUAUAUACAUGGGACUAGUGUUAUAAUGAUUAAUUGUGGUUGAAUCAUUAAACUCAUAGGAGUGUGGGUAUAUAAGAUUAAGUUGGCCCCCCCCUCAUUAGAUAAAGUUUUAUGUGUAUAAGUGUUUGGUGUACCUAGUCUUUUUUCUCAAAAUUUGUAGUAUGGAGACAUCUAGGGAAGACUAAGGAGUUGUUGUAUGGUUUUCUUUAUAGAUAAAUUGAGAAAAUACAGGUAGGCAAUAUGUGCCUUUGGUAUAGUUUGUAAAAUUUGUUAAGUUGUAAUGGUAUAUGGUUAGAGGUCUAAUGUUUGAAUGUUGAGUAGUGGAGGUCAGAUCAUUAUGUGAUAAGGAGUGUAGAUGCGGAUGUUCAUGAGAGUUUAAGUUGUAGGGUGAUGGUUAUAGAGGCUAGCUAAAGUCGAGAGUAGCAUUCCCGAUAAGCAAUGCCUUCAAAGUAUAGUUUAUCAGGGGAAGUUUAGAUUAUAUGUGUAUGGUGAUACCCCGUUGUGUUGAGAGUUGUGCUUGUAGAUUUAAUGACAAGAUAUGUCCUCAAGUCUAGGAUUGCGACUUUGAUCUAAAGGGGAGAUGGUGAAUAAAGGUAGUUCUUAAAUUUUCUCAGUGUGGCAAGUUACGGGGAGGAGUCAUGAUAAACCUAUUCCUAUUCACGAAUAUUCCUCCUGCUUCAAUUUAAGAGGUCAAUGUACCAAUGUCUUAUUUAUUCAAGUUCUGCCUAUGCCUAAGGUAUAAGAUCUCUAUGUAGCUCAUGUAAUGUUCUGACCUCGAAACUAGAAGAAAUGAUGUCUCAGUAAAUCUAGACUUUCAUGUAUUCAAUCUCUAUGUUAUGAUAUUCAUGAUCCAUAAAUCCAUGUCCCGGAUCAUGCUUUGUUCUAAGGAACUAUGUUUUCAUAUGUCGCUGACUUAUUUUAUGUUGGGAUUAGCCAAAAUAAUAAAGUUGUGCGAACUCAUGACAAUUUCAGCACUAAAAAUGAGAAGUGAUAGCUUCGAGUAGAAUUCCUUGUCUUAAGUGUUGACUUCAUGAAUUCCAAACUUAUGUUAUACAACCCAUGAUGUAAGCACUUAUGUUUCUCACUAUGGUCUAUACUAAGGAAUCAUGCUAUAUUGUGUUUAUGCCAGAGUAACUCUCUACUUAUGAUCAAAACACUUGAUAUAUGAAGCACUUCGUGAUUGUAUCAUAUCUCCACCUAAUGUUCUCAACAAAUAUGGUUUAUAAUUGAGUAGUGUUUCUCCCAUUCGUGAUGCUUAUGCUUGGGCCCCUUAAUGACCCAACGAAUGAUAGUAUGAUAAGUAGUUAUGGAAGAGUACCAGUGACUUAGGAAGGGGGAGUAGAUGUUCAUGAAGGUGAAAAUUUUGAUGUGAUUUCCUUAUUUAAGGUUUUAAGUGAUAGAAGAAAGAAGGGGAUGAACUUUUAUUAUGAAUAGUAGUAGGGAUGAAGGUAUGUAGCGAAAAUACUUGUAAGAAUGAUUGAAACUAUGGGUCUUAAUGGAGAGACCCAUUAAGUAGGUGUAGUAAUGAUAGGCUCGAAAGUUGUGAUUGAUGAAAACACAAACCGAUGUGCCAUGUGGUUAGUAUUCCUUGAAUUAAGACUUGAGGUUGUUGGAUUAUAGUGAUGAGGUGAGGUGAUUUCUUAGUGUGAUGUUGAGUACGUGGUCCCAUAGUUUAAGUUAGCACCUUUUAACUUUGAAUUAGGCUUCAACAUGGAAGUAUUGUGUGUGGGAACUCAAACUCUUCUGGUUAGAAGUGUUAUGGGAGAAUUGUGAGUUGGAAAUGAUGAAGAAUGUUAAUUGUUGGUUUGGGGCAUAGAAAAGUAGUGUCUCUAAGUUUAAGUCUUUUCGUUGUAUCUUGUAAGAUGGAGAAUGCUUCUAUUCUUAUGUCUCAUGAGAACCUCAUCUCAUGUCUUGUACCAAUUUUAAUCAGGCCGAGGAUUCUUAGGAAAAUUCAUGCCUUACAAUGUUUUGAUCUUGUGCCAAAAAACACAUGCCAGAAUCAUGUCGAUGUCAAGUUUCCUUAUCUCAUGUUUCGUGUUUACACAUUUCCCUAGGGGUUAUCAUGAAGCUUGUUUGAUGCCUUUGCAUCUUUUGUUGAGGAAAAUGUUCAAUGCGAUAUUACGUUCUUUAUUCUACAGUUUUAGAACUUCCAAAAGUCCCUACCGAUCAUUUAGGGACGAAUGAUACCAAAGGGGAGAUAAUGCAACACCCACAUUUUCAAACUAGAAAUCGAACUAUUGUUCCUACGUGUAUAAGCUCUAACAGAAAUUAUUUCUAAGUGAGAAUAAGUGUCAUGAUCUAUAUCUUCGUGUUUGAAGUACUUUCGAGGUGAAAAAUCUUCAUAGAAAUCACUUAGAGCGAAGUUGAGCUAAGAACCUUUGAUUCGGCUAAAUCUUCAUAUUCGAUUUUACAAGGAUCUACUUUGAACGUGUAUAACUUUUAAUACAAGUAGAAUUUUUUAGCUCAAGACCCACCAAAUUGUAGAUAAUUGAUUCAUCUUUUCAACUAUACCAAUUUUACCUUAAUCUGAUACCCGAGUGAAAAGUUAUAGCCAUUUUUGUGAGAGAGGCAGUGAGGUCACGCGAUUAGCAUGCGACGCACGCUUCAUUUCACCCCUUAUUUUCCAGUUUCUGUUUUCCUUCUUUUUGAGGGCAAUACUGGAAUUUACCUCACCCAAAACCAUCCAAAACACAAGAUUUAAGCCCCCAAAGAGCUUUUGUUACAUCAUUAUUCUCUUUUCCUCUUCAAGAAAACCCUAGAUCCCCAAAGAUCAAGAAUCAAGAUCCUAAAUCAAGAAUUCCAAGAAACUAAUAAAGAUUUGGGUUUUUAUCCUUCAAACUAAGUAAUCUAAGGUAUGUGGGUGUAACACCUCGCACUUUCAGCCUAAAAUUUAAACCAUCGUUACUACGUGUAUAGACCCGAACAAAAUGAUUCUUUGUUAAUAUAUGUGUGGUGAUGAAUCCUACAGUGUGGUAAUAUAUUUGAACAUGAAUUGAGUUUACAAAAAUCCUCUAACACAAAUAUGAGUUGAAAACUCUUCUAUCGAUUAAGUUUUGGUGAACGUCUCAGCUUGGGGUCAACUUCCAUCAGCCAUAACUUCUUGUAUAUAAUGAGUUAGAGGGCCUACUAUAUAUCAAAUGAAAGGUCUUUGAGUCUUAUUUCCAAUUUCACCGAAAUUUCCUUAAUCUAAUAUCUUGGUAAAAAGUUAUGCCCAUAUUACAAAGAGGUGUCAGCCUGCCAAAUUGUGACGAACAGAUUAUCAGACCAUCAAUGUAACACCCCGCACCUUCGGGCUAGAAUUUAAACCGCCAUUCCUAUGAGUAUAGACUCGAACCAAAUGAUAAUUUUUUAAUAUAUGAGUGGUGAUCAAUCCUAUCAUGUGGUAAUACAUUUGAACAUGAAUUGAGGUCACAAAAAUCCUGUAACUCAAAAACGAGUUGAAAACUCUUCUAUCUAUUAAGUUUUUGUGAACGUUUCAACUUAGGUAAAUUUCAAUCAGCCAUAACUUCUUUUAUAUAACGAUUUAUAGGGCUUACUAUAUAUCAAAUGAAUGUUCUUUGAGUCUUCUUUCUAAUGUAACCGAUUUUGCCUUAAUAUGAUAUCAUAGUAAAAAGUUAUACCGAUUUUACAGAGAUGUGUCAGUCUGCAAAAUUGCAAUGGCCAGACUGACGGACCAUCAAGCCAGUGAUGGCCCGUCAAAUUAGGCCAUCAACUUGAAACAAAAAACUCAAAAUCUGUUUUUUUGUGACGGUUUGAGUGACGACCAGUCACGGGAGUGAUGGUCCGUCAUCCAGGCCGUCGAUAAAGGCCAAACAACGUUAAAGUGUAAUUUUAAAGGGAUAUUUUGGUACUUUCUCAUUCCAAACUCCUUCCCCACAUAUUUAAAUAAUACCAUUAGCGUUAUAAUCCAUAUUUUAUCAGUUUUACAACAUCUCAAUCCUCUCUACUGUGAAGAAUAAGAGAUAUUAGGGUUUUCUCUAAGAACAAAAAAUCAGGAAGCUAAUCCUUUCAAUCAAAGAUUCCUAAGAAACGAAUUAAGAUUUGGAUUCCAUCCUUCAACCUAAGUAAUCUAAGGUAUGUGGGGUUUUCCUAAACAACAUUGGAAUGGUGAAAUGAUUUUAAUAAUAUUUUGAAUGUUGAGAAAUCAUAUAGUUACAAAAGGGUUCUUAAAUUUCACUAAGAAGUAUCCAUUAUGAACUUUUAGUUCUCGAGGCCUUCCCUUCAACUUGAAUUUGCUACUCGUGUAUAUCUAUAUAUGGCUUUCUAGUUUUCAAAUAUGAAUUGAGAGUGUGAAUAAUGUAUUUCCCUCUAUCAUUGCAUUAUUUCUUGAUUUCACAUGUUAUGAAUUACUCAACUGCAUGUCUUACAACAUGAACUAAGGGUUUUACUAUCAUUUAUGAACUUAUGUCGAUUGUGAAUUGAAGAGAGGGAUAUUUUAUUGUUUGUAAAAGCUGAAUGUGAAAAUCAAAAGAAUUGCAUGAUUAUUCUGACCACCAUUUAUUGAUAUGCUGAAAAGAGAGGAUUUUGCAUAGUUUGACAUAUGUUUGGAAAUAUGAGUUCUCUUGUACUGUUUGACUAUUUUGGUGGUCUAUACAUUGUUUUGAAUGAAAGAGUUGUAACAUGAUAAUAAAUGGCUUAGACAUACGACUUGAAAGUCUUUCUAUGACGAUACCAAAUAGAUGAAUACCAUAGCAGAUUCAGAACGGACUAGAAUACAAAUUUUACUCAGAUUUUGAAUUCAAAAAAAUGCAUGAUUAGAAAAGGUAAAAAAUGGGCAUAAAGAGAGUUAGAUGGUUACCCGAAUAAAGUACGAGUUGAAAGACUCAACACUGGAAGCCGUGAUUUACCGACAAGGAAUUAUGAUACCCUACUUUGUGAUCUUGUGUUCCUUGAUUCAUGUCAUCCUAAAUUGGGAAUAUGUUUAGGAGCCCUGCUUUGUGAUUUUGUGCACUACUGUGACAUGUUUAUUUGAUUGGAGAUUUUGGGACCCUGCUGUGUAAUCUUGUGUCUCCCCCUUAUAGAUACUUUAAUCCUUACAGCAAACUUGGAUUGGGGGCUUGGCCACCGAGUCAAGGGAUUAUUCCAUAUAGUCCGUAGGAUUGUAAAAGUGUAGCAUUUACUACCUAGCUCAGAAGUAAAACUAAGAGAGAGUUUUGGUUUCAAAGAAUUGUUUCAAAUUCUUUUAAGCUUGCCCAUGUGUUUUCUUAUAUCUUAUGUAACUUGUUUUUAUAAAUUUCUAUCACUUAUUCUAUAUAUAAAUACAUUAUUUUGGAUUGCUCUACGUACCAGUACAUCUGUAUUGACCCCCUAUAUUUUAGGAUCUAAGACACAGUCUCGGGGUCCCACUAAGUAGUAGAUUGGGUUGUCCGAAGUCUGCAGUUGGUGAGCCUGCCUUAUUUUAGAAGGUCUUAUUGAUUUGACAUUGAUAUUUCAUUUUGUCUUAUGGCCUGACUUGGGCCAGACAGUAGUGUUUUUGAGUUUUUAGAGAUUUCGCAUACUAGUGUCAGGUGUUUUUUUCUGGAAUGUUUCAUGAACUCAUUUUCGUAUUAUUCAGUUGAAGUAAAAGAAUGACCAUGUUUCCAUCUUGUCAUAUUUUUCAACAUUUUCCUUACUAUAUAUGAAUUGUGUAAUUGAUUGCCAGUUAGAGAAGGGAUCUCAAACCUUAAUGGUUCGGAAUGCUCGUCACGACCUGGGACUCAAUUCGGGUCGUGAUAGUGGGACUACUCUAGACAUCAUGGGCAUAACUUUUAUUGAUUUAAUCUAUAUACAAGAUCCCCAAUCAUGUUUUAUAAAGGAGUGUGUUGUUAUUAUAUUGAAAAGUAUGUAUUAAGGAGUCCUUAUGAAGCAAGCAUAUGUUCGUCUCGAUCUUAAUUAGUUUUCACGAAAUUAAAAAAUUUCAAUAUAUAUAUAUAUAUAUAUAUAUCAAACUAGGGCUUAAAACAUUUGUUUCAAAACUAUAUAAACACAUGGCACAAUAUCAUGUUCUAUAUACCAUUUAUACAUAUAUAUAUACAUGCACACACACAUAAAUAUAUGAUUUAAUUGUAUUGUAAAGUGUGAAUGAGAGGAUGAAAGGAAACUAAAUGAUAAAUGCUUUACUGAUGAUCAUGUACAAAUUGGUUUACUACAGGUAAAUGUCCACUCGGUCAAAUUAACACUUUUUAUGAGUUUUAAGUAAUUACAAAUAUGAGGUGAUCACCUAUUGAUUUUACAAUUUAGAGGAGAGUGUUUUGAUGAAAAUUUGAAUGAAAGGUCUAUUGUAUAACUCUCUCUCAUCUUAUGUUUAAAAGAUAGGGGUGGUCAUUAAUAUGAUAAUAGGUGAAAAGGACUGCAAAUAUGAUGUGAUGUGAUUUGAUUGACUUGCAAGUCAGUGUAUGAUGAUACUAUAACGCCUCAAUUUUUCUGAACUGAAAUACUAUAUGGUGCUCAGACCCCGAAGGACAAUAAUCUAACCCAUGACUGAUAUUUGUACCUGUACACUGCAUAAUAUUCUGUAUAAAUACGACAACAUGUACUGAGAGGCCAUAAGGUUCAAACUAGAUAAACAUCUGAUAAAACUAUGUCUGAAAGCGGUAUAACAAUACCAAAACAAAUCUAAAAUAAUGGUCUGAUAUCCUAUAGUCAAAAAGCCUCUAAAAUGUCUGAAUAAGGAGUUUAUGGGACAUGUCCCUAACUAACUCCAUCUACUGAAAUAAACUGGAAACUAAAAUAGUAAUGUAAUCAUCAUGUCCUCGAAAAAUGAGGACUCACUUCUAACUCUGACCGCUGAGACUAGAAUCUACUGCUGAUUUGGAGCUCGUUCCUCUAAACCUAUGGUAUAAGACACCAUAGCGCAAAUGCGUUAGUACUUUGAAUGUACUGGAAUGCAAUUGAGGUAGGCUAAAUGCAUGGGGUUCAUAUGCAUGAACAAAUAUAACUGACUGACUAACAUGAAUGUAAGAAUACAUGCAUGACUACAUAACUGUAACUGAGAUCGUAUUGGGACUGAAUACUAUGUUACUGAACAUAGAUAACUGUAUCUAACAGUUCUAAUUAUGAAGAAUUAUUCUGGUUUACUAUAUCUAACAGUCCUGAAGCUAAAAACUGAUUACAUAUGUUUUGAUAACUGAUAACAUGAGUGACUGUAUUUGACAGUCCUGAAUCUAAUGGAACUAGCUGAGUUCUACACUGCAUCUGAUUUACUGAAUCUUAGAUCAGUCCUAUAUAGUGGGUGAUCUCUAAAUCUGAUAAUACUAAUACUAAUUGACCAUAGUUGAGAUCAUUCUUAUCUAGUGGAUGAUCUCAGGGUUUAUUUAUAAUGAUAAGGAGUGACUGUAUCUGACAGUCUUAAAUCUAUACUACUAAGCUAAAUUGACUGUAUCUGACAGUCCUGAUUCUAUAACUAAAACUGUGGGAUGUGAUCAUCUAACCGACAUGACCAAUGCUAAGCUAACUGGGGUCCAACCUUUAACCCCAGCUGAAAGGGUAUCAGUACCAUGCCACUAGUAAAGACAACUGCUGUGGAGUCAGUCCUAAUCUAGUGGGUGACCUCUGGGAUCAGUCCUCUGGGAUCAGUCCUAUACAUUUAAAUACGCUAAUGGGUGAUCCCUGAGUAUGUCAGUCAUAUUUAAUGAGUGAAAUCUCAUACCUACACUAGCUACGUAGUUCUGGAACUUAGGGAUUGCUUCUAGGGAUCUCAGUCCUAUCUAGCGGGUAAGUCCCCAUCCUUAGGCUCGCUUGGUGCUGAAUCCUACUCUCAUCUGAAAGACACUAAACUGAACUGAUUGGCUGAACUAAAUUUACUAAGUUCCGUUGACUGACAGAAUGUACUGAGUUCUAAGGAAUGACUGAGAAUACUGAAGUUACUGAGAUUGUUUGGGAAUACUGAUGUUAUUCAGAAUGCUGAACUACUGAAAUUACUGAGAUUUCCUGAGUCACAUAACUGACUGAGUUCUAUGGAUCAUAGCUUGACUGAGGAGAUUGUGAAAACAUGACAUGGCUCUAGGCACACAGCUAAAUGUUCGGGUACAAGUACCCUAAGGACUUGAUAAGAAAAAAUUGACAUAGCAUGUCUUACUUGAACACAUGACCAACAACACAAUUCAUAAUUCAUAUAUUGAAGAACUUCAUCAAACAUGUGAUAUGUAUAAAUUUGUACAUACUGGGGAUUUCAUGAUAUCAUACUAGUUGGGCAUUGUUCGUUCGUUUAGGCAUUUAAUCAAACACAUGGUACGCAUAACAAAUGUAGACAUCAUUAUACAAUAAUUAAUCAUCAUGAUUCAUCUCUAAUUUCAUUAUCCAAGGGUUUUAAUCCUAGGUUUACACGAAUCUACAUCAUUACUAGUCGAUUACAUAUGCAAUUUAUCACCAAACAUGGAUUAGAAUGCAAUUAGUCAUUAUCAAUAUGAACAAGAGCAAUCCAAUCAUGAAAUUCAUAAAGAAAAUCCAUAACUUGAAUUUAGAAAAGAGAUUCUUAGAUUUCAUAGACGAAAGGAGUCCAUGAAUGAACACUACGCACACCUUAGCUUGUGAUUUCUAUGAAGAUUGACGGAGAGAUUCUUGAAAUUUGACGGUGAAUUCCCUUGUAAUUAAACCUUCUAUUAAAACCCUAUGGCUUGUUCUUGAGAGUUUUUGAGAGUAAUUGAGUAUAAGCUACCAAAUUAUGGCCAAAUCUCGUGUUAUAAGGCUUAUAUAGGGUGGAAAAUUGACCCUUUUAACCCUAGGAAGCGUCUUUAAUUUCUGAGAAAAUUUUUCGAUUUUCAUCCUUGGCGCGACGCGCCACUAUCGUGCCAAGUCACUGGAAAGUGACAAAUGGAAAGUUGUACGGUGGCGCGACGUGGAGCUAUCGCGUUGCCACCUUGUUUAUGACUUGGAAGUUUGACACAACACGCCACUAUCACGGAGCAACACUGGAAAUUGACAAUUUCCAUUUGACCUAUCUCCGCGAUGCGCUGAAGGCUCAGGUGAUACAUUAUCUCACUAAAAAGGCUCUAACUCUUCACCCGGGUGUUGGAUUUGGGUGAAUUUGGUAUCGAUGGAAAGUUUGUUUGAUUCCACGCAUGAUAAAAAGUGAAAAUCUUGAAAAUACCUCGUGUAAAAAAGUAGAUUCAUCUUUCAAAGAAAGCUUGUAACAUUCUUGGGGAAACUUUUCAAGCUAGGAAAAGUACGGGGUAUUACAGAUACCCUAUGAUUUCAUGCCCUUAACAAGAUAGUGUUGCAUGUUUUGAAAGUAUGAACAUGUUUUCUUUAUAGAACAAAAAGUUGGGUUUAAGAGAGCUAGUAGGUUACACGAAGAAGGCAUUUGAGUGCAAGGCCUCAUCAUAGGAAACCGUAAUUUCCGAUGCAGGACUUAUGAUUGAUGAUACUACAUGAAAGGAUAUUUUUAGGACAUCUCAUAUGGGGGGAUUGCCUGCAGUGUGAUCACAUGGGGGUAUCACCACCCCAAUCGUUACGGUUACUUGGAUUAGAGGCUUGGAAGUUGAGUCAAGGAAGUGUUCCACAUAGCCCAUAGAAUUCCAGAUUUGUAGGGUGUACCGACUAGUUCAGAAGAAUAACAAAGGGUGAAUUAAUGUUGUCAAGAAUUGUUUUCAAGUACACUAAAGUAUGCCCAUGUAUUUUUACUUGUAUUGUGUUCAUGGUUAUUACGAAAUGCUCUCAUCUAUUUUGUAUAAAAAGCAUGCUAUUUUUGGUUUGUUUCAUACUAGUACAAUUGUAUUGACUCCUAUAUUUCAGGAUCUGAGACAUAGUUCUGGGAUCCCACUAAGCAGUAGGUCCAAUAUUGUUAGAGUUUACAGUUGGUGUGCCUCCCCUUAUUUCGGAAGGCCUGUUUAAUAAUAUUUUUAGUUAAUUUUGAUUUAUGGUCUGACUGGGGGUCUUGUCCUUGCUUUCAGAUAGAUAUUGGUCUUGGCAUUGUUAGAGAUUUUGCAGACUAGUGUUGUGUGUUUUCAAACGCUAUGAAUUAAAUUUCAUAUUGUUCAUUUGAAGUAAGAGAAUGACCAUGUUUUUGUUUUUCCAUAUUUUCACAUUUCCUUACUGUAUAUGAUUUGUGUAUAUGAUUUCCAAUUAGAGAAGGGCUCUCGGUCCUUCAUGGUUUGGGAUGCCUAUCAUGGCCUGGGCCUCGGUUCGGGUCGUGGCAAUGUACCUACUAGAAUUGGAAAUAAAGAAGGAAAAAUGUACCCCCUUCUCUUCUCUUGUUUAUUCUUUUGGUCAACGGGAAACAUUUUAUUAUUCUACUCCAAUAGCUAUUUACAAGCCCCACGACCAAAACCAAAAUAGGAAAACAAAAAUCUCAAAAAGGAUCCAGUUGUUCUAUAGUUCCUGUCACUGGAAAGAAAAGAAGAACUGAGAAGUAACAAGUUAAAACAACAACAAAAUGGAUCUGUAAAUUGCUGCUAGAAAACAAACUAUGGAGAAAGAAGAAGAGCUGAAAUUUGUUGAGUACUCUAUUUAUUUCUCUUGAUAGAUAACUACAUAGGUGUCAUGAGCUGAGCUGAGACACUGGCCGCGAUAAGCAUGUCGAACCAUAAAGGCCCGAGUUCCCCUUCUAACUGGUAAUCAUAUGUAUAAUUCAUCUACUAUAAAUGAAUGCAGAAAACAUAACAAAACAGAAACACGGUCAUUCUCUUACUUCAACUAAUCAAUACGAAUAUGAGUUCAUAAACAUUUAGAAACAUCUAACACCAGCUGCAAAUAUCUAACAAUACGAAAACAAUAACUGUUUGUGACCAGGACAAGGCCCCCAUUUUGACCAUGAACUAAAAGAAAAUAAAGAUAUAGCAUGAACCAAGGUCCUACGGAACGAGGGAGGCUCACCAACUUCAAAGUCUAAUAAACUGAUCUACUGCUUAGCGGGACCCCGGGACUGUGCCUCAGAUCCUGAAAUAUAGGGGUCAAUACAAAUGUACUAGUAUGUGAAGCAACCCAAAAUAGCAUGUUUUUAUUUAAUAUAAGUGAGAGCAUUUCACAAAAACAAUAAACAUAAUACAGGUAAAAAUACAUGGGAACCUUUUAAUAAAUUCCGAAACAAUCCUGACAACUUUGAAUCACUCUUUAUUUUUCCUCUGAGCUAGUCUGUACACCCUAUAAUAUGUAAUUCCAUGGGCUAUAUGGAAUCGCCCUUGAUUCGAUGUCCAAGCCCCCAAUCCAAGUUUUCCACAAGAAUUAGAGUAUUCAUGAUAUGGUACACCCCUUACACGUGUACCGUGGCAUCACCCUUGCAUAAUGUCCAAAAUUAUCUCCUUUUGGAUAAUACCCGUAUCGGCAAACCAUGGUUUCCAGCAAUGAGCCCUUGUAUUCAAAUGCCUUCUUUGGGUAACCAGCUAGAUCUCUUAAGCCCAAUUUUUAGUUCCUUCAAAACCAUGCUUCACAUUUUCAAAUCAUUCAAUACUUAUUCUGUUAAGGGCACGUUAUAAUCGGGUACCAUCAUACCCAGACUUGUAAGUCAUUUAUGUUACAUCAUAACAUAUCAAUAGCCCUUUUUAUUAAAGAAGUCAUAUAGAUGGACACCCCAAAAGAUUCAAAUGUUUCUUGAGGUCAUUAAUAAUUCAAAACAUAUGAAAAUGUAUAUAAAACACUUUUCUGAAACACAUAAUCAUAUGAUGGCCUGUCCUUCUUUGAAACACAUGCAUUUCUUUCUCAUACAUAAUCAUAUGAUGGCCUGUCCUUCUUUGAAACACAUGCAUUUCUUUCUCAUAACAAAAAUGAACACUUGUAAAUAAGGAGUGCUACCCUUUCAUAAUGUCAUAAACCAUGUCAACCAUGAGUAUAUGGAGGAACUUAAUUUCAAAACCUUAAUUCAUGCAUUCGAAAUAACUCACAAUUCAAAUAGACAAUAUAUUUCAUAUCAAGAGAGGGAAUUCAUUGUUCAUGCUCUCAAUUAAACUUUUCAAAAUUGAGAUCAUAUAUAAAUAAGGCACUAUAAUUUGAUUACACGAAAAAGAGUCCAAAUACAAUCUAUACACUUUCAUCAAAAUGAUUUCAUGACAUGCUUUUCGAAACAAUAUUCAACACACUUCUUGCAACAUGAUUAUAAAUCCUUACACUUUAUAAAAAUAAAAAAACCUUAGGCCCAUAGAGUGUAGGGUAGUCCCAUAUACCUUAAGUCCCUUAAUUUGAAGAAUGAAGCCCUAAUCUUGAAACUUUUCUGGAGAAUCUGUAAGUUAGAAGGCUUGAAUUCUUGUUUUGGGGAAAGGCUAGGGUUUAGUUUAGAGAAAAAUUAAGGAAUUUUGGGAACAUAAUGCCCUAAUGAUGACUUAAUCUUGCAAUAUUAUGAUUUGGGUUGAUGUGGGAAAAGACCCAGUUGCCUGUCACUCAUUUAAACCAAAAAUUCAUAACUGAAAUGCAGAUUGAAGGCUCAUCGCGACGCGGUCUAAUCGUAGUGACCUGUUGGUUCUGAGAAAAAUGAUCGUAAAUUUUCACUUAGGUAUCAGAUUAAGGCAAAAUUGAUAUUGUUGGAAAUAGAAUUCACUUAUCUACAGUUUGGUGGAUUUUGAGAUGAAAAAUUUCACAUACAUCAAAAUUUAUACACUUUUAAAGUUGACCCUCAUAGAAUCGAAUACCAAACUUUAGAUGAAUCUAAGAUUCUUAGCUCAACUUGGCUUUAAGUGAUUCCUAUGAAUAUUCUUCAUCUCAUAAGCACUUCACACUCUAGGAUAAAGAUCAUGAAACAUGUAUGCAAUUAUUUAUCAAGAACUUGAAGAAAACACUUCACUGCAAUGUGGUUAUAUGGUCAUCGCUAAACCCACCAUGACGCGCCACUAUCGUGGUGAGGAUCUGGAAUAGAAAUCCAAGCGUGCCCUAAAACUUGUCCAAAAAAUUCAAAAUUCCCCUGAGACAUACUUCUUAUAUCUCUGAACAUGAAUCAACUCAAAAAAUUAUGUCUCAGGGUCGAUAAGGUCAGUUUAGAAGCCCUCAAAGUUUAGAGGUCUUGAAGAUGACUAAGCACCCCAACACUUAGUGAAAAUUUUGAGCCUUAAGUCCCUUAAACAUACAACUAAAAGAUGAAUUAAUAUAAGAAUAGUAUAGAGUGUUACAGUUAGGUUCAUAAAUGUAUGAAAGACUGUUUAACCUUAGCUCGAAAGUGUGGGGUGUUAUAAUAGGCUACACAUUUAUAUAGUUUGUGUGUGAGGAAUAUAAACCACAAAAUAAGAAAAAUAUCUCAAACAGUACUAAGUACAUAUGUUGCCAACUAAUUACCACUCAUUAUAAAUAGAACACUUGUCUACUACAAAAUAUCUACUAACUAGGAGUUUCUAGAUAAAUCAUAAUUUCCUAACACUUCACCUUAAGAUUUUUCAUUGAUAUUCCCUGCAAUGACCUUUGAAACUCAAACUUAAUAGUGGGAAGAGCCUUAGUUAUAAUAUCGGCUUGUUGUUAUUCACUUUUGCAAUGCAUUAGCUUAACUUCCCCCUUCUUCUCGGCAUCUCGCAACACAAAGAAUCUGAUGUUGAUAUGCUUCGUCCUUCUAUGCUGCACUAGAUUUUCAGCCAUAGAAAUAGCUGAUUUAUUGUCAAUAUAGAUAAUGGUUGUUUUUUUUUGGCAAAAGAUCCAAUUCAAAUAAGAUUUUUCUCAACCAAAUUUCUUAUUGCAACCACAUACUCGGCUUUAGCUGAAGAUUGAGCUAUGAUAUCCUGCUUUUUUGUGGUCCAUUAAAAAAUGCCUGAACCAAAUAAAAUAGUGUAACCAUAUGUGAUUUCAUAAUUUUAACAACCCCAACUUAGGAUAAAGAGUCCCAUAAGUAAGACUUACUCCUUAGUGAUGUAUUUUAAAGUCGUAUGGUCCUGGUCCUAGAACGGAUAAUAUCACUAGUGGGUUGGUCCAUUAUAGGGGUCUCUCGGGCCUUGAUGGUUUGGGAUGCCCAUCACGACCAGGGCCCCAGCUUGGGUCAUGAUAGAAUAGUAUCGGAGCUGCUCCUGUAUCAGCCUUGUCUGCCAGAGUUCAAAUUCCGAGUUUAGGAAAAUCAUAAUAAGGCAGGGCAAACCUCAGUCCUGAGUCUAGGAAAAUCCCAUUUAGUAUGGAAAAUCCCAUUCAGUAUGGGAAACCUCAACGAGUACUCUGAGUCCAUAAGGGGGUGUAUUUAACAACCCCAAUGUAGGAUAUGGAUUCCUACAUCGGCAAAAUAUAAAAGGGUUGCUGGUUAUAUAAGUAAGCAAGACAUACUCCCUAGUGAUGCAUUUUAAAGCCGUACGGGCCUAGACACAGAUAGAAUAAUAUCACUAGUGGGUUGGGCCAUUACAAGGGUCUAUUGAGGCUUGAUGGUUUGGGAUGUCCAUUGCGGCCAAAGCCCUGGCUCGAGUGGUCACAGUAAUCAUCCAAGCAUCCACCCUAGUCACUAUUUGAAUUGACAAUAAGAGACCUAUUCUCCACACUUUAAUACAAAAUUCCCUAAUCUGUUCUCCCUUUAAUGUACCUCAGCACCCUUUUAGCAGCUCCAAAAUUCUUGGUGCUGGGACAUUGCAUAUAUCGGGAUAAUAAACUAGCAGAAAAUAUCACAUCUAGCCUGAUAGCAGUCAGAUUCAACAAGCUUCCAAUAAGGCUUCUAUAUAGUUGUGAAUCUUCCCUCUCUUCUCUAUCAUCCUUCAUUAACUUUUCAUUCACAACAAGUGGAGUUACAACAGGUUUGCACUAAUCAAGCUUGAACCUUUUUAAGAGAUUCAGGGCAUACCUCUUUUGGGACAAGAAAAUUCUUCCAGAAGAUUCAGAAAUUUCCAUUCCCACGAAGAACUUCAUCUCCCCUAGAUCAGACAUUUCAAAAACUUUUAACAUCGAAUUAUAACUUUUUGAACCACAAGAGAAUCUUCACCUGUGAUCAUCAAAUCAUCAACAUAAAUGGAUAUCAUAAUUAAACUCCCAUCAACUUUACUUUUAACUUUCCUUUUGAAGUAUAAAGUAGGCUCAUUUAGGAUUCGGUUGAAACCUUGAGAUUAAGAGGUAGCAAAUGAGUAUCCAGGCUACUGUACUUAGCUUUCAGGGCACUUUUAAGGCCAUAAAGAGCUUUUUUAAGCUUAUACACCUUGUCUUUUUAAGGCCAUAAAAACCUUUAGUUGUUCAACAUAAAUAUCUUAUUUAAGAAAUCCAUUUAGAUAUGUAGAUUUGACAUCUAAAUGGUAGAUUUUUCACUUGUAUUGUGUUGCAAGAGAAACCAGAAAUUUUACUAUUUCAUGCCUCGUGAUAGGAGAAAACAUAUCUCCAAAGUCUACUCCAACUGCUGGAAAUAGCCUUUAACUAUGAGCCUAGAUUUAUGUUUGAAGAUGAAGCCAUCUAGAUUGAGCUUUAUUCUAUAGACCCAUUUGACACCAAUCAUGUUCUUUUGUUUAGGCCUAUCAUCCAGCACCCAAGUAUCAUUUUUAUUAAUCAUGGCAAGAUCAUCCUCCAUUGCAGAAAUCCAAGCUUCAUAACCUGCUUCUUCUUUAAAGGAAAAUGGUUCCACAAGAGCAUAAUUGCAUUGCUCAUAAACUUCAGCUAGUGAUCAGAUUUUGAGCUGCAAUUGGAGUACUCCCAUCUUGGUUCCUUACAAUAGUAUCUCGAUCCCAAUCAUAGGGGCUAGACUCAUCUACCAUAAUAUUUCUACUGAUAAGCCCCUUCUUUGUAUGAAUAUUAUACACUUUGUACCCUUUUACAACUAUGCUAUAGCCCACCAAAAUACAAAGUUCUGCCUUGUUAUCCUAUUUGCCUCUUUUAGCAUCAGGAACAUGUGCAUAGCAGAUUGAACCAAAGACUUUUAAGUGUCUCGGAGAUGGAUUUAUACCUUUCCAUGCUUCAAAUUGUGUCAUUUCUUGGAUUUUUCUAGUUGGUAAUGUGUUCAAAAAAUAGACUACGGUGUUAACUGCCUCAUCCCAAAAACAUUUGGGUAUCUUCUUUUCUGCUAGCAUACAUCUCACAUCUCCAUCACCGUUCUGUUCUUUCUCUUAGAAACCCUAUUUUGUUCUAGAUUGUAGCUCACAGUAAAUUGUUGUUCAAUGCCCACAUCUUUACAAUACUUGUUGAACUAAUGUGAAGUAUAUUCAGUUCCAUUAUCAGACCAAAUAUACUUCAACCAGCAGCCACUCUGCCUUUUCUACCAUAGCCUUGAAUUCUUUGAAAUUAAAAAACUCUUGAAUUUUGCUUCUUAAAAAAUAGACCCAUAUAAUUCGAUUUAAAUCAUCUAUAAAGUGAAAAUAUUUAUUCCCUACUUAAAGAAGAUAUCCUCGUUGGUCCACAUAUAUAUGUAUGAACUAACUCUAGCUUUUUCUUUGCCCUCCAAAGACUUCCUUUAGAAAAGGAUUGUCUAUUUAAUUUAUCAAAUUGACAUGACUCACAAACAUCUCGUUACAUGUCAUUUUGGGUACAUCAAGCACCAUACCCUUGGAUUGCAUACACACCAAUGAACUAAGUUUUUACUGACCGAAUCUUUUAUGCCAAAGCCGAGUAUCACACAUUUCAACAUUGAAAGAACAACUUUCAACAGAAUAGCAUGAAAUUGGAAAGGGAUUACCAAUCAUGCUAAUUUUAUCUACUUCACUACCUUUAGGAUCAUAAAUGACAUAUUUUUAUCCUUAAAAGUAAGUGAAUAAUUAUUGUGAAACAACUGCGCAACACUCAACAAGUUUUGAGUCAGGCUUGGCACAUAAAGAACAUCAUUUAUGAUUUUCAUACCUUUGUACGUAGGGAAUUUCACUGAUCCUCUUCCUUGAGCUUGCACUAGUGUACCAUCUCCAAGCUUUACUUUAUUCCUAUUAGGCCUGUCCAAGCUAAAAAUAAACUUUCAUCAAUCUCCAUGUGCCUUGUGAACACACUAUCAACAUACCAAUUAUAUCGAUCAAUAUAUGAUGUGUGCAAAGCCAUGAAUACCUCCUCCUCUGAUUUUUCAACUUAAUGAUUUUUCACAAAAUUUACUCGUUGGGAAGACUGACCACUUUGAGCUUGCUUUGCCUGCAAUACUUCUCAAUGUGUACAUACUUUUUACUAUAUCUACAUUGAAUUGGAAACCCCUUGGACUUCUGCCAAUAAUUCUUCUCUCAGUGGUUUGUCUUCAUACAAAUAUCACUAGGUGGAAAUUUUCCUCUCCUCUAUGAUUCGCCUUGGUAUCCACCAGAUUUCACCUCUCCAGAGUGGUCUAAAGAGGAUUUUUGGUCUUUCUUUUGUUGAUUGAAUUUAUGGCUUACUUGAAAGGCAUCUUUUACUGUCCCUUCACUUCUCAUAGUUACCCAUUGCUCUUGGAUUUUCAAUUUAGAGAUCAACUCAACUAUAAAAAGAGUAGUCAAGACACAAGACUCUUCAAUAGUUGAGAUUUUUGAUUCAAGCUUGUGCGGAAGGCCGACCAUGAUCUUCUCUACAACUUUUUGAUCUAGAAAGUUUUCUGGUGCCAUGUUUAUUCAACAAAAAUAUCUAAUAAAAAGGAGCUAAAAAUAAGAUGAGCCAAUCAACUAAAAACAAAUUCAUAUCCCACGAAAAAUGGGCUCUGAUACCAUGUCACUAGAAAGACAAGAAGAACUGAUAAGCAACAAGCUGAAAUAGGAACAAAAUUGAGCUGUAAAUUGCUACUAGAAAACAAACUCCAGAGAAAGAAGAAGAGUUGAAACUUGUUGAGUACUCUAUUUAUUUCUCUUAAUAGUUCACUACAUAGUCUACACAUAUAUAUAGUGUGUGGAUGAGGAAUAAAAACCACAAAAUAAGCAAAAUAUCUCACACAAUACUAAGUAAAUAUGUGGCCAACUAACCACCACUCAUUUUAAAUAAAAGACUUGGCUACUACAAAAUAUCUACUAACUUGGAGUUUCGAGAUAAAUCAUAUUUCAUAACAGUUCCUCUAACUCAUACUUUCGAUCCCAUCCGUUAUAUAUUAUUGUAUUAUUCAACUUCUGUCUAGGUACUAGUCUCUUUAAACAAUUAAUCAAUUACUCUCUUACUUGUGUGCAGGUUCUCCGUGUAAAAAAGUCAUAAGUUCGAUGAUUGCAAUCUCAUUUAAUCCCAUCAAUCAACCUCUGAGGUUGGUGAACCCGAUGCUUCAUUCCUAGGCAGCCAAGACAAAAUCCCUUCAUUUGAUUCCUUUUAUUAACCUAACCAUCCAUUUCCACAGUACCUUUCCUUCUAUGUUUUAUAUAUUCAAAGACAACCAGUGCAUCAUGCUCGUUAAGCAAGUAGUAGCGAAUGGAUACUCAGAGAAGAGAUGAGUGACAUAAUCAUCAGUAUUCUCAUAGAUCGUACAUCAUUUGUUUAGAAAUAUGCCAUGCCUGUGCAAUCAAUCCUUUGUUUGUGGUCUUUGAUGACUGCCAACCAUGCAAUAACGCUAUACCUUCGUAUAUUCAUUAUAUUCAAAAUCCGUCACCUCCAAAGUUCUUUUUCUAGGAUUCCCCAUAGCCAUUUUUAGCCACGACUGAUUGAGUAUUUGCUUGAUUCAUUUAGCCAACUCUCUUGUACAUAGCCCUUUUCCACUUUAACUCUAGUAGAGAAGAUCUUCUUCCAGUACCACUUUCACAAGGAGGCUCGUAUUCCACCAUUAGAUGCCCUUCAGAAAGAUUGAUCAACCCAUUUCACUCAUAGGCUGUUGGAUUUUCGUUCUAUGUUUCAAACAUUCCAUGGCCGCCUCAUUCCAAGUAACCCCUUUAUAAUUCCCAAUCUUCCUACUUUCGUUGGUCUGCAUACUAAAAUCAAAUCAACCAAUGGGACUUUAUUGUUGAGUUAUGAGCUUCGCCAUAAGUAGCUUCUACAAGUAGCAGUUAUGGUCUUCAUCACUUUCUGAGGUAGUUUGAGCAUUGAGGCAUGUUUUAAGCAUAUAUAUUUGAUUUUGCUGGGGUAGUGGUCAGACCAAAAGCAUUGAAAAAGGUUUUCAGACACUUUAACAUGAACAUAGUGUUUGGUGGAAGUCUCCAGCAAAAUGAGUUCAACCUACAAGGCCAAUUUGAAUAUCUGAAGCUUGUUGUGAUUGAAAAAUCUAUUUCCCGAAUUAUUUUGGCUUUUGAAAAAUCUGUUUCCCAUAUCCCUCAUGUUGAUGAUGCUAGAUUGCUGAGUUUUUCCCAUGCUUGUUCAACCAGUCAUCUUUGGCUGAUUUGGGGAGUGGCCAUAUUUAUCCGUGUUGGAAUUUGAUAAGAAUGGUGAUCAUCUUGCUUCUUUUGAUGCUCAAGCUGGUGGUCUCACAAUUGUUGGCCAUGAUGCGACCUUUCUUUCUAGAGAUGUCUAUAGGAAAUACAUGUGGUUCAUAGAGUUUGUCACCAUGAGUUAGUAUUGAAGAGACGUACGAAUUUCCCUCCUACUCUGGGACCUAGUACUAUAGUGACGUAUGUAACAGGAAGCUAAAUAAAACGUAAAGUAAAUAAACAAUGAAUGCAACAAAUUUUACGUGGAAACUCCUUGAUCAAGGGAGAAAAACCACGAUCUUCCUCCAGGAUUUCCAAUAGCUCCAUUCAAGAAACCUUAAAUACAAACCCAUGGCUUUAAGGAUUAGACUCCUAAUCCUUAUUCACCUCAAAAUAACUCUAUUACAAUGAUAUCAACGCAAUAACUCUAUUGCACACUGAUUUAGCUACCUCUAACUAAAUUAAGAAGCUUACUCUAGCUUCUAAAUCACCUAACUCUAGAUGAUUAUUUGGCAAUAAAAGCUUGCUAACAAUGCACCUACAUUUAAGUAAACAUGAAAGUAGGCUACGUUUCUAUAAUUACAAAAGAUAGAAGUAAGCUUUUUGUUUAUUCAACAGUAGAGGAAGUACAGAGUUUGUUAGUUUUAGUAGAAGAAAGAAGGAAGAGAGCUGAGAGGAGAAGAAGAUGAAAGAGAGAAGUAACUACUUGAAUUGAUUAGAUAAGCACAAUGUACACGGUCAUAUAUAUACUAGCUUGUGAUAUGCCUAACUAACUCAACUAGCCAUCAACGACCUCUUAUAACUAACUGCUAAAAUAGUUACAAGUAAAAACUAGAAACAAGUCUACUUUAUUUUAUAUUUGAGGUCACCACCUCUUCAAUGUCUUCAACACUCCCCCUCAAUCUAGAAAGGUGUGAAUAUGUCAUAGAUUCCUAGCUUGGUAUUAAGAUAAACUUGUUGAUCUCUUGUCAGUCCUUUUCUCAGCAUAUCUGUAGGUUGGUCAUGAGUUGCAAUGUAGUGAGUCUUGGUCAUUCCUUGGACUGUUUUUUCCAAUAUAAAAAAGUAGUCAAUGUUAAUAUUAUUUUUCCUCUCAUGAUAUAUUGUAUUAGCUGUUAUUUGUAGUGCAAACUUCUAUUAUUGAAUACAUCCACAGGUACCAUUAUUUCAUUUCUAAUUUCGUUCAUCAGACCUAGAAUCCAUACCAGUUCAGUUGUUACUGCUGCAAGACUACUAAAUUCUGCCUCAGCUGAGCUCUUGGAGAUAGUGUUUUAUUUCUUUGAUCUCCAGGAUUGUACUGAUUCUCCAAUCUUCACAAAAUAACCAGUCAUAAAUAUUCUAGUUUGAGGACAUGAGGCCUAGUCUGCAUCAUAGUAGGUACUCACUUUAUUAUCAGAGCCACUAGACAAAAACAUACAUUGACGUAGUUGUCCUUUCACAUACUUUACUACUCUAAGUGCUGCCUCCAUGUGUGAUAUUUUAGGGUCUUGAAGAAAUUAACUGAGUGUUUGAACACGGAAGGCUAUGUCUGGCCUUUUCAUAGUUAGGUAUAACAACUUGCCAAUCAAUUUUUGAUAAGAAACAUUAUUUGUUGGUGGAUUAUCAGUAGUCUGUCCAUGCUUAGCUUGAUCAUCAAACUAUCUAGAUGUUAGCUUGAUGUUGUAUUCCAUAAGAGUAGUUGUAGGCUUGGCUGUUGUUAAGACUAGAUCAUAUAGUAACUCUAAAGCAUAUUUUCUCUGAUGUAUCAAUAUUACUUUGUCAGACCUUGCAAAUUCUAUUCAUAGAAAGUAUCUUAGCUCACCUAGACCCUUCAUCUUGAUGCCUAGUGAUCAGCAUAUUAUCAAUAUAAACAAGCAUAAGAAUGAUGCCUCCUAUUAUCUUUCUAAUAUACAAGGAUGAAGCAUAUUGACUCUAAAUGAAUUAAGAACUUACCAAGAUCUCUGAUAGUUUGGUAUUCCAUUGCCUUAGUGCUUGUAUAUAGGGAUUUGAGUAGUCUACAUACUGUAUUCUCCCCCUGACUAGAAAAUCCUUGAGGUAGGUACGUUUACACUUCAUCAUAUAAUCACAAUUUAGGAAAUCAUUAUAGACAUCCAUUUGUUGGACACACUAGUGUUUUCUAGUUGUUGUAGAAAGUACAGUUCUCACUGUCUUUAUCUUCAUAAUAGGAGAGAAUGCUUCUUGGUAAUCAAUGCCUUCUCUUUGUCCAUACCCCUUUACUACUAGUCUUGCUUUAGACCUAUCAACUUCACAUGAGGCCUUAUACUUUACUUUAUAUAUCCACGUACAACUAAUAACCUUCUUUCCUUUAGGCAGGGUAACAACCACCCAAGUGUUGUUAAAAUUCCAGGCAUCUAUUUCAUUCUUCAUUGCUUCAACCUAUCUAGGAUCUUUGUAGGCUCUAAAGUAGCUUCUAGGUUCAACAACACAUAAAGUACUCACAACAUAGUUCUUAUAGGACUGGGAAGGGCCAUCAUAAGACACAUGAUUUGCAAGAGCAUGAUAUACCUUCUUUGUGUUUUUGGAAACAAAGUCAUUCAUCCAUGCUGGUGACGUUCUUUCUCUAGUUGACUUCCUAUGAUCCUGAGAUACAACUUGUGUAGUGGUGGGAAUUGUCUGUAGUUGUUGUUCUUGCUGAGUAACUCAUUGACUUCUACAUGACCUCGUUUAAUAUACCAUAGUUAUGGAUUGUUUGGGAGUAGGUUUACUUGGUGGUAGAUGCUUUUGCUAAUUGUAUGAGGUAGUAGUACUUUGGGACGAGAUAUGUAUUAGAAUCUAUAUAAUAUCAAUAGUUACUGGAUAUUGAUCUUCCAAAAGAAACACAUAUUGAGGUGGCUGAGGCUGCUUCUUGAGCUCCUUAAAAGGAAAUAUAUCUUCCCUAAUUGACAUAUCUCUACAUAUAGAAAAUAUGUUAGUAGAUAAAUCAUAUAGAACACAUCCCUUUUUAGUUCUAGAUUACCUCAUCAUAAUGCAUGUUCUUGUUCUAGACAUGAGCUUAUCAUGCCCAUUCAGUACUUUUUCAUAGCACAGUUACCCCAUUACUAUGAGAUGAUCACAACUUGGCUAUUUACCCUAUAGUUUCUCCUAAGAACUCACAAGAUGAAUGACUUGUCUAGGCAACCUAUUGAUGAUAUAUGCUGCAGUUAGAAGACAAUAAUCCCAAAAACUUAUUGGAAUUUCAGCCUGAAAUUUGAUAGCCCUUGUCACUUCUAGGAUGUGUCUGUGUUUUCUUUCAACAACAUCAUUUUGCUUAGGGGAAUAUGGACAUGUAGUUUGAUAAGCUAUGACAUGUUCCUGGAACAACUUCUUACAUAUUGAGUUGACAAACUCAGUACCAUUAUUAUUCCUUAUAACUUUGAUAGCCUUGUCAAAUUGAGUUUUGAUAUACACAAGAAAGUAUUGAAGCUGAACACACAUAUUAGACUUAUGUUUUAAUAGAAAUAACCAAGUAUAACUUGAAAAAUCAGAAACCACUAUUAGAAAAUAUCUAUUUCCAUUCAUAGUUGGUACUUAGUAAGGUCCCCAAACAUCCAUGUGCACAUGACCAAAACAACAUGUACUUUUACUGUUAGUAGACAGAAAAGGUAACCUAGUUUGUUUAGCAUUAGAAUAGAUAUUACAUUGCUUUAUUCUAUCUUUUAUUACUUGAACUUCUUGAGAUAUAACUCUUUUCAGUACACUAGAUGAUGCAUGUCCCAACCUUUGAUGCCAUGAUAUACCCGAGUUUGAGUUCUUUCAAUAACUGGUUUACUAGAUUCUUUAGUUGCUACUGCAACCUCUUUCCUUGACUAAUUUCCAAGCACAUAUAUUCCUUCAUCAAGCUUACCAAUCCUCCUCAUAUUUCUAGUACCAAGAUCCUGGAAAACACAGAAAUUAGGAAAGAAAUUCACUGAGCAAUUUCACUCCUUAGUCACUUGUGAAACUGAUAGAAGGCUACAUGCAAGCUGUGGAAUGUGAUAGACAUCUAUGAUGUUAUUUCCUUCUAACAGGAAACUAGUUCCCACAUGAGUGACCAUUGUACUGUCACCAUUUGGUAGAUAUACCUUCUUUGGUUUUUUCAAUUCUGUAAGACUCUUUUUAAGUAAAAAGUCUGAGUUUCCCACCAUAUGGUUAGUAUAACGCCUUGAGACUACCCCCUGGACGUCAUACAGUGCUUAGGACCACAAAUGAUCCCAAGCUAACCCUUGUAUUAGCAUAACUCAUGAGCAACGAAAAUAAAUACUGAUGUCUAAAGAAUAAUGCGAAAGAUAAAUAUUUUCUGAAUAUGAUCAAUACAAACUAUAUUAAGAUAAUUAUGACUCUAAUUUUAAAAAACAAUUUGGAAUCAAAUACAUCAACUUCUACUAAUCGUCUAUGAAGCCUCUACUAGUAUUGACUAUAGGUAGCCGGGACAUGACCCUCAGCUAUCCUGAAUCAAUACGACUGAAUGAAGAAAAGAAAAUACUACACAAACUUUGACUAACUCGAGACCUUGAAUCAAAAAGACUCAUCACCUGUUGAAUGGAAGCUACAACUGUCUGAUUCUGAUAUGCACACUACAAGUUGUAUCUAAAUUAUUAAACACUGUAGCAAAAAGACGUAUAUAUGGAUCCGCACUUUUGAAAUUUACUGAGAAUGUGGGGUUGAAAUCAUAAGUAAAAAUAGUAACUAAAUAUUCAUAUAACUGGUAAAGAAUGCACUCUAAGUGUAAAUGACUCACGUUGGCUAGAGUACUGCAAAGACUGCUAAAAAUAAGCAUACUAUAGUAAAGCAUAAAAACAAGUUGUACUUUUACUCUUUCUUUUCGUGGAAUCAGUAAGACUGAAGUUAAGCCUAUUUUUUUUAAAUCAUGCAGGGUAAGUGUAAAAAGGGCUUACCUUUAUCAUCUGUAAACUGAAAGCUAAAAUCUUAUAGCAAAUGUCUUAUGUAAAAAAAUAUCUGAAUAAAAUUGUGAGCCGUUACACUUGAUUUCUAAAAGUUGUUCUAUUAUUCUGUCUUAGGACUGAUAAUGCUCAAAUUACUCUCUUGAAUGGGUGUAAGCGAUCGUUGUCAAUAUAAAACCCAACUACGUUGGGGUUGAAUCCCACAGGAAAUAGGGUGUAAAUUUUGAUUUAUUUACGAAAGACUUUACUGGUAGUUUACUGUUUCCGAAAUAUGAGGGUUUAAGUUCACAGUGUGUUCAAUAUCACUUUCAAUACUUCAGUGUUUGUAAUCAAGUUAAAUAGGAAACCAUAGCUAUGUUCACCAAGGGUUUCGAGAAUUGACAGACACUAGGUAAUGCUAGAGAUUCUCGGAAUGAGUAGAACAGCGGAAUAUCCCUGACGAUUAUACUAUCUGACUUAUCUCUUGACCUCACUAGACAAUUUAUUAUCUAAUUUUCUCCAUCUUAGAUAACUAAUCUAUUUCCAAUAGGAUGUUAUCUCAGGUAGAUUAAUCUAGUUACAGCAUUAAUCAUUAAAUAGAAGGAUGGUAGCUUCCGAAUCCCUGUUGAUAAUUCACAUCCCCUAGUCUAUUUCCCCAUUACAAGAAAAUAAAACCUAAGACAUAAUAUAAUGUUUGCAACCACUAUAUUUUAGUUCAAACAACAGAAUUUCAUGAUGUUCUACUACUCUUUGAAUUCGUUAAUCACCUAGCAUCAUAUCAAACCCUAAUACAUGGAUCCCAUAACUCCGGCUAAUGAAAUUAGCCGCUCAUGACUUGAUGAACAAAAUAACAAUUUGAAUUCAUAAUUAGAAUGAUAAACUUACGAAUGGAUAGAAAACAACAAGUAGUUCCUCCGAUUUAAUCACAAGGUAGAAACUCCAAAAAUAGUUGAUACGAAAACACAUGAAUAUUUUAUGAAAGAGAGCAAAAAUACGUGUCUCUCUUCUUAGGGUUGACGUCAGAUAGAUAAUGUUUCCACCCACUUUAAAAACCCUAAGAGAUGCUAUUUAUGCUAAAGCCUAAUUAAGGAAAUAAAAUAACUAAAAUUAAUAAAAUUCUCAGAAUAGGUGAUGCCCAAGCUGACGUCACGUCAAGAGUCUGACGCCCUAUCCCAGAUGGCAUCAGAAAUGCUUUAGUUACCUUCAAAAUUUAUCUUAGGAUGAUGAUGUAGCUGAUGCCGCAUUACCGAUCUGAUGGUGUAUCACUAACGUCGUCAGAUUUCUUCUUCAAACUCAAUUCUCCGGUUUAGGCUGACACCCUUUGUGAUGCCUUAUCACCAACGUCGUCAGAACUUCUUUUUUUUCUUUUUUUCUCAGAUUUUCAACUCUUUUACUCCAUUGUCAUUUGUUUUUCUUCCUCCACCCUUUUACUGCAAUAUCAUGAGCAAACACAUCAAAACAACAAGACUUGCUUUAGAAUUCACAAUUAUUUUGAGCUCAAAACCAUUAAAUAUGUUAGCUUUUGCUCACACAUCAAGGACUUAGGGAGUUUCUUAUAAAAGCUUUCCUGUUAUUAUUUUCUGUUAAGGAGGUUCUCUUAAUUGACAUGAACCAUGCGAGCUAUCACGGAGUCCAACAUCUAGUUCCCCUAAGGGAAAAAUCUCACAUUAGGGAGAGGUGUCAUACUCUUGCUAAGAAGUAUAACUUGCGCUGAGUGAUCAAAGUCUGUAUCUUCUUCCAUAUAAAUGAGAAUAAUCUAAAUUUGUACCUAUAUUGGCUCGUAUUUCUGAGGUAUGUGAACUAAGAUACAUACCCAACUCGAUGCUAAAUACUACUCCUUUUUAUUUAUAUGCUCAUUUUGAAAGAAAUUCAUAUUAAAACUAGCAUAAGGGUUUAUAAUGAAAAUCAGUUAUGCAUCUUCCUAUUCAAAACUAUAAUCAAAACAAACUAUGUGGAUUCCGUAUCUUAGCUGAGGAUCAAAAGAUCAAAUCUUUCUUAAAAUUUGAAUACAUACUUAUCAAAGAAUGCUUAAACAUCGUCUUUCUUGAAAUAUCAACAUUUAAACUUGGGGCUUCAAUCCAUUCUUGAAACUUAUGUCAUUGACAACAACUUCAUGCUUAAUAACAAUAAUAUUGAAAUACUUUAACAAUUCUAAUUAAGACAAUGAAAUUAAAUUCUCAAUAUAUGCAAUCAAAUCACACACAUGAAUUUGUGAAAGUAGUUAUUCAAUUCAACACUUAAAUCACUUGUAACAUCAUAAACUUCACCUAUGAUAGUUGGGUAUGAAUCCUAAACUGCAAACCAUAUAAUAUCAUGUAAAUUAAUCUUUAAAAACUAGUUUUGGAAACAAGGAUGAAAGAAGUAUCAUUAUUCAUAACCCCACAUGAACUUUGAAUUUGGAACUUCUUGAUUCUUGAGUGAUGUCACUUGGAUUUUUUUCUUGGGAGUGGAAGAGGGCGUUUGAUUUGUUUACUGAUUUCUUAGGAUUAAGAUAGUGGAUUUUACGUGUUUUGUAUCUCAUAAAAAUGUUUUGAAGUAAUUAGGGACGGUUUAGGGUUGUGAAAUGACUUCAACACCCUUAUCUAGGUCAAAACAGGGUGUUUUUGUCACAUGGCAAUGACUUAGGUGGCACCCAAUAAAUCUCCCAAGUCAAGGUGGGAGCUGCGUUCAACUGCCUAAGUUUGGUUGGGCGGCAUCCAACGAAUCACACACCCUUAUUGCCUCUCACGAAAAUGGGCAUAACUCUUCACUCGGGUAUCGAAUUAAGGCAAAAUUGGUAUCAUUGGAAAGCUAAUUCGAUUAUCUACAAUUUGAUGGAUCUUAAUCUACCAAAUUUCAUAUUUAUAUAAAUUUAUACUCAUUAAAAGAUGAUAUUUGUGACAUCAAACACCAAAAAUUGGUUGAAUCAAAGGUUCUUAGCUCACUUGACUCUAAGUGACACUUAUGAACAUCUUUCCCACCUCAUAAUAUUUAUUCACACUAGUUAAUAAUUAUGAAACAUGAAUUCAAGUAUGAAUCACAGGACUAGAGUUUACACUCAUAGGAACAAAGGUCUGAUUCCUAGCUUAGAUGUAUAUGGGGUAUUACAAUAUCUCCCCCUUGAAAUUAUUCAUCCUCGAAUGGUGGGUAGGAACUUAUCGAAACAUUAAAAGUAUGGAAUAAUAUAGACAUGACAUGUAUGCUAAUAAAGGAUAUAGGUGAGCUGAAACUUUAAAAAUCCUAUCAUGAAGCUGAAUUUUGAGGUGACUUGACCUUACUAACUAUCAAGUACUGAUUCAUUCUUGGAGUUUAGAACUCACUUGAAAUUUCCAUGAAACAAUUAUUAUUAUUGUACUAUGAAGUGAUAACUAAUACAUGAACUAAAUAUCAUGACUGAGCUAAUUUCUUGAAUACAUGCACUGACAUGAGAAUGGUUAUAAGGCUGAGAUAGAAAUGAGAGGGUUAACUUAUUAGUACCCAUUGUUUCAAGAUGGAUAUUGUUUCAUGAUGAAGAAUUGAGGGGUAUAGAGCAUGGAAACUCGGGGAAUUACUCUACCUCUUGAGACAUAUUGUCCCCUGAAUAACACAAACUUGGAUGAAAUAUUAUGGAAAGACUAAGCUGAUGCACAGGACACAUAUAGCUGAUUCAUGACUUAAUAUCUUAAUCUGAAACUGAAAAUGAUGCAUGAACCAAGCUUAAUUUGUAAUUUGCAUGAAUGUGGAUACUCUACCUCAUGGAAUGGCCUUACUCAUGAAACUUUGGGUAGUAAGACCAAAUGGAAUGUUGGAAAUCUAUAGGAGCUUAUCUUCUUAAUUGCUAAAUUGGAUCACAGGCUUUACGAAUUGGAUCAUACUUAAUGCUUAUAACCAAAUGGAGUAUUUCUUCAACACUCUUCUAAAAAAUUCUAAUGAUAUUAGGGAGAAAAGAACUUUGGGCAUGAUCUGAACAAGACAUCUGAAUAAGAAAUUACAAUAUUGCUACAACUCUAUAGCACGGAACAUAGACCUAUAGAUCAUAAGCUAGGAUAGAAUUACUAGGCCUUUGACAAUGCAACUUAUUACCUUCAAACUUAGCAGCACUUCUCAAAUACUCCCUCAACUAUACUAUUCCCCUUAAAUAACAAACUCAUUGAUUCAAUUUAAAGUUUUCACAUAGGCAUUGAUAAAUGUAUCUACUAAAGUCUAAACUGAACUAAAUUCUCUCACCAUGAUCAAGCCUAACUCAAAUCACUAGGUACAACAUGCUACACAAUAAUACUAGUCUAAAUCACAUGAUUCGAUCAUCUACAUCUCUUCUAGAGCUUAUGCCCUAACAUAGCAUGGCUUACCACUUUAAUGACUAACUCUGAACUCUCACUAUGAAUUCACUAGCUCAUAUUGCAUUCCUCCACUUACAGCCAAACGCGACAUUCAAGCCUAUCACUAUAACCAUCUAUGAACUUCAAGGCAAACACACAUAAGGCGUACUUAUCAUGUUCUCUAAACCUCUAUCAACAACAACUUUCUUGCACUAUGCUUAAGAAUACAUAAAAUUUAUUAUUAUUUUAUUUAAAUAAAAAAAUAAUUGUAGGGAUUUAUUAAUUUAAGAAAAAUCGACCACAUGUGGUAGGUUUUUAGAUAAACUAAUAAAUUAAUUUUAUAAAAAACCGACAGAAGUGUGGUCGGUUUUUUGCAGAAAAAAAUUAGAAAAAUCGACCACUUGUGGUUGAUUUUUUGCAAAAAAAAAAUAUAUAGAAAAACCAACAAAUAAAGUCUUCAAAACUUAAGAAUUUUCAACAAAUAAAGUCACCAACGAAACUAAUUCACUACUAAAGUCUUCAAAACUUAAGAAUUUUCAACAAAUAAAGUCACCAACAACAUCACCUUCUAACCACUAAUUCACUAUUAAAGUCACCGGUACUUAAGCAUUUUCAACAAAUAAAGUAACCAACAACAACACCUUCUAAACAAAAGUUUACUUUUAAAGUCACCAGCACUUAAGCAUUUUCAACAAAUAAAGUAACCAACAAUACCACCUUCUAAAUACUGCAUGCAACCACAACAAUAAUAUAGAGCAGUCCCCAACAAAUAGCCACUAUUAAAAUCACCGGCACUUAAGCAUUUUCAACAAAUAAAGUCACCAACAUCACCUCCUAAACACUAAUUCACAAUUAAUGUCACCAAAACUUAAGCAUUUUCAACAAAUAAAGUCACCAACAACAUCACCAAAUAAACACUAAAUCACUAUUAAAGUCACCGGCACUUAUUCAUUUUCAACAAAUAAGUAACCAACAACAUCACCUUCUAAACAAAAGUUCACUUUUAAAGUCACCAAAACUUAAGAACUUUCAACUAAUAAAGCCACCAACCACAUCACCUCCUAAACACUAAUUCACUAUUAAAGUCACCGGCACUUAAGCAUUUUCAACAAAUAAAGUGACCAACAACAUCACCUUCUAAACACUAGUUCUCUAUUAAAGUUACCAAAACUUAAGCUUUUUCAACUAACAAAGGCACCAACGAAAAAAGUUCACUAUUAAAGUCACCGGUACUUAAGCAUUUUCAAUACAUAAAAUAACCAACAACAUCUCCUUCUAAACAAAAGCUCACUUUUAAAGUCAUAGGUACUUAAGUAGUUUCUACAAAUAAAGUAACCAACAACAUCACCUUCUAAACAAAAGUUCUCUAUUAAAUUCACCGGCACUUAAGCAUUUUUGAACAAAUAAAGUCACCAACAACAUCACCUCCAAAACAUUAGUUCACUAUUAAAGUCACCAAAACUUAAGCUUUUUCAACUAAUAAAGGCACCGACGAAACUAAUUCACUAUUAAAUUCACAAAAACAUAAGUAUUUUCAACAAAUAAAGUCACCAACAAUAUCAACUUCUAAGCACUAAUUCACUAUUAAAGUCACAGGCACUUAAGCAUUUUCAACAAAUAAAGUAACCUACAGCAUCACCUUCUAAACAAAAGUUCACUUUUAAAGUCACCGACACUUAACAAUAUUCAACAAAUAAAGUAACGAAAAACGUCACCUUCUAAACAAAAGUUCACUAUUAAAGUCACCGGCACUUAAGCAUUUUCAACAAAUAAGGUCACCAACAACAUCACCUCCUAAACACUAGUUCACUAUUAAAGUCACCAAAACAUAAGCUUUUUCAACUAACAAAGGUACCAACGAAUCUAAUGCACUAUUAAAGUCACCAAAACUUCAACUUUUUUAACAAAUAAAGUAACCAACAUCACCACCUUCUAAACACUAGUUCACUAUUAAAGUCACCAAAACUAAAGCUUUUUCAACUAACAAAGGCACCAACGAAAAAGGUUCACUAUUAAAGUCACCGGUACUUUAGUAUUUUCAAUACAUAAAGUAACCAACAACAUCACCUUCUAAACAAAAGCUCACUUUUAAAGUCAUCGGUACUUAAGUAGUUUCUACAAAUAAAGUAACCAACAACAUCACCUACUAAACAAAAGUUCUUUAUUAAAUUCACUGGCACUUAAGCAUUUUUGAACAAAUAAAGUCACCAAUAAAAUGACCUCUAUACGUUAGUUCACUAUAAAAGUCACCAAAACUUAAGCUUUUUCAACUAAUAAAGGCACCAACGAAACUAAUUCACUAUUAAAUUCACAAAAACUUAAGCAUUUUCAACAAAUAAAGUCACCAACAAUAUCAACUUCUAAACACUAAUUCACUACUAAAGUCACCGGCACUUAAGCAUUUUCAGCAAAUAAAGUAACCUACAAUAUCACCUUCUAAAUAAAAGUUUACUUUUAAAGUCACCGGCACUUAACCAUUUUCAACAAAUAAAGUAACCCAAAAUGUCACCUUCUAAACAAAAGUUCACUAUUAAAGUCACCGGCACUUAAGCAUUUUCAACAAAUAAAGUAACCAACAACAUCACCUUCUAAAGAAAACUACACUUUUGAAGUCACCAAAACUUAAGCAUUUUCAACAAAUAAAAUCACCAAAACUUAAGCAUUUUCGACAAAUAAAGUCACCAACAACAUCACCUUCUAAACACUAGUUCACUAUUAAAGUCACCAAAACUUAAGCUUUUUCAACUAACAAAGGCACCAACGAGAAAAGUUCACCAUUAAAGUCACCGGUACUUAAGCAUUUUGAACAAAUAAAGUAACCAACAACAUCACCUUCUAAACAAAAGUUCACUUUUAAAGUCACCGGCACUUAAGCAUUUUCAACAAAUAAAGUCACCAACAACAUCACCUCCUAAACACUAGUUCACAAUUAAAGUCCCAAAACUUAAGAUUUUUCAACUAAGAAAGGCACCAACAAAACUAAUUCACUAUUAAAGUCACCAAAACUUAAGCAUUUUCAACAAAUAAAGUCACCAACAACAUCAUCCUCUAAAUACUAAUUCACUAUUAAAGUCACCAGAACUUAAGCAUUCUCAACAAAUAAAGUUACCAAAAACAUAAGAGAUUAAACAAGAAUGUAAUUGUUCUUAAAGGAAUUAAAAGCAUGGGAAGUCAGUUUUUAAAAUAUUUUUAAAUUUUUUUUUUAAAAGCGACCACUAGUGGUCGGUUUUUUUAUUUUUUUUAUUUGAAAAAUAAAUAAUAAUUAAUACAAAAAUUAUUUUAAUAAUUAUUUUGAUUUUUUAAGAUAAAAAAGCUACCACUUGUGGUCGCUUCUUAAAAAAUUUAAAAUCCGACCGCUAGUGGACGAUUUUUUCCGACCAUAAUUUGUGGUCGGUUUUUGCCUUUUUUUAGUAGUGUUCCUAGUUGCAACAAAAAGUAUAGUUCAUACUGUUUUCAUUUCACAACAGGUAAAAAUGUUUCUUUUUAAUCAAUUCCUUCUCUUUGUCCAUAUCCCUUUGCUAUAAGUCUAGCUUUAAACGUUUCUACAUCACCUAAAGCCUUAUACUUCACUUUAUAUAUCCAUUGGCAACCGAUAGAUUUCUUCCCAUUAGGUAAAGUAACAAUAUCCCAAGUGUGAUUGGAAUUCAAGGAAUCUAUCUUAUUGUUUCUACCCAUCUAGGAUCUCUACAGGCAUCAGAGAAACUUGUAGGUUCAGUGACAUAAGAAGUUCUCAGCAUAUAGUCUUUGUGGGAUAAAGAGAGUUUAUCAUAUGAAACAUGAUUAGCAAGAGCAUGAGGUACUUUCUUUGUACUCUUGGAAACAAAAUCAUUCAUCCAAAUUGGUCGCUUUCUACCUCUAGUUGACUUUCUUAGAUCCUGAGGUGCAGAAGACUGAGGUACAUGAGUAGGAACCACCUGCCCUUACUGCACUUGCUGGGGUGCAGGAGUAGGAACCACCUGCACUUGUUGCUCUUUCUGACUAACUAAAUUAGGUACCCCUUGACCUCUGGUUGAUCUUCUUUGAUACACUUGAGUUACAGGUUGUGACUGUGUAGGAAUAGAGAGCCCUCUAGUUGAUAUUCUUUUAUAUACCUGAGUUAUAUACUGUGCAGAUGUAGGAAUAGCCUGCAUUUGCUGGUCCCCUUGAGGUUACAAGGUUACUGGAAUCUAUAGACAUGUCUCAUUACCACUUAGCACUAGUUAUUGAUCUUCUUAAGGAAAUAUAUGAUUAGGUGACUGAGUUUGAUGCUUGAGGAGUUUAAAUAGAAAUACAUCUUCUCUGAAUGACACAUCUCUACUCACAAAGAAUAUAUUAGUUGACAUAUUAUAUAUCAAGUAUCCCUUCUGAGUGCUAGAGUAUCCCAUUAUGACACUUAUCCUUGCUCUAGUCAUGAGUUUAUCAUGCUCAUUUAACACUUUGACAUAGCACAAACACCUCAUUAUCCUUAGGUGAUAACAUUUUUAAUUUUUUACCAUACAACUUCUCAUAAAGAGUUAAGAACUAAAUGACUGAACUAGGAAGUCUAUUGAUGAUAUCUACUACAGUUAGAACACAAUAACCCAAAACCUUAUUGGAAUGCCAUCCUAAAACUUGAUAUCUUUUGUCACCUCUAAGAUGUGUCCAUGUUAUCUCUUAGUAACAUUAUUUUGAUGAGGAGAAUAUGGACAUGUUGUUUGAUGGAUUAUACAAUUAUCUUGAAACAAUUUUUGAUAUAAUGACCUGACAAAUUUAGUACCAUUAUCAGUCUUGAUCACUCUGACUGUCUUCUCAAACUGAGUCUUGACAUAUAUAAGGAACUGUUGAAUUUGAACAAAGAUAUCUUACUUAAUCUUUAGUAUAAACACCUUGAUAAAUCUUGAAAAAUCAUCAACAGUUGUUAGAAAAUACUUGUUUCUAUUCAUCGUUGGUACUUUGUAAGGUCCCCACUAUCCAUGUGUACAAGAUCAAAACAAUAUGUAAUUUGAAUAUUAGUUGACAGAAAUGGUAAACUAGUCUUUUUAGCACUAGGAAAAAUGCUACAUUGCUUUAUUCUAUCUUCUAUUACUUGUACUCCUUGAUGUACAAUUCAUUUCAAGACAAUCAGUUGAAGUAUGUCCCAACCUUUGCUCCUACAAAUCCACUUCAUCUUGAGUCUUUUCCACAGUUACUUCAGUAGUAGCUUUAGUUGCUACUGCAACUUCAUUCUUUGACUGAUCUACCAUUAGAUAUAAGCCUCCAUCAAGAUUUCCAAUCCCCUCCACCUUUCCAGUAUAAAGAUCUUGGAAAACACUGAAAUUAGGGAAGAAAUUCACUAAACAAUGCCAUUCCUUAGUCACUUGUGACACUGAUAGGAGACUACAUGAAAACUGUGGAAUAUGAUAGACAUUUGUAAGGUUAUUUCCUUCGAAUAAGCAACUAGUUCCCAUAUGAGUAACCAUUGUAGCAUAACCAUUUGGUAGAUACACUUUAUUUGGAUUCGUAACUUUGUAAUAGUUUUGUUAAGUAACAGUUUUGAGUCACAAACUAUAUGAUCAGUAACAUCAGUAUCUAUAAUCCAUUUUUGUGAACCAAAAGAAGCUAAACAAGCAGAAAUACCUACACUUGUUACAUAUACAGACUCAGUUUGAUAGAGUUAUUCUUCUUUAUAGGUUCUAUGAUUUACUCAUAUUGUUCCUUGGUAAUGGCUACAUUUCCAACUAACAUAGUUAAGCCAUCUAAUUAUUUGAAGUUACUGAUCGUCCUGUAUAUUUAGUAUAAUAACCACGUUGAUCUACUGGAUAAUCAUGAGAACCCAAGGACACAUUAUAUGUUGUGUUAUACCCUUCAUGCCUGAGUUUAUUCUUACCUUUAUAAUCUUGAGGAUAGCCAACCAACUUCCAGCAGUUAUCUUGGAUGUGCCUAUUGUGUUUACAGAAGUUACAUUGCACAGUAACAUUUCUCUUGUACUUGUGAACUUGGCUUCCACCUACUCUAUUUUUUGUAUUUCUGUCUAGAUCAAGAUUCUUACCAGUAGCCACAGGAUUCAUUCCAAAAAUCCUUGCCUGACUCGCAAUAGAUUGUGGAUUUCAUCACUUAUUAUCAUUGCAUAGGCUUGGUUAACAUUUGGGAAAGGUGUCAUAAGAAAGAUUUGACUCCUUUCUUGUAUGUAGGAUUCAUUCAAAUCCACAAGAAACUAAAACAAUUUCAGUUUUUGAAGAUGUAUCACAUACUCCUUUGAUUUAUCACAUUCACAUCCAGGUGUAGGCACAAGAGCGUCAAAUUCAAUGUAGCAAUCUUUUUAUGCAGAUUAAAUCUUCUGGCUAUAUCAACCUUGUUAAGCGUUUCAUAAAGCUCAUUACAGACAACACUAGCCACAAAUGCAUACAUAAUUCUACAAAGCAAUUCUUUAGAAAUAGAGUUCAUGAUCCAAGACAGCACAAUUGCAUUCACUCUCUCCUAGUGACUACUCAAUUCAGUAGAAAACUUAUCGUUAGAGUAUGUUCCAUCAACAAUACCCAACUUAUCUCUCCUUAGUAAAGAUAUGCGCAUAGAUAUAAAACAGAAUGAGAAAUUCUCAACGCCUGUUAAUUAAAAGGAGAUGAUUUGUGUAUUGAGAGUAAUUCUGAAUGCCUCACCAGAUUCAGCAGUAGCAUUCUAAUUCACCAUUGUUGCAGAUUUACAAUUAUUGAUUCAAGACUUUUUGAUUGUGAAAAGACCAAUACACUCAAUACACCAGAAUCGAUUUGGCUCUGCUAGUUUUUCUAGUGAGUAAAGCUCUAAUACCAUCUUAAAAUUUGUCUUGGGCCUAACUUACACCGCAAAAUCUAGCUCAUAGGGAAGAGUAUUAUCUAGCCUUAUAAAGAGACCACCCAUCUCAUUAACCACUAAUGUGGAAUUUUCUCUCUUUAUCACCCCACCUCACGUCUAGGCCUAGUUAACUAGGUGUGGACAAUCUCUCUGAAUCUCAAUUCGGGGGCUCAACAUUGGGUGAGAAGGGCCCUUCUCUGAUACCAUAUAAUUAACCAAGCAGUGCUACACUUCUUGGUAGAAACAAUUGAAGAUGAAAUACAGAUUAAGAGUAAGAAGAAGAAGAAGUGAGGAGGAGAGAAAGAUCAUUAGAGAUAGAGAAGUAGAGUAGUAUUUUCAUUAUUCUUUAAUGUACAUAGACUUCUACAUCUAUAGACUUUUGUAUGGGCUAACUAACUAGCUAACUAGCCGCUAACAAUUUUGUAACUAACUACUGGACAAACAAUUAUAACAAAAAAAGUGAACAAGUCUAUUUUGUUUCUUUUUUGUUCUGCUCCACUCUACUUUAUUCUGCUCUACUCUUCAUAUAUUCAACAAAUGGUCACUCGUGUGGGAACUAACUAUUUAUCAGUAGGAAAUAACCUUACAAACUCCUAUCAUAUUCCACAGCUUUCAUGUAGUCUCCUAUAAGUGUCACAAGUGACUAAGAAAUGGCAUUGUUUAGUGAAUUUCUUCUCUGAUUUGUGUGUUUUCAAGGAUCUUUAUACUAGAAAGGUGAAGAGGAUUGGAAAUCUUAAUGGAGGCUUAUAUCUACUGAUAGAUCAGUCAAAGAAUGAAGUUCCAGUACCAACUAAAGCAACUACUGAAGUAACGGUGGAAAAAACACAAGUUGGAGUGGAUUUGUGGCACCAAAGGUUGGGACAUGCUUCAACUAGUAUGUUGAAAAGAAUUUUAGAUCAAGGAGUACAAGUAAUAGAAGCUUAGCAGGAGGCUUUGAAAUGGCUGGCAUCUUCCCUUCAUACAAAUUUCUUCAUUCUCUCAGUCCAGCAAAGCAAACAAUUCUAGAUGCCCACCGUAAGGUAGAUUCAAUUGUUGAGGAUGUCAUUAACGAGAACAAGAAGAAUCUUGCAACUCACAAAAGUGAUGAUACAUUAGAAGGUGAAGACCUAGUUGAUUUCUUACUAAGACUUAUGAAGGAUAGAAGUUUUCAGUUUCUCAUCACCAACAACAAUAUCAAAGCUAUUAUUGUAGUAAGUAUUGAAUAUUGUGCUUGUUCUUACUUAUUUAACCAUAUAGUAUUUCCAUAUCCAUUUCCAUAUAUACAUAAAAACAUUAAUUACGAAGAAUUAGUUGUAGAAAUCUUAAUUUUGAUGGGUAAUUAAGAAAUUUGCAAGGACUUUGGUGAAAAAGUCGAUCAAUAAAGAAAGUUAGAUCAGGAAAUAGCAUGUGCGUCAGUCAUAAUAACUUGGCCAUAAAUUGCAGGACAUGUUUGCUGCUGGAACAGAAAAUUGAUCAACAACAACUGUAUGAGCUAUGGUUGAAAUGAUGAAAAAUCAAUGUAUACUCGCCAAAGCACAAAAAGAAGUGCGAGAAGCCUUCAGAGACGAAGUAACAUUCGAUAAAAUUGACGUGGACGUGCUGAAAAACUUAAAGUUAGUUGUCAAAGAAACUAUGAGAUUUCAUGCACCAGUUCCACUUUUGGUCCCAAGAGAAUUUAGGGAAGAGAUUUCAUGGUUAAUGUUUGGGCACUGGGAAGAGAUCCAAAAUAUUGGGACAACGCAGAAAGCUUUUAAGCCAGAGAGAUUCAAGCAGUGCUCCGUGGACUUGGUUGGUAAUAAUUUUGAAUAUCUCCCCUUUGGCAGUGGGAGGAGGAUGUGUCCCGGGAUGUCAUUUGGUUUAGCCAAUGUUUAUUUACCAUUGGCUCAAUUGAUUUACCACUUCGAUUGGAAACUCCCAACUAGAAUGGUACCAAGAGACUUGGACGUGACUGAGUCAAGUGGAGCCACUGCCACUAGAAAAAAUGGCCUUCAUAUGAUUGCAACUCCUUGUUAACCUUAAUGAAAUCAAGUGUUUAAAGUUCUUUUUAUUAUAGUGAAGUGUGUGAGAUAAAAGAACAGAGGCAGAUCUAGAAUUUUAAGCUUGUGGGUUUCUUGGGCAAAAUAAAAAUCCAAAAAAAAGUGAGUAAUGGAGUUAGAACCCACAACCAAGAGAGCAACAAUGUUUCAACAUGCACUUGCUUUGCCACUAGACCAAUAACACAAUUUAUUGUGUGUCCCUAGCUUAUAAUUUUUAUAUAUUUACUAGAUUUUUCAAUCUAAAUUCCAACAAACAAUACAAUGAUAGAGACAUGAAAAUAACACAAUUAAAUCUAAUCUUUACACACAAAAAUUUUCUCGAAGUCGUCCGACACUAUCUACCACCUGUAAACAAAAAAAAAUAAUACGAUAAUAGAGAUAUCAAAAUAAUACAACUAAACCUAACCUUUACAUAAAAAAAUUCCUCAAAGCCGACCAACAUUUAUCUAUCACCUGUAAAUUGCAACAAAAUAAUAUGAUAAAUGUGAUAUCAAAACAAUACAAUUAAACUUAAAUUUUAAACUCAAAAAUUUCUCAAAGCCGAUCGAGAUUCAUCUAUGAAUUGUAAACUACCACAAAAUAACAAACUAAAAAGAGAUAUUAUGAUAAUACAAUUAAGCCCAACCUUUACGUAAAAAAAAUUUCAAAGUCGACUCAUAUUCAUCUAACAUCUGUAAAUUAAAAUAAAAUAAUAGGAUAAUAAAGAUAUCAAAAUAAUACAAUUAAAUCUAACUUUUACAUAAGAAAUUUUCAAAACCAAUAGACAAUCAUCUAACAACUGUAAACUAUAAAAAAAAAAUAUAUAAUAGUGAUCACAAAGCUUCGAUUUUGAUCAAACUAAUUCUUUUCUGAGCGAAAAUUUUGUCCCUAAAGUAUGAUUUUGGAUGAAAAUAAAGAAGAUAUAUAUAUAUAUAUAUAUAUAUAUAUAUGUUGAAUAAUAUUAUGCUUACGAAAUCAGAGAAGAAGUUGAGGAUUAGAAAGCAAGCAUCCACCAAUCUAGACGCCCAAUCGAAUUAAAUUAGAUGUGCAUCAAUCACAUUCUCCUAAUAGACAAACCGGCUUGUUCUCUAGUUUAACGUACAUCUCAAUAUUUAUACAAGUAUUUUUCUUAAUAGAGUCUUAUUUUAGGAAUAUUUUUCAAAUUGAACAGUAGCAAGGAAAAUAUUAAUUAAUUAAUUCUCCUAUCAUAUAUUUUAGGAGUCCCAUAUAUUUUAGGAAGUCUAGUAGAAAGGAAAAUAUUAAUUAAUUCUCCUACCAUAUAUUCUAGGAGUCCCAUAUAUUUUAGGAGGUCUAAUUAAUAUAAUAAAAAAAUAAUUAAAUAAUAAAUUAUAAAAAUAGUGAAAAGACAGUUUUGUCUAAAGAAGAGUCUUUUAAUGAAGGGUAAAAAGUUCAAAUCAUUUUUCUAAGGGUGUUCACACUUUUAAUAUAUUACUAAUUUAGUGUACGUGUUUUGCACAUGUACCUUACGUCAAUUAAUAAAAUAUAUACACAAAAAGAAAAAAAACACAACUGAAAGGUAGCAAUACGUAAAUAUGUAAUUAAAAAUAUUUUAACUCUAUUAAUAAUAUUGACAAUAAAUAAUUAAUGAAAUUACGAACAUUGAAAGAUAUAUAAGUGAAUUAAACAAUAUCCAUAAUCUAUAUCUAUAAUAUAUUAAAAGUAUGAAGACCCUUAGAAAUGUGAUUUCAACUUUUUCCCUUCAUUAAAAGAAUCCUUUUUUGACAAAACUGUCUUUUCACUACUUUUUAAAUUUAUUAUUUAAUUAUUAUUUUUAUUAUAUUAUCUAGACUUCCUAAAAUAUAUGGUACUCAUAAAAUAUAUGGUAGGAGAUUAAUUAAUAUUUUCAUUUCUACUAGACUUCCUAAAAUAUAUGGUAGUAGAAUUAAUUAAUAUUUUUCUUUCUACUGUUCAAUUAGAAAAAUACUCCAAAAAUAGUACUCUAUUAUGGAAAUACUUCUAUAAAUAUUGAGAGGUACGUUAAACUAGAGAACAAAUCGAUUUUCCUAUUGGGAUAAUAUGAUUGAUGCUCAUCUAACUUGAUUCGAUUGCAUGUCUAGAUUGGUCGAUGCUUGAUUUUCUAACCCUCAACAUGUGUGUGUGUGUGUGUGUAUAUAUAUAUAUGUAUAUAUAUAUAUAUAUCUUCUUUGUUUUCAUUCAAUAUCAUUUUUUAGGGUCAAAAUUUUCGAUCAUACAAGAAUUAGUUGGAUCAAAAUCGAAGCUUUAUGAUCACUAUUCUAAUUUUUUUUUUUUAUAGUUUACAGGUCGUAGAUGAAUGUCAGUCGACUUUCAAAAUUUUUUAGGUAAAUGUUAGGUUUAAUUGUAUUAUCGUAAUAUCUCUAUUAGUUUAUUAUUUUGUGGUAGUUUACAGUUCGUAGAUGAAUCUCAAUCGUCUGUGAGAAAUUUUUGUAUGUAAAAUUUAAGUUUAAUUGUAUUGUUUUGGUAUCGCUUUUAUCGUAUUAUGUUUUUUCAUUUUAGAAGUGAUAGAUAAAUGUUGGUCGGCUUUGAAGAAUUUUUUUAUGUAAAUGUUAGGUUUAGUUGUAUUACUUUGAUAUAUCUGUUAUCGUAUUAUUUUGUUAUUGUUUACAUGUGGUAGAUGAGUGUCGGAUGACUUUGAGAAAAUUUGUGUGUAACAAUUAAAUUUAAUUGUAUUAUUUUGAUGUCUCUAUCAUUGUAUUGUUUGGUUACAAUUCACAAAUAGUAGAUGAAUGUCGAUCUACUUUUAAAAAAAAUUUUGGCAAAGAUUAGGUUUAAUAAAUAAAUUUUCUAGCUUUACGUACUCAAAAGAUAUUAAAUUUAAUUAUUAUAUUCAUCUUUAUUAUUUAAGCAAAUAUCCUAUUUAUUGUAAUGUUUGAACUCAUUGAAGUGAGGUACACGCGCAAGGCGCGUACACCUAAACUAGUAAUCAAUAAAUAAGUGAAUCGUCUGUUUGACCACCUAAGCGAUCCCGCCGGUCCACACUCCCCCGCUCCUCAGCCUGUCUUGGAUCCUCCAUUCGAUUUUUUUGGUCCAAAACACACCCAAACCAUGGACUGUCACAAAUGGAGCCAGGGGCCUGACCGCGACGGACAUCCUAAACCGUGAAAGCCCGAGCGCCCCUGUUCAAUCUGGUAACCAUACACAAUUUUCAUACAAUAUAAAGAAAUGCGAAAGAUUAAUAAAUGAAAAUAGGGUCACUUUUUAAAUUCAACAAGACAAUUUGAAAUGAAGUUCGUAACAUUCAAAGUACAUGACUCUAGUCUGUGAAAUCUCUACUAACUUAAAAUAACAUCUAUCUAAACUCUGGGAAAAGGAACCCAGUCGGACCAUGAAUCAAAAUAAUAUAACCAUGACAAGUUUCGUAACCAGGCCUUCCUAAGUAAGGGAGGUUCACCAGUUGCAACUUCUAUCAAGUCAAUCUAUUGCUUAACGGAACCUCGGGACUGAGCCUUAGAUCCUAAAAUAUAGGGAUCAAUACAAUAUUACUAGUACACAAAGCAAUAAAAAAUAAUGUAUCUAUAUUUAACAUAAGUGAGAGCAAUUCAUAAAACAUUUUAGAUAAGCUAUAUGAAAACACAUGGGCAUACUUUAAAAAACUUUGAACAAUUCAUUGAAAUCAUAACUCAUUCUUUGUCUUACUUGUGAGCUAGGUGGUAUACCUUACAUUCUGUAAUUCCAUGGGAUAUAUGGAAUCCGCCCUUGACUCGGUGGCGAAGCCCCCAAUCCAAGUUUACCGCCAGGAUUGGGGUAUUAAUAAAGAGGACACGCAAGAUCACACAGCAGGGUGGCAAAAUCCCCAAUCAAAUAAACAUGUCUUGGUAGUGCAUAAGAUCACAAAGCAGGGCUCCUUACCAUAGUCCCAAUUUGGAACGACAUGAAUCAAGGUACACAAGAUCACAAAGCAUGGUACCAUAACUCCGUGUCGGCAAAUCACGGUUUCUAGCAUUUAGUAUUUCAACUCGUGCUUUCUUCGGGUAACCACCUAACUCUCUUUAAUCCUAUUUGUAGGUGGUUCUAAACAUGCAUCUUUAUGAAAUUAAAUACUGAAAAUCUGAGUAAAAUCGGUAUUGUAUUUUAGUCUUAGUCUUCUAUGACAUUUAUUUGUUUGGUAUCGUCAUACCAAGACUUGCGAGUCGUAUCUCUAAUCCAUACAUAAUCAUGUUAAGUCUUCUAUUUCAAAACCUAGUGUUCAGACUAUCAAACUAUUCAAACCAUAUAUGAGGAUGUGUAUAGUGAAACUCAUAAAAACUUAGGCAGAGUUCCUCUAUUUCAAUUCACAAACACAUGGCGGUCAAGUUUCAUGUAACAAACCAUGCAAUCUCUUUCAAUUAUCACUUUAAACAUUUAUAAACAAUAAAACACCCUCUCUUCAAUUCAUAAUAAAUAUCAAGUUCAAAAUAAUAGUAAAAUAGUUAUCUCACACUUCAAAACAUGCAAUUGAACAACCCACCACAUGUGAAAUCAAAAGGUAUUAUAACAAGAGAGGGGUUUCAUCAUUCAUGAACUCGAUUUAAUAUUUGCAAAAUGCAAAACACAUACUUACACAUAUAAGAGUAAAAAUCAAUUUUAAGGGGAGGCCUCAAGACCAAAACAAUAUGUCUAUCAUUGAAAAGGGUUUCAUGAUUUAAAUAUUCAAUACAAUUGUUCAAACCCUUGUUAUAAACAUCAUAACAUACUUUUAAAAGAUUGAUAAAAUCAUACUUAUGCCCAUAGAGUUUUUAGGACAACCCUACAUACCUUAACCAAUGAAGAAUUACGAAAAAGUUGAUCCCUUGAGCUUGAAUGUUUAGCCAUAAGUUGUUUUCUAUUAUGGUUUUCUUGGAAUAUGAAUUGGGAUCUUAAGAGAUUUAAAAUGGUACUAAUAACCCUAAUUUUUUUUAAGGAUUAUUAGGGACGGUUUUGGAUUAUAAAAAGACUUGACUACCCUUAAAAUGACUUUAAAACGACAUUUUUACGCCCUUGGGCCAUAAGGCAUGUGACGUAUUGCCUAUGGCCUAAGUUAGGCAGUGCCACGCAUUGUCCAUCGCCUUAAAUGGGCUGGGCAUUGCAUUGCCCAUAGCCCAAAAUGGGCUGGGCGACGCAUUGCCCAUGGCACAACACUUCCAGUAGCUUUAGGUGAUUUGCUAGGCAACGCACUCCACUUUGCAAAUUCAUAAUUUUCUCUUGGUCAUCGGAUUUAGAAGAAAUUAGUAUUGUUCAAAAGAUACUUCGAAGACCUUUCAUUUGAUAUAUAGUAGGACCUAUAAUUCGUUAUAUACAAGAAGUUAUGAUCGAUUGAAGUUGACCCAAGUUGAAACAUCUACAAAAACUUAAUCGAUAGAAAUGUUUUCAACUCGUCUUAGAGUUAGGGGAUUUUUUUGACAUCAAAUCAUAUUCAAAGGUUUUCCUACACAAUAGGAUUGAUCACCACACAUAUAUUAAAAAGUAAUCAUUUAGUUUGGAUCUAUACACAUAGGAACGACGGUCUAAAUUCUAGCCCAAAAGUACGGGGCGUUACAUUAUCUCCCCCUUGGGAUCAUUCAUCCCCGAAUGAUGGGUAGGGACUUCUUGAAGCUCUAAAAGUGCAGAAUAAAGAACGUAAUAUUGAUUUGAAUAUUUUUCGUCAACAAAAAUCUUCAAAGGCAUCACACGAUCUUCAUGAUUUCCCAUAGGAAAACGGUAAGCAUGAAACCUCAGAAAAUGUUACUUGACAUCGACAUGAUCUUGGCAUGUAAUUUAUGGCACAUGAUCAAAACUUUGUAAGACAUGAAUUUUUCCUAAGAGUCCAUAGCCAUAAGAAUAUUAGCAUUCUCCAUCUAACAAGAUACAAUGAAAACACUUAAACUUAGAGACACUACUCAUCUGUACCCCAACAUUAAUCAACAUACUUCAUCGUUUCCAACUUACAAUUCUCCCAUUACACAUCUAACCACAAGAAUUUAUGUCUCUCCAUAUAAUACUUGUAUGUUCAAGCCUAAUUCGAAGGAAAGAGGUGCUAAUUAAAACUACGGGACCGUACACUCUACAUCAUAUUAAGAAAUCACCUCACCUCAUCUCUAUAAUCCAACAACUUCGAGCCUUAAUUCAAAGAAUACUAACCACAUGGCACAUAGGUUUGUGUUUUCAUCAAUCAGAACAUCAAGCCUAAUCAUUACUACACCCACUACAUGGAUCUCCCCACUAAGACCAGAAAUUUCAAUCACUCUCAAAAAUAUUUUUGCCACCGUUCUACUUCUUAGCUACUUCACACAAUAAAAGUUCAUCUCUUUCUUUUCCCUGUCACCUAUAACCUUAGCUCGAGAAUCACAUAACACUCUACCACGCUUCCACAACCACCAUUAUACUAACAUACGGAGGGUCAUUGAGUUUCCCGAGCAUAAACAUCAUGAAUGAAAGUAACACUAUUAGACCAUAACUUAUACUUAUUGCACUACUCAAGGUGGGACAUGAAAUUAAAAUACGAUAGAAUAGACCAGAAAUGCUUCAUACAUCAAGUGUCUGAAUCAUAAGUAGAGAGUCAUCUGGCGUAAACUCAACAUAGCACGAUUCCUGAGGGUAGACCAUAGAGAGAAACAUGAGUGCUUGCAGCACGAGUCAUAUAAUAUAAGUUUAGAAAUUUUAAAGUUAACGACCGAGACAAAAACUUAUACUCGAAGCUAUGAAUUUUUAUUUUUAGAGCUGAAAUAGUUAUAAGUUAGCAAAAAAUCUAUCACUUUGGCUAAUCCCGACAUAAAACGAAUCAUUAUCAUAUGAAAACAUAGUUCCUUAGAACCAAGUAUGAUUUGGGAUACGAAUUUAUGGACCAUGGACAUCAUAUCAUAGAUCUUGAAUAGAUGAAAGGCUGGAUCUACUAAGACAAUAUUGAUCCUAGUUUGGAGGUCGGAUCAUAACACAAGUUACAUAGAGUGCUCAAACCUUAGACACAAUAGGGAAUUGAAUGCAUGAGAUUUGGUAGAAUGACCUCUUAAAUUGAAGUAGGAGGAACAUGCAUCAUAACUCCUCCCCACAACUUGCCACAUUGAGAAAAUUCAGGAACUACCUUAAUCCGUCAUCUCCCCCUUUAGAUCAAAGUUACAAUCCUAAACUUGUGGCCAUACCUUUGUCGCACCCUAUUUUCCUUGUGAAAAGUGGGAUUCGACGUGACAAACUCUUUUUGGGAUUGUUUAAGGGGAGAAUAUGAAGAGUCGCCACCUAACAAAUUAAGGUACGUUAGGGCACUGAUCUAGGCUUACUAUGAACCUAUUUUGUUGUUAGUGAGAGUUCACCAAAAAUUCGGGUAAGGGUUCAAAUUACCUCAAAAGGAAGGUGUUAUUCACCUUUCGAGGUCCACAACGGUGGUUUCCGUCCAAUUUCAUACUUUACAAGGAGAUUCUAUGUGAUCAAAUAAAGCCUCUAAUUUUAUUAUUAACUUAAAUGUUAACUAAGUGGGGAAAAUAAUAAAGAAAACUUUCAACUGGUGUACAUAUCAUACAAAGAAUAAAAAAAAUACAAGAGAUAAGAGACUAACCUUUUGGGACAUGCAAAUAAUAAAUGAAAAUUCCAUAAUUCUCGUAAUCUUCAUCUUACUCGAAUCACGGACUCUAGCGAGAUCCUUUGCUCUUUAGUGUGAGGACAAAAUUGGAAGGUGAUAAACUACAAACUGAACUUACAUUGAAGUAAGGAUAGACGACAAAUGAUUCAAAACUUUUUAGUAAUAUGUGUGUCACCUCAAUUUUGGUGACGACUUAAAGUAAAGGAUUAAUAAAAGUAAUUAAGUAAUUCAAUAACACAUAUAUAAAGUAAAAAAGAUAAGAGAGAAGGUGAGUAGGGUCAUAGCAUCACAAGGCUGAAAUAGGCCCAAUGCGAUGUUACUCCCUCUCUUCCAAUAUCUAUGUCAACUCUCUUAAAUGUCUUAGGACAAGAUGAAAGAAAUUCUUAAAAACACUUAUUAAGGAGUACUAAAUAAUUUUAUUUUUUUUGAAUUUAAAAGUCAUGUGAAGCAAAUAAUAUGUGGAUAUAAUGUUUAAGUUGUAUCAAAGCAUGUUGCUAUAGUGUAGUAGUAGGAGAUGUCAAGUCUUUGAGGCUUUUAAAGAGAGUGUCAUGUAAACUUUGAAAAGAAGGGAGUAGCGGGGUGCUUUAUAUUUUAAUAAAGUUAUAUGUGCUUCAUAUAAGAAGUCAGCUAUAACCUGUCUUUUUCAUCAUAUCACAAACGUACCUCACCCCACUUGGAGGUGACUAUCCUUUUGAACUUGGUUAUGUUGACUCCCAUGAUUGAACUCCAAGUGACUCCAUUCCGUUCUAGUGUACAUAAAACAUUCAAAAUGGUGAGAGUAUGUCUGUUCUUAAUGUUUAACUAAUUGAAAGAAAAACUCUAACUAUAAAGUGAUAAAGAUUCUUGAUUAAAGUGUUCCAAUAAGACAGAAAAGAGUUUUCUGGUUCCUUUCUUUUUACUCGAUAAGGAGUUUUGGAAAUAAGUUUGUCAAUCAUCUCGCUCGUCUCGCAAUUGAUUAAAUUAUUUUGGUUUCAAAGAAGUCUAGGUCUGCGGUGAUAUGGCCUAGCAAGUUCAAAUCCCAUAACCUUGUCAAUUAGAGAUGUGAAAAUCGUAACCCAAUCAGUCUAACCUAAAAUCCAAACUCUGCGAUAAGAAACAUGACGCCUAACUAUAACUGGGAACAAUCAAAAUACUAUAGCCCCCUUAACUUAAUUGACACAGUGACAUUAAUUAAAAUAUUAACUUUGGACCUUAACAUUUCAACUAAGCAUAAAUUUAGAAAAAACAAAUUAACAAGUAACAGUUGUAAAAUGAAAAAAAAUAAAGUAACUAGCAGAAAUACAAGAGACGAACAUGCAUAUAACAAAAUAACAAUUUAAAUGAGAAAUUAUUGAGCCUUUUUUAUGGCAAUUUCCAUGCAUUUAUAUCAAGAACCUUUCAACCCGACUUGGAAAAUAUGGAUAACGGUGAUGUUCAUGGCAGCUUUCCGUUGGCUUAGACUAGUGGCUCACAUGGUUAUAAAAAUGGAGUUUUUAGGAGCUACUUUUAAUGGUGAAAUUGAUGGCUCCAGAAAAUGAAUGAUUGGUGUCUUUGAUUAUAUGUUUUGUGCCUAACUAUGGAUUUACAUUGUCGUGUAUGUAUAUGUGUUAUCCUUCUCGCUUUUUUUUCCCCAUUGACUCUCCAUUUGAUCUCUUUAUAUAAAGCUUCAUUCAAAAUAGUAAUUGAUAAGAAAUCUGCCCAAAUAUUUCCAAGUCAUGGAGAAUCAAAACGGACCAAGCCAAACAUGGUAAAGAAUAAGAAGAAACGUUGGUGUAGUGGAAAAUGGGAAAGGAAAAAAAAGGUCUUCAUUUGAUUAUUGAGAGAAUAUUAUUCCUAACUUAAGAAAUAGGGAAAUAAUUAAAGAAAGAAAUUGAGAAUUUUUUACAAGAAAAAUCAAAUUUUGAAGGAUUAAUAAAGGGGGAGACGGAGAACGUUGGGAGGAAGUGUUAAAGGAAAAAAAUAUUUCAUCAUUUGCCUAAGUAAAUGAUAUGGAAUAUUCACGGAUAUGGACUUAGGAGAGUGCGUGUUGGACCCGAGCCUUGGCACGUGCAAUUGAAGUGUAAAAGAGGCCCAAAAUGCACCCAAAUCAGCCCAUAAAUUACACUAUAUGGGUGCCCACUCUUUGAAGGGCCUUUUGGUCAUUUUAACUUAUAUUUUGUUAUAUGUGUAAAAGGAACAUUGUAGGGUUUUUAGUUUAGUUUUUGGAUGAUAUUUUUGAGUCUUGUAAGACUUGUAACAAGCUCUCUCUCUAGUGAGAAGAAUGGACACCGAAACUAGGAUACUACAAUAGGGUGGAUUCUCUUUUGUUGUUGCUUGCUUGGAAGCGUUGAUGCUAGAGAGGUGGAAUCUGAUCUUGUGUCACGUAAAAGAUAGGUUUAUUGUUUUGUGUAGUAUUAAGGGUCCAAGAGUGUCCAUUCUUGGGUUUUUAAGAUUAUACCUUCAUGUGGUCUAUCUAUCUAUCCAUUUACCUUCUUGUAAUCUUGUUUAGUGUUUGUGUUAUAAUCUUGUGUUCUUGUUGUUAUUGUUAAAUCCGUAUCUUGUGUUUUCUUGUUCAUCAUAUGUAAUCCGAGUCUAAAUGUUUCAGAAAUAUCUUUCCAAGUAUGAAAUACUUUGAAUCAUGUGGGAAUCUAUUCGAGAAUGAAGUAAGAUCAUAGACGUCCCCUAACUCAAGGACGAGUUGAAAUCUUUCCUAUCGUUUAAGUUUUAGUGACAGUCAAAAUUUAGGUCAACUUCAAUCGACAAUAACUCCCAUGGUUGAACUCCAAGUGAUGCCAUUCCGUUGUAGUGUACAUAAAAUAUUCAAAAUGGUGAGAGUAUGUUUGUUCUUAAUGUUUAACUAAUCGAAACAAAAACUAUAACUAUAAAGUGAUAAAGAUGUUUGAUUAAAGUGUGCAAAUAAGACAUAAAAGAGUUUUCUGGUUCCUUUCUUUUCACUCGAUAAGGAGUUUUGGAAAUAAGUUUGUCAAUCAUCUCGCUCAUCUCGCAAAUGAUUAAAUUAUUUCGGUUUCAAAGAUGUCUAGGUCUGCGGUGAUAUGGCCUAGCAAGUUAAAAUCCCAUAACCUUGUCAAUUAGAGAUGCAAAAAUCGUAACCCAACCUGUCUAACCUAAAAUCUAAACUCUGCAAUAAGAAACAUGACGCCUAACUAUAACUGGGAACGAUCAAAAUACUAUUGCCGCCUUAUCUUAAUUGACACAAUGACAUUAAUUAAAAUAUUAACUUCGGACCUUAACAUUUCAACUAAGCAUAAAUUUAGAAAAAACAAAUUAACAAGUAACAGUUGUAAAAUGAAACAAAAUAAAGUAACUAGCAGAAACACAAGAGACGAACAUGCAUAUAACAACAUAACAAUUUAAAUGAGAAAUUAUUGAACCCUUUUUAUGGAAACUUCCAUGCAUUUAUAUCAAGAAACUUUGAACCCGACUUGCCAAAUAUGGAUAACGGUGAUGUUCAUGACAGUUUUCCGAUGGCUUAGACUAUUGGCUCACAUGGUUAUAAAAAUGGAGUUUUUAGGAGCUACUUUUAAUGGUGAAAUUGAUGGCUCCAGAAAAUGAAUGAUUGGUGUCUUUGAUUAUAUGUUUUCUGCCUAACUAUGAAUUUACAUUGUCGUGUAUGUAUAUGAGUUAUCCUUCUCGCUGUUUUUUCCCCAUUGACUCUCCAUUUGAUCUCUUUAUAUAAAGCUUCAUUCAAAAUAGUAAUUGAUAAGAAAUCUGCCCAAAUAUUUUCAAGUCAUGGAGAAUCAAAACGGACCAAGCCAAACAUGGUAAAGAAUAAGAAGAAACGUUGGAGUAGUGGAAAAUGGGAAAGGAAAAAAAAAAGAUCUUCAUUUGAUUAUUGAGAGAAUAUUAUGCGUAACUUAAGAAAUAGGGAAAUAAUUAUAGAAAGAAAUUGAGAAUUUUUUAAAAGAAAAAAUCAAAUUUUGAAGGAUUAAUAAAGAGGGAGACGGAGAACGUUGGGAGGAAGUGUUAAAGGAAAAAAUAAAAAAAUUUCAUCAUUUGCCAAAGUAAAAGAAAAAAUCUUAUAAUUUAGAAUGUGGAACACUAAAUUUAUUUACCAAAAAACGUUGGGCAAGAUAAGUAUUUUGUGUGAAAAAAUAUUUUAUGGGAUAUGUAGCAUGGUAAAUUUUGAAAAUUGACAUCAUAUAGUAUUAGUAUUUUACUAGAGAAAAAAUCUUGAAAUAAUUGUGGCCAUUUUAUUCACAAUCAAUUUAAAAUAUUAGUAAGUAAUAAACUAAUUCAAAAUAUAUAAUAAAAAAAAUACUAGACAAUGUAUUUGUAAAUUGUGAGUGUGGAUAUUUACGAAUAUGAUUUAAUAUAUUGAUAAAAUUAUGUAAAAUAUCAUAUUUGAAUUAACAAAUUGUAAAAAUGAUACUAAAAAGUAAUAAAAUAAUUUUUGUAUUUUUUUAAAUCAUGAAUGUAGCUUGUCGAAAAUUAUUUGAUACCAAAAUAAUGUGUAAAAAUAAUAAUAUUUAAAAUUAAAUAAUUUUAACAAAAUAGCAGCCUACAAGGAGUAUCGAGAGUCCAAAAUUGGGUGUCAACAACCUUCACAUCAAAAUCCACAACUCUCAACACAAGAGAUAUACCACCAUAUACAUAACCGCUAAACUCUCUCCGAUAAACUAUAUUCUGAACGCAUAUGAGCUUGCUCCAUUGAUACGGACUCCAUGAUGUGAUUAUCACUGGUAAAUUGCAAUUAUUAUAUUCGUCUACUUUUUUCCUCGAUACCUUUUGGGGUACAAUUUUUUAAAAGUAAGAACCUCCUAACUUUAUUAUGAUGAACAUUCAAGGCCUGCUAUAAUAUGGUUCGGCUGAUGUAUUAAGCUGAUUUUUAGGUGAGAAUGGUACUGGUGAUGUUUGGUGGAAUAUGUGGAGAAAAAGGACUCUUCAAUUUAUACGACCUCAUCUUGUUGAACUAAUGAAAUCUAGGGGCAUAUUUCGAAUUUUAUUUUCAAGAACUUUCCCUUUUGAAAUAUAAGUUUUGCAUAAGUGUAAGAGAAUGUAUGGAGACUAAUUCCACAUCCUGAUUACUUUUAUAGGCACACUUUUACAAAAUAUAACUGCAUAUAUAUUUCCGGCAUGGAAAACUUUCAGAGGAUAGAUAUCUAGACAUAAAUAUCUACGAUCUACAUUUAACUCACAAACGCUUCUCCUCAAUUCGGUGCAUAUAAAUCGUAUGUACCGAGCUUAUCAGAUGCGUGAUUGAUUCAAGGAUUGGUAAGGUGCUUGACGAUAAAUAUAUCUACAAGAUAAUCAACUUUCAAAAUUUCAAGUCACCUCAGAUUCCUUUUGUCCAAAAUUUUGUGAGUUUUGCAUAAUUAGUUCUCUUGUGAAAGACGAGAUUUAAUGCAAUAUAAAAAGCAACUUAAUCAUCACUCAAUUUCCAUCUGACUGACCUGUCUCUAAAUUCUUGAGCAAUUAUUUGAUCCAUAUAAGUUUAGAAUUUGCACAAUCCAAUAUUAUGUGCUUUCACUUACACUUCUAAGGCACCAAAGUACUACCUCGAUAAAAAAAAAGUAUCCAAAGUUAGAGCAUCUAUUAAAAUGUGAGCAUGCCCCAUUUUCAUUUGUAUAUAUAAAAAUCUGCUCAUAUCAUGUAUUCUCAUACAAUAAUUCUUAUUCUGAAACAGAUUUUAUAUAUUGAAAGACACCAAACACUGAAUUCUAAUGAGUAUCACAUGGAGAGUGACUAUAAACCGGCUUAAAACACUUACCUGAAAAGCAAUAUCAUGUCAACUUAUCGCAAGAUAAUUAAACUUGCAAACCAAUUCUGUCUUGCAGGAUCACCACGAGCUUCCCUGACUUGGUGGAAGCUUAAUCGAUGAAUUUUUUCGUUAAAAGUAUUUGUUUUUCUCUUGUAAUUAUGAUUAAAAAACAUGUCCAGUGAGAAAUAUAAUCAUUUUGGAAUAAAAAGUUCAUUUUAUUAUCAUAAAUAUGUUAGUAUAUUUCAAAUAUUCCUAACGAUAGAUAUCAAUGCACCAAGUAUAAUAUGAAAAGAAUAGUUUGGGGGGAUAAUCGUGGUCAAAAAAAUCUGAAAAGCAGCUACAACCAGAUAGCUGCAAUUUAAAACAAACUGAUCAAAAUUCACGAAAUUUGUAAUCAAUAUAGAGAAAAUAAAUACCAUGCUAAAUCAAUAGAAAUUCUAAUUUUAAGAAUCAUAAGUUGUUGCUGCAACCGUUAUGCGCUUUUACUUCAAUAAAAGAGGCAAAAGAAUUUCGCUAUUAAGGUGGCUACAAACUAUUUCUUGGCCAAUCAAUUUCAACUAUUUAACCAUCGCCUACAUCUACCAUAGCAAAAGAAAAAUAAUAGAAAUUCUAAUUUUAAUAAUCAUUAGUCGUUGCUGCAACCGUUAUGCGCCUUUACUUCAUUAAAAGAGGCGAAAAAAAAAAAGAGGCAAAAGAAUUUGGCUAUCAAGGUGGCUACAAAUCUAUUCCUUGGCCAAUCAAUUUCAACUAUUUAGCCAUCGCCUACAUCUACCAUCACAAAAUCAACAAUAACUAUGACGACAAUAAUAAUACCAGCAAGCUCCUUCUCAUGACUUCACAUAUAUUCAUGGCCACUACUGGGAUCAGACUCCAACAAGAAUUUGGUAAAAAAUGAAUAUUAAUAAAAAAAGAAAAAAAUAACAAACAUUAUAUUAGUUGGUCUUCUUUAAGGCAAAAAACCUACACUUCUUUAAAAUCGAUAACUUUAUAUACAAAAAUCUUCAAUCUUCAUCUCAUAUAGUUCUAAAAAUUAAAAGAGAAGAUUAUACUAGCUGUGAAUUAAAUACACAUAAAUUUAGGACAAAUCAAAAUAAUGAAAACGAAUUAGAAUGUUUGCACUAAAAGAAUCAAUAAAAUUCAAUAAAACAUGCAUAGCACGACAAAAUAUUUAAUUUAAAAAUUAUACAGCUAAUGUUUCCUCUAUCGGUAGUUUUGGAAGAAAUAUGUAAAUAUAAAUAAAGAGAGACAAUCCUAAUCCUAAAGUGAAAGUCUAUUAACAUAUAUAACAAUUCGGUUUUGGGAAAAGACCUAACCAAAAUAGGAUACCAAUUUGAAAAAACAAAAGUCAUAAUUUUUUUUUUUUAGGAAAAAAGGUGAAAAAAUGAUUUUGUCUAUUAUAAAACAUUUUAAUGAAAGGAAAAAAGAUCAAUUCACUUUUUUAGGGGUCUUCGCAGUUUUGAUAUAUUAUAGAUUAUAGGUUAUAGAUUAUAGAUUACAGAUAUAGAUUAUAGAUAUAGAUUAUAGAUAUAAUAUAUUAUAGAUUCUAGAUAUAGAUUGUAGAUAUAAAUUACAGAUAGGAAAAAGGCUGAAAUAUGUCAUUGAACUACCAGAAAUGGCUCAUUUAUGCCAUCAGUUAAAAGUUUGACUCAUUCAUGCAAUCGCCGUUACAAAAUUAGCUCAUCCAUGCCAUUAAUUUUUAACGGGGAUUUUCAAAAACAACUUGCAACAUGACCUUUGGCUAUUUCUAGUUGAUUCUAAAUCAUUAUAAAUGUUAUGCUUAACAGAAACCUCAAAAAUUCUAUCCUAAAGUAACUGGUUAAUUUUAAUUUCAGUGACUCCAAUAUAUACUCCGAAGUUACAAGAAAAUAAAUCAAUGAACGAUUAGGGCAAGCAAGACAAACAAAGUGGCAUACCAAUAGAACUUCUCCAUUCCCCCAUCACGAAUUAGAGGAGUAUACAUUAUUGAAAAAAUCAUUUCCAAAUAACGACUUAAAGGAAGUCUGUUAUCCCAAUUAUCGCGUCUUUCAUAUGGAAUAACUUCUCCCAUCACGAAUUAGUGGAGCAUAUAUUGUUGAAAAAUUAUUUUCAAAUACAGUCUUAAAAGAAGUCUGAUAUUGCAAUUAUCCCGCCAUGUAUAUGAUAUAACUUCUCCCAUCAUUAUGGUAUAAAUGUUGGAAUAAAUAAUUUUAAUACUAACUAAUUUCAGAUAUUUUAAAAUUCAUAUUGAUUUUUUUUAAUUAAUGGCGUGGACUUAUAAUAAAAGACCACGUGGAAAAACUAUUUUUAAAAAUCCAUCAUUAAAAAGUAAUGGCAUGAGUGAGUUAAUUUUAUAACGGUAAUCGCAUGAAUGUGCCAAACUUUUAAUUGAUUGCAUAAAUGAGCCAUUUCUGAUAGUUCAAUGGCACAUUUGAGUCUUUUUGCUUAUUUUAAUCAACGAUGUGGACCUCUAAUAAAAGUCCACGUGAGAAAGUUGUUUUUGAAAACCACUGUUAAAAAGUAAUAGCAUGGAUAAGCUAAUUUUGUAAUGGCGAUGGCAUGAAUGAGCUCAACUUUUAACUGAUGGCAUAAAUGAGUCAUUUCUGAUAGUACAGUGGUAUAUUUGAGCCUUUUCCCUUAUAGAUAUAGAUUUUGGAUUAUAGAUUAUACAUAUAAAUUAUAGAUAUAGAUAGAUUAUAGAUAGAUUAUAGAUAGAUAUGGAUAUAUAUUUGAAAGAGAGAGAACUUUUCAUUCAUUUAUAUAAAUGCUAAUAUUGCGUAAGUUAUUCAUCAUCAUUUUAUUUAGGGGAAAGGCUCAAAUAUGACAUUGAACUAUCAGAAAUGACUCAUUUAUGCUAUCAGAACAUCGCCGUUACAAAAUCGGCUUAUCCAUGCCAUUAAUUUUUAACGAUGAUUUUCAAACAGCUUUGCCACGUGACCUUUUAUUAAAGGUCCAUGUCAAUAAUUAAAAUAAGGAAAAAGGCUCAAAUUUUCCAUUAAAUUAUCAGAAAUGGCUUAUUUAUGCCAUCAAUUAAAAGUUCAGUCCAUUCAUGCCAUCGUUGUUAUAAAAUCAGCUCACUCAUGCCAUUACUUUUUAAUGGUAGGUUUUCAAAAAUAUUUUUUUCAUGAGGCCUUUUAUUAGAGGUUUGCGACAUUAAUUAAAAUAAAUAAAUAUUAAUUUUAAAAUAUCUUAUACCCAUUAGAAAGAACCGAUCCAUUUAACAUAACCCGACCAACACCCAUUAAAAUAUUUUUUUCCCUACAAAACAACUACUAUUUUUCUUAUCAGAAAAAAUAGUGAUUAGUAUAUAUCUUUUUCCUAUUUCUAGUUGAUUCUAAAUCAUUAUAAAUGUUACGCUUAACAGAAACCUCAAAAAUUCUGUCCUACAGUAACUGAUUAGUUUUAAUUCAAGUGACUACAAUAUAUACUCCAAAGUUGCAAGAAAAUAAAUCAAUGAACGAUUAGGGCAAGCAAGAAAAAGAAAGAGGCGUACCAAUAGAACUUCUCCAUUCUCCUAUCACGAAUUAAGGAAUUAUAAAUUAUUGAAAAAAUCAUUUUCAAAUAACGACUUAGAAGAAGUCUAUUAUCCCAAUUAUCCCGCCAUGCAUAUGGAAUAACUUCUCCCAUCACGAAUUAGUGGAGCAUACAUUGUUGAAAAAUUAGUUUCAAAUAACGGCUUAAAAGAAGUCUGCUAUUCCAAUUAUCCCAAUAUGUAUAUGGGAUAACUUCUCCCAUCAUUAUGGUGUAAAUGCUGGGAUAAAUAAUUUCGAUGUUGGGUUCGAAUUUGAGAGGGCGUCAUGCGGAAGCUAUUUGUUGCAAACUAUUGAGACGAUAAAUCAGACGAAAAGAAAAACAUACUAAAAAUAUGAUGAUUAUAUAGUUUGACCAAUUGGCUCACAUAUAAAAACCUAAUAUAAAAGAAAACAUAAAACUAUUAGAUAGAAAAUCUCCCUCUAAACAAAAAUCUUAAAAGACUACAUUGUGGAUGUUAUUGUGUUAUGGUAUGGAAGGGGGUCUUCUAUUUAUAGAUGUCUAAAACCUUUUAUCCAAGAAAGAGGUUAGCCAAAUAUGGAAAAGAAUUAUAUUUUUUCUUUCAGGAAAAGUAAAAGUAAUUAUGGUAACUUUUAUUUUCCUUCUAAGAAAAAAUAAAUCUUAAAUAUAGUUAGAAAACCAGGGCAAAAACCCAAACAAAUCUCCCCUUUUUGGCUUGAUUUUCUUCACUUGAUCCAUCUUCUCUUCAUAUCACGUACAUGAACUUCAUUCUUGAUAUAAUAUUUAUAACUGCUGCUUGUAAUGGUUAAAAAUAAGGUUUAAAAUAUCAUGGUUAAAAAUUAAUUUAAAAGUAAUAUUUUAAUUUUAUUUUUAAACAUGCAGCAGCAGGAGUAUUUAAAAUAUGGUUGAAACUUGUUCUCCACAUGUAGUUCGACAAAAAUCUUAAUUAUCGUCCAAAUUGUUGCAGCUUGAUUUUGCAACCUCUUUGAACCUGUUUAAUCUCGUUUCACCAUACCAUUGGACCAUUGAACCGUAAGCUCUAAUACCACUUGUUGGGUCUGAAAUCGAGAGGGCGUCAUGCUGAAGCUAUUAGUUGCAAACUAUUGAGACGAUAAAUAAGACGAAAAGAAAAGCAUACUAAAAACAUGAUGAUUAUAUAGUUUGGCCAAUUGACCUACUUAUAAAAUCCUAAUAUAAAAGAAAAUAUAAAACUAUUAGAGAGAAAAUCUCCCCUUAAACAAAAAUCUUAAAAGACUACAUUGCGGAUGCUAUUGUGUUAUGGUAUGAGAAGGGGGUCUUCUAUUUAUAGAUGUUCAAAACCUUUCCUCCAAGAAAGAGGUUAGCCAAAUAUGCAAAAGAAUUAUAUUUUUUCUUUUAGGAAAAUUAAAAGUAAUUAUGGUAACUUUUAUUUUCCUUCUAAGAAAAAAUAAAUCUUAAAUAUAGUAUGAAAAUCAGAGCAAAAACCCAACACCCGAUACUAACUAAUUUUUGAUAUUUUAAAAUUAAUAUUGAUUUAUUUUAAUUAAUGUUGUGGAAUUAUAAUAAAAGACCACGUGACAAAGCUAUUUUAAAAAACUCAUCAUUAAAAAGUAAUGGCAUGAGUGAGUUGAUUUUAUAACGGUGAUGGCAUGAAUGAGUCGAACUUUUAACUGAUGGCAUAAAUGAGUCAUUUCUGAAAGUUCAAUGGCAUAUUUGAGUCUUUUUGUUUAUUUUAAUUAAUGACAUGGACCUCUAAUAAAAGGUCACGUGGAAAAGUUAUUUUUGAAAACCACCAUUAAAAAGUAAUGGUAUGAAAAGUAUUGUUGAUUUUAAGGUUAGUUUAUUCUUCUAAUUGAUUUUAAGGUUAAUUUAUUCUUCUAGUUUAUUCUUCUAAGUUUCUCGGGCUCUUUGAGAAUGUUGAUUCUUGCACAUAGAAUCCUCCAAAAGUAGUCCAUUUUUGAACGAUUCGACAUGAGGGAGGCAAGUCAGGCAAUAUUUUUGAGAGGUCGGGCAACUUAGGCCACAAUUUGCUAAAGGUCUAUUGAAAAUCGCUUCUUUAUCUCCACAAGGUAGAAAUGAGUUACUUUAGUUCUUGUUGUUAUUGCAAUUGGAAUAUUUGCAGGUUGAAAAAUACAAGAAUUUCCUAUAAAAGGAAAAAAGCUUAGCUCAAAAAGUAAAGAAGAAUGAGGGUCGCGGAGAGUAGAUAUAUUUCAGUUUUUGCUAUGGAAAAAGUAUAAUUAAAUAGUCCGUUUUAGUUAAAAACUCAAUGAAACGUCUAUCAAUCUUUGGUUAUUUUCUCCAAACUCUCAACCCCAAGGUGAGAAUUAGUAGUAGUAGUUGUAAUUAUAAUUGUAGCGAAAAUUCUAAGGCUGUGAUGAUGAUUUUCUUCUUUCCUUCUUUGAGUAAUUCAUUAAUGCAGAAGAGAGAUUGAAUCUGUAUCUUGGCGGGGCAACCCGGAUAGCAGGUGAGCUUGCAACUGGUGUUUACAGCCAUUAUGGUGAUCCAGUCUCUCUUGCUGUAUGGUAAGCAUUACAGAUCUGAGCCUCAAUAUUGAUUUUUCAUAAAUAUAGUUGGGGAAUUGGCAGUUUGAAAAACACAUGAGAAUUUCCCCUAAAAGGAAAAAAACUCAGAGAUUAAGAAUGAGGGUUGUGGAGAGUAGAAGAGAAAGAUGAAAGGGUUGUUACUCCUCUUUGCAAUGUCUGUGAUUUCAGUUUCUGCUGUGAAAGUAUAAAUAAAAGCAACAGCCCUUUUUUUAAUUAAACUCAGCCAAACGAUCCCUUAAAGUGUUUGCUUGUUCUCUCCAAAAUUCUCACAUUCAAACUGAGAAUCAAUUUUACUAGUAAUAAUUCUAGCAAAAAUUCUGAUGCUAUGAUGAUUUUUUUCUUUCUUUCUGAGCAAAUUUAGGCAUCAAAGAAGUCGGACCUGUAUCUUGGCGGGGCAACCCGGAUGGUAGAAGUAACCCUGCAAUCGGUGCUUGCAUCCAUAAGGAUACUUGAUAAAAUGUUCACAUGGGUGUUGAUAGAAUCUGACUUCUUAUGUUCAUUUCUCAUUUCAGAGUUGGAAUUAAACUUAUCUAUAUGUGCCAAUGUGGGUUCAACCUUUAUUCAAUUCCUUCUUUCCUUGUUUGGGAAACGCAACGAAAAUACUUUGCUGUAAUGAUGUCUCAUCACAUAGUCAUAGUUAUUCUGAUUUCAUUCUCAUAUAUUUCAAGGUAAAGUUUAAUUUACCAGUAGCUAAUCUUUUGUUUUUUUAGUUAUCACUUUCCUCCUUACAUUGUCUUUUUUUUUAUUUGUGUAUGUAUACUCUAUCUUGAUAUGAAAACAGGGACAUGAUAUAUGUAUGAUGUUAUCAACACUUUUAUGGUCUCAAUGCUUAUGGUGGGUGCAAUACUAGUAGGAAUUUUAUAAGUUCUUGAAAUUUUCCUAUGCACUUAACCACAGAGCUCAGACAUUCUUUGAUAUAUUUUGAGAGAUAAUUUUUCUUUUCAUUUUCAAUUGAUGGUGAGGUAAGGGAUGCUUGGUUUAAGUAGAUUUUAAACUUUGAAGACCUGGUUCAAGAGUAAAAAUAGUAGAAGGGAAAUGGACAAUUGAACAUUUAUUGCCAAAGUAAGAACAGUUAGAUGCCAAUAAUGGUGAUAAUAUCAAUUUGCAUAUUCAUAUAUAAAAAAAACCUAGUGUUUUCUGGUGCAUAAGAGUUUUAAUGGCAGAGAUUAUCUGUCAAAAACCUUGUCAGACUACUUGGAAUUUUGGAAGAAGUCUCUAACCCAGUGUUAUUUAUCUAACACUCGAGGAAAUAAAUUAGCAAAUGCAAAAUAUUCAUAUUGUUGCCCGCAUAUUAAAAGAAUGGACAAGUUUUAAUCUGUUGCGGUUUGUGUAUUAAUUUGAUGUGUUUUGACAUGUGUAGCUUCUUUAGAAUAGGGAUUGCUAUUAUUGCAUUACAUGAUGCAAGUGAUGUCUUUAUGGAGGCUGCCAAACUUUUUAAAUAUUCGUGGAAGGAGCUUAGACCUGGCCUGAUCCGGCCCUCGUAACUAACCCGGACUGAUUUGACCCGGCCCGGUAAGCCCUAGGGCUUUAGGAUUUUGGGUUCCGGGCCAAUUAUUUUUUUAAAAUGGGCCCGGCUAACCCAUCCCGGACCAAGUCCUGUCCAGGCCCACCAAUUAACCGAUCCGGCCCGGUCCGAAUACCUUUUUUUUUUAAAAAAAAUAAAAUAAAAUUUGGGAUUUUGACCCAAAUUAGCUGUUGGGGCCCAAUGGCUAUAUAGCCAUUUUUGGGUCCAAACAGCUAGUUUGGACCCAUUUAUUUAAAAAAAAAAAUUUAACUUCAAAAAAUAUUUUUUAAUCCCAAAAAAUAUUCUAUAGAUACCCUACAACUUCAAAUCAUUUUUCACACAAUUUUUCACUUUCUCAAAUCUAUUUCUCUCUCAAAGCUCAAUUCUCAAUUCUCAAAUAUUCAAUAUAUAUAAUUUCUUAAAGUGUUCACUUUAAUUUUUUAAUUUUUCGUUUACAAAGUACGAGCAAAAGUUUCUAAAGUCGCAACCUUUGGAUACUUUCAAAAUUUGGUAUUGUCAUUCCAUCUCUUACGUUUAAUUUUUAUUUAUUGUAUUAAUUGUUUAAUAUUUAAUUUUAUUAUAUUUGUGUAUUUUGAAUAUUUUUAGUUUAAUUUAAUUUAUAUUAUGGAUAAAUUAAGAAACCUCGCUACUAAAGGUGUUAAAAAAUUUUGUUCCGAAAGCGGUAGAGGUAGUUCAAGUAGUAGAUAUACCCGUGUGCCUUCGCCUCCGGUACCGCUUGGUACAUCUUUUGAGGAAGAAAUAGGUGUAGGUGCUCACGAUAUGGAUUAUGUAGAAGCUCAAGAAAAUUACGGUAUAGAAGAAGAAAAUGAAGUAGAUGCGGUUAAUUUAGACGAAGAUAAUGAAAAUAUUGCUGAGACACCCGCAGUAGGAGAUGCUAACAUUAGAUCUAAAUCGGUUAAUCUCCCUCCCCAUCCUCCCAGUGCCCCAAGACAUCUUAAAAGAACUAGUGUUGCAUGAAAAUUUUUUGAACGUAUAUCAGAUAUUGAGGUGCAAUGCAAUAUUUGUCAACUAAUAUAUAAGCAUAGAAGUGGGCAAGCAAGGGAGUAUGGGUACUUUAAUGAGACAUAUAGAUGAAGAUCACAAAAGAGAGUUAAAUAUUGCACAAGGUGGUGGGGAUGUUGGUGGGCCAACGCAAACUAGAAUGGACCCAGCAACCGGUCACGUAGCGAAGAAGUAUAAUAAAUUGAGGGACCAGGAAGAAAUAGCUAAAAUGGUAGUUGUGGGUUGUUUGCCUUUUAGUUUUCCUUCUUAUGAUGCCUUUAUUCAUUAUAUACAAGCAAUUUAUAAUCCUAUGUUUAAUGGUAUUCCUAGAACUACUUGUCGGUCUGAUAUUUUUAGACUUCCUUCACAAUAUUAUUUUUAUUUAUCAACAUUGUUAAAAAAUAUUCAAUGUAGAUUGUCCCUAACUUCUGAUCUUAGUCGUGUUGUAAAUAAAACUAAUUAUUUAACCGUUACUUGUCAUUGGAUGGAUAGUAAUUUUGUUAUGCAAAAACGUAUUCUUGCUUUUUUUAUGAUGAAGAUCGUAAACUUACUGGACAAUUUAUUGCUGAUUCUAUUGUUAAAAUUACCGGAUAUUAUGGUAUCAAAAAUAAAAUUUUAUGUAUUGCUUUUGAUAAUGCUUCUACCAACAAGAUUGCUAUAAAAAAUUAAAAUCUAUGCUAUCUCCGCCCUUACCUGAAAUUUUUCAUAUUAAGUGUGCAUGUUAUAUAUAUAAUUUAAUUGUAAAAGAUGGUCUUGAGUUUUUUGAGCUUUAUAUUGAAAAAAUUCGUCUUACCGUUGGUUUUAUUCAAGGAAAUAAUCGUAGAUCGAGAAUUAGAGAAUUCAAAGUUAAAUGUCAAGAAAAUGGACUUACACCUAUUUUGAUGCCUGGGGAAAUUUAUACUAGAUGGAAUUCUAUGUAUGAAUUUUUAAAAACUUGUUAUAAAGAUAGAAUUUCUAUUACAGUAGCUUUUAACCAACAUUGCGGUUCAUUUGCUGAUUCUGCUGAUUGCAUGCUACCUAAUUCUGAUUGGGUUGUAAUUAAUGAUCUUGUUAAGUUUUUAGAAAAAUUUUAUGUAGCUAGGGUUGAAUUUUUCGGUGCUUAUUAUCCUACUGUUUGUAAUAUUUUGGCAUAUAUAGCCGAUAUUUCUGGUUUGCUCAAAGAAUAUAAAAAUACAGAAAGUUAUAAAGAAGCUGUUGGCGCCAUGCUUCUGAAAUUUAAAAAAUAUUUUUUCCCGAUUCCCCCUAUUUACUUGGUUGGUGCUUUGCUAAAUCCGUGCAUGAAAUAUAAUAAUAUGUGCCACUUUAGUACUCUUAUUUAUAAUAACUUAGAAAUAAAUACUAACCAUGAUUUUGAACAAAUACAACCUGAUUUGUGGACGGCUACGGCUGGUGAAAAGGAUUACAUAGAAAAAUUAUAUAAUCAUUAUGCUGAUUUGUUUGAUUUAGCCGUACCUCACAAUAUCACUCCAACUAUCGCUCCUCAUCCUCUGGAGGAGCCAUCAUCUUCUAAAAGGCCGGCAGAUAGUGGUUUUUCUGAUUCGUUUUAUGAUUUAAAUUGUUGGAAUAGGGUUGAUGAGAGAACUUACACAUCAACUUAUCGGGAAGAGCUGAAAUAUUAUCUUCGGACGGCACCAGAGGAUCGCAGACGAUGGGUCAACACGUUGGAUUGGUGGGGGGGGAAUGAAACACAAUAUCUUGUGCUUUCAAGAUUAGCUAGAGAUAUCUUGAAUGUUCCAAUGUCAACCGUUGUAUCAGAGAGUGCCUUUAGUUAGGGAUGACAGCAGCUUGGAGACAACCGCACUCAUUGGGAAGUAAUGCAAUGAAUGUUCUAGUUUGCGUCAGAGAUUGGAUUAGAGCAUAAAGAAGAAAUCAAGGAAUGGAACCGGAGCCGAGCGAUGAGCUGAAACUUGAAGAAAUUAUGACUUCACGGGAGAACUCAGCAGAAUCAAGUCCAAUGCAUGGUUUUUCCCCCGUUGACUUCGACUAUCCUAUGCAAGUUCCCAUUAAUAUUAACAUGAAUGAGUUGGAAAAAAUGAUGCAUAAUUUAUAGAUUUUUCAUUCAUGUAAAUUAUAAAUUUUGGAUCAUUUUGCAAUCAAUAAAAUUCGCCAAAUUCAUUCACUCCUUAGUCCUUGCUUUUUAUAUUUUUUCAUUUAACAAUUUAAAAUUUUAAAUUGAAUUUCUAGUUUUCUACUUUAAAUUAAAAACUUACUUCUAAUAGAUUAUUAAUUUCCUACCAAAUAUUAUUGAUUUAUUAUAUUAAGUAGCAUAUGUUUUGUAUAUUUGUGCAUAUAUCUUCUAUAGAAGUGCAUAUUUAACGUAUACAUGUGUAUAUGUUUUAUAAAUUAGUAUAUAAGUAUACCUAUAUAUAUAAUAAUGUAUAUAUAUUGUAGUAUAUUUGAUAAGUAGUAGUAUAUAUAGAUUGAAUGGUGCGUAUGCACGUGUAUAUAUCUUCUAUAGAAGUGUAUAUUUAACGUAAACAUGUGUGUAUAUUUUAUAAAUUAGUGUAUAAGUAUAUCUAUAUAUAUUGUAAUGUAUAUAUAUUGUAGUACAAUUUAUAAGUAGUAGUAUAUAUACAUUGAAUAGUGUGUAUACAUAUGUAUAUAUCUUCUAUAGAAGUGUAUAUUUAACAUAUACAUGCGUAUAUGUUUUAUAUAUUAGUAUAUAACUAUAUCUACAUAUAUUGUAGUAUAUUUUAUAAGUAGUAGUAUAUAUACAUUGUACGGUGCAUACACAUGGGUAUAUAUCUUGUAUAUUUAACAUAUACAUGUGUAUAUAUUUUAUGAAUUAGUAUAUAAGUAUAUCUAUAUAUAUUGUAAUGUAUAUAUAGUGUAGUAUAUUUAUAAGUAUUAGUAUAUAUACAUUGAAUGGUGCGUAUAUAUGAGUAAUCGACUAAUUGUGUAUAUGUGUAUAUAUUUUUUAAAUUCUAAUGUAAUAUAUACUAUACAUAUUGUGUAUAUAUAUUAUUAUAACGUAUUUAAAGAAAGUUUUUUUUUUUUUUUUAUAUUUUUGACCGAUUUUUUAACCGAGUUUGAUCGGAUUUGGUGGGUUUGACCGGGUUGGGUUAAGCGGGCCGGGAUAGGGUGGAUUUUAUUUUUUUUACUGUUUGGCCCGGCCCAGCCUGGUCCGUAUAGCGCCAAAACCGGCCCUUAACCAGCCCUCAACCCGGUUAAAAUAGAACGGCCAGUUCCGGGUUGGCCCGGUCCGGCCCGUUUGACACCCAUAGCUUGGAGCUAGCAUACUAUUUGGUUGUUUUGCUGUCUCCUGGCUUGUACUUAGGCUAUUUUUCUUUCCAUUUUGGGUCAUACGAUCCUUAAGGUUGGCACUUAUCAGAUUUUCUACUCAUGAUAUUGUUCCCCUUUUCUAGUUUCUCCUCGUUAGUUCGAUGUGUUUCACUUCCUAGCUAUUAUCUGUGUGAGGUCUUAAAGUUGUCAGAUCCAUAUGAUACAAUGUUAUACUACUUCUUCAAUGCAAUGCUCUUGACCUUACUUGUGUUCCACAUUUAUAGGUCGGUGCUCAUCUAUUCAAUAAUCAGAAGACAGUUGAACAAUAGAGGUUAAGUUGGGGAAAACAUAAGAUCCAGUAAGCAUUUUAGUGUCAUUUUGAACUUACAGGUACACUAUGUUGUUGAAUUUAUGCUUGAUAUAUAGUGCUAGUCCUACACCCCUUUCCAUUGUUGUCUAUUCCUACAUAAAAAUGAAGAGUAAAACUAUAAGAAAAGUAUGAAACGAGUAAUCAAAGUACUUUUCCACGCUGCAGAUGUUUUCUGAUAGAUCUUAAACUGCUGAAGCCUUAUCUUGUCUUUUUACCUGUUUUAUUUGCUUAUAUUGAAUUGGGCAGUAAAGGUUACUGAAGCUAACUUUUUCCUUAUUGAAUUGUGUGUAGUUUUAUAGACUGGGUUUGGGACAUGAAAUGAUUUUUUCUAAAGGAAUUUGUAGUAGUCUCGUUUUUUUUUUGAAUUUCUCACAAAAGCAAAUUCUAAAAUUGUGGAUGUAUAUAUCUUGAUAUUUGACUCUGAAAAUUGGCGAGUACUUAUGAAUAAACUCUCUCUUUAAAGAUAAUUGUUUUGAUCUGGGAGUGUGGUCCUGUUCAUCUAAUGAUUUAGGACAAACUCCUAUUGCUCGAGUUACCUUUUAAUUUGUAUGACUUGACUAGGUUGCUCAUGAUGAAGACAUAGGACGAAAGAUUAGGAAAGAUAUAUAUUUUGAUUUGGUGGAUUUUGACAAAGUUAAGAGCUUCUACAUUAAAAAAAUAUUUUUUACUAUUUUCAAGGUACAAACUAUCUUUUAAUCUCAAAAUUCUAUCAAUGACAUUUAUUUUCUUGUCUAAAUGAAUUUAGGUUCUAGGAAAAAGCAACAUGAUAAGUUCGGUAAGACUCAAUGAGAUAGUUUAUUAGUGUUUACCGUAGACUGGUAGUAUGUUGUAUGAAGGUAGAUGAAGAUUCUCAGAUGUAUGCUUCUUUAGAUUAAGGUGUCUGCAUUCACACACCUGAGUUCUAACCACUUUUUGACCUUGCACAUAAGACUUUUGAUGUGUCGAGUAAAAUCCAGCUAAUAAUUGAUGUUCAUUCACUCCUGCUAUAGGCAACCCUUCCCUUGUUGUACAAAGCUGUCGCUCAACCAGAAAAUAUUUGUGAUAUUAGGCAUCUCUUUACGUGUACCCUUAACAAAAACAACUUGAUUUUCCCCUCACCAUCAACUUGUGAUAUAUUGGCCUUUUUGAAAGCAAUCCAUAUCUUAAACCCCCCAAAUCCUAACCCCAACACCAAUCUCUAAGAGUUGAUUCUACUUUCAUGCCAUAAUGAAGGUUAUGUUAUUGAUGUUGUUUGACCGUCUCAACCAGCCAAUGGUAUGGUCAAAACCUUGAGUUGGAAGUAAAAAAAAACCAGCUUUUAACCUAAUUCACACCAUCCAUGUGCGUUUUGUAAAUACCUGAAGAUCAUGGUGCCAUUUAGGUAUGAAUUAUUUUUGAUGGAGCUGCUAUCACUGGUGGAAUCAGGGGAGAUACUGAUGACCAGGAUAGAUAAUGAUGUUGAAAGAAUCUUGAGAUUUAAAUUUGUUACUGGAUUAUUUGAACAUUCGUUUACAAAUAGAUCAUUGAUAGAUUUGGUUGGUUGCAAGGUAUUCUUACAUCUUCCUGUUGCCUAUUGGGACUAUUUAGUAAUUUCUGAGUCUAACACUACUUUCUCUACAUUUAUAUGAGUACAACAUCGUCUCAUAUUGGAUAGCAAUCGCAUAACAUAAGUAGGAAAGAACCACUUCUUAGAAGAAACUCCCUCUUAAAAUGGAUUAAUAGCCUCCCAACCCCAUCUUUAUAGAUAGAAAGUCAUUGCUGGUUUUGAAAAUGCCUUCUGGAACCCUGUCUAUCAUACUCUUCCCUAGUGCUCAAGUUUUAAUGAGAUUACAUGUGACCAGUAUUUGUUCUAUUCAAUCGCUGAAGUUUUUCGUUGGACUCUUCUAUAAUUGUUUUUUAUAUGGAAUCUAAACAGAAGGUGGCUAUAUAUUGUCUUACAUUAGCACAAUAGUGAUUCUACAGUUCACUAUCUUGGAUCUAUUUUAAGUCUGGUUAAUUUUUUCGCAUUAUUUAGGCACAUAGAGACCUAUCACGUGAAGUAGUUUGCAAAUCUUUUGUUUUGUUGAAAAAUGGGAAAGAUCCAAAGAAACCAUUUCUUCCUCUAGAUAAUACCGCAAAAAAAAAAUCCUCGUGGAACUCAUACUGAUGAUCUUGGAUACCAAUGUGGAGGAUGGACAACUACAUGGAUAGGACUCAGUGGUAGAAUCACAGUUGGUAAGCAGUUUCUAAUUGUAAGUCUCUCCCUAACAUGAUUAUAGACAAUACAUUUGAAACCUGAACUUAAACCUGAAUGGAUUGUAGAAAUAGCACCUCAGUACUAUCAGUUGAAAGAUGUCGAAGAUGGUAAGUGCUCUUACUGUCUUUUAUUGCAGCAAGUGUUUUUUUUUAAUAUUUUCAGCUUCUGUUGGUCUGCCUGCCUUAUUGGUGCCUCACAAUAUAGUACUAAGAGUAGACCUCAUCUCAUCGUUAAGGGACCUGCAAUCCAACCUGGAUAUUGGGUGUAAUCUAGCGGUACUCAUUAUUGUUUUCAAAAAAAUAUUUGUUGUUUUCAGUUCCCUAGUUUGAGUUAUUUGCUCUUAAAUUCUUGUGUUGGAGGCAUUCAACAGUGCGCUAAAAUCUUUUGGGAGUAACAUCAUAUUGUCAAAUGUCCUGUUAGAUCGAUAGAGUGGUGGCAGGUAUUCUUUAGUUUCUUGUGUAGACUAUGCAACUGAAUCUAAAAGUUCUACUAAAAUUAUAUGUCAAACGUUUUUGUAGUAUCCUAGAGGAUGUGGCAGAAACUAUAGUUGCUCUUAUAACUGAGAAAGGUAAUUCUCUAACAAUUUUUUAUAUAAUUCCUCAUUAUCCUCAUUCUUGGAUAUAAUUAACAGUAUAACAACUUGUCUUUUCUCUUAAGUAAUCAGCAAGCUCCCCACAAGGCAUACUCCGUACACAAGAUAGAUACUGUUGCUAAAUCCAGGUAUUGUCUAUGUUAUCUAAUCAUGGAAAAAACUACAUUACCAAAUCUGCGUUAUAAAAAAUGAAACUCAAAUAUAGUAUUGUGAUUUUGGAAGUGCUGUUGCUUCAGCAUUAUAGUACAUCUAAUUGUUAGACUAGAGAAUAAUCAAUUUUUUUCAUCUUGGAAUAUGUUUCUCUUUUGAACUGUGGAGCUGCGUGCUAACUGGAUCACAUAUGUUAGACCUAUAUAAAUGUGAAGCUGUAGUUUUCUCUUUUGGAAAUUUCAAUUGUUCUUUAAUUUUUAUCAUCUCACAUUUGGAUGUUUGUAUUUCUUUCUAACCAUGAAUGGUUGAUUUGCCUCUUCACUAGCUAACUUAUAUGUGGUUUACGUACUUAUUUUAUAGUGGAAUAGCCUUUUUAUGUUGUCAUUUAAGUGCUAAUUUAUAUUAUUUGUUCUCUUUUUAUAGGUGUCCAAAAUAAAGAAAGAGAUGAAGAAAAUAAUGAAGACAUUGACCUUACUUGCGAAGAAUUUUGGGUUGUGGAUAAAUGCUCUAAUAUCAAUAGUUUUGUGUUGAAUUUUUUGAAACUUAUCGUGACUUGAAAUUGCUAGUAUGUAAAAACUUAACUAAUCAUUUGGAUUAUUAAUGAAUGAUUUAUAUUAUUAAUGAAUGAUUUUGUUUCGUGAAGUAUAUAUAUUGUGUUAGCAUAGAAUAACAAUAGACAGUCAAAAAGCAUUGCAACAGAAUAACAAAAGCAUCGCAAUAGAUGGUAUUAGAACGGUUUAAUAUUUUUGCAAUAGAAUCUAUUGCAAUGGUUAUGAACCGUUGCAAUAGAUGAAAAUAGGCGUUCUAAUAAGUAAUAAAAUAGUUGUAAUAGGUAGUCAAAAAGCGUUGCAACAGAACAACAAAUGCAUCGCAAUAACAUCUAUUGCAAUGGUUACUAACCGUUGUAAUAGCAUCUAUUGCGAUGGUUCGUGACCGUUGCAAUAGAUAAAAAUAGGCGUCUCAAUAAGUCAAGAAAUAGCCAUCGCAAUAGGUCUAUCUAUGGCGACGAUUGUCAAAAACUAUCACCAUACCUCUACCUAUGGCGACUGUUUAGACAACGGUCGCAGAAACUGUUGCAAUAGACCUAUUGCAACGCCCACCUAUGGGACAGUUGCAGAACCGUUAUGAUAGGUCUAUGGCAAAGUGCCCUCAUAGGAGUGAGCCUGAGGAUGAAUUAUAUAGUGAUCACUAGUUUAUGUGGAUUUGAUAUCGAUAGUCCUACUCUGAUGGCAAGGAUAGAAUGGCUCUCCCCAACGUGGGUUGUACGUUGGACUCCAUGUAGUUCACAUGGUUUAUGUCAAUUAUAGGAUCUCCCAGUGUGUGUGUGUUUCCUUGUGUUGAUGGUGAAUGGUGAAGUGAUUUGAAAGUGGAAUUGUGAAACUUACUCUUUUGAAAGAUUUAAAUGAUAUUUACAUUAUGAGAAUUGAUAUUCUUGAUGAACUGAAAGUGAUUGACAAAUUACAUGAUGAAUCACAUGUGUUAUUAUACUUAUUUCAUCCUCUCAUGAUUAUGAUGAUUUUCUUUAGGCUAUGUGAGUCUUUCAUACAUCCUGCAUAUUUCUUAUAAAUAUUUAUGAUGAUGAUGUUUAUACAACUGCAUACACCCCCAUAUACUCGGUUUCUUUCCAUGGUACUGAGCCACAUCUUCAGAAUAUAGGUUUAGGUGCUUAGUUUCAGGUUUAACAGUGAUUCUUCGGGCAUACUAUUCUACAUCCUCUGUUGUGGUGAGUCCUCAUGUUCUGAGGAUGUGAUGUCUGAUGUUGGUUUCACUUAAUUGUUUAAAUUUGAUAACUAAGUUUGAGUCAGUUGAGGAAUGUAUCAAUGGCUCGCUGGUUUUAUUGAUUCUCUUAGAGGCUUAUCAGACUAGUAUAGAUGUUGGGAGUUGACUAAUAAGUCGUAUUUUGUUAUCUUUUUGAAAUUCUUUUAUUCUUGGAUGAUGAUUACUCUGUUGAUAUUUGAGGGUUAUUCAUAGAAACCCUGUUGAUUUAUGUUGAACUGAAUGAAAAUGGCUCAAUGGGUUAGCUUAGGGAUACUCGUAGCCUCAAGCACCGUAUGAUGCUUCAGGACCUGUUUUUCGGGGCGUUACAUACUUGGUAUCAGAGCCUAAGGUUUUAAGGUGUCCUAGGGAGUCUGACAAGCCACGUUAAGUAGAGUCUUUAUCAUCAGUGUGUAGCGCGCCAUAUCUAUGAGCAAGAGACUACAAGACGUUUUAGGAAAAAGUGUGAUUUUUUCUUUUAGAAGUUUAUCGUGCUUAAAGCGUCUCUCUCUGCUAUUGAUUCAUGCUCUCCUCUUUCAGAAAUAUGUCUCCACUAGAAAGCUUAUUUCCAAAGGGUGUAUUUACCAUUUGGUUAUAGUCAAAGACACUAGUGCUAAGACUCCAACUCUCCAGUCUGUUAAUGUCAUCAAUGAGUUUUCUGAUGUCUUUCUGGAUGAUCUCCCAGGGAUACCUCCUGAUAGAGAGAUAGAGUUUGGGAUUGAUCUUCUUCCCGAUACUCAGGCCAUUUCUAUUCCUCCUUACCGUAUGGCCCCUACAGAACUUAAGAAGUUGAAAGAGCAACUCAAAGAUCUACUAGAUAAGGAUUUCAUAAGGUCCAGUGUUUCUCCUUGGGGUGCUCCUGUGUUGUUUGUGAGAAAGAAAGAUGGCUCUUUGCAUAUGUGCAUUGAUUACCGCCAACUGAAUAAAGUCACCGCAAAAAAUAAGUACCCCCUUUCGAGAAUAGAUGAUUUGUUUGACCGAUUGCAAGGUGCAAGUUAUUUCUCAAAGAUAGACCUUUGUUCCGUCUAUCAUCAACUUAAAGUUAGGGAGUGUGACAUCCUAAAAACCACUUUCUGAACUCGUUAUGGCCAUUUUGAGUUUCUUGUUAUGUCUUUCUGGUUAACUAAUGCCACAACAGCUUUCAUGGACCUCAUAAAUCGAGUGUUCAAACCAUAUCUAGAUAUGUUUGUCAUAGUGUUUAUCGAUGAUAUACUGGUCCCGUAGUGAGUAUGAACAUUCUGAUCAUCUCCGAACUAUCUUGCAAACCCUUAGAGAUCACAAGUUGUUUUCCAAGUUCAGUAAGUGUGAUUUUUAGCUAAGGUCAAUUGCUUUUCUGGGUCAUUUCAUUUCUUCCAAGGGUAUUAGAGUUGAUCCCCAAAAGACCAAAGAUGUUAGAAAUUGUCCUAGACCUAUUUCUCCGACUGAUAUCUAAUGUUUCUUGGGUCUAGCUGGAUAUUGCCGCUGUUUUGUUGAGGGUUUAUCCUCUAUAGCCUCUCCUAUGAAUCAGUUGACCCAAAUGAAAGUGAAGUUCUUGUGGUCCAAAUCUUGUGAGAAGAGUUUUCAGGAGUUGAAGACUCAACUCACUUCAGCCCCUAUUUUGACUUUCCCUGAUGGUGUUGAUGGUUUUGUGGUGUACCGUGAUGCUUAGAGAGUUAGGGGGUAAGGUGAUAGCUUAUGCUUUUAGAAAGAUGAAACCCAAUGAGAAAAAUUACCCCACCCAUGACUUUGAGUUGGCCGCUGUUGUGUUUGCUUUAAAAAUCUGGAGACAUUAUUUAUAUGGUGUCCAUGUUGAUGUUUUCACUUAUCAUAAGAGUCUACAGUAUGUGUUUUCCAAGAAAGAAUUGAACCUUAGGCAGAGACGAUGGUUAGAAUUGUUAAAGGACUAUGAUAUGAGUGUGCUGUACCAUCCGGACAAGGCCAAUGUUGUGGAAGAUGCCCUAAGUAGAGUGUCAAUGGGUAGUGUUUCGCAUGUGGUAAAAGGUAAGAAAGAGUGGGCUCGUGAUGUACAUCGUUUGGCUAGAUUGGGGGUUAGAUUGUUUGAUUCUGCUGAAGGUAGUAUAGGGGUUCAGAGUAGUUUCGAAUCCUCCUUGGUUUCGGAAAUGAAGGAAAAGCAAUACUUAAAUGCUAGUUUGGUCAGCCUGAAGGAGUCAGUCAAGGACCAAAAAGUAGAGGUUUUCUCCUAAGGGGGAGAUGGUGUGUUGAGAUUGUAGGGUAGAUUGUGUGUCUCGAAUGUUGACGAUCUAAGACAGAGGAUUAUGGGUAAAGCACACAGGGCACGAUAUUCUAUUCAUCUUGGUGCCACCAAGAUCUACCGAGACUUGCGGGAAAUCUAUUAGUGGAGUGGCAUGAAGAAAGAUAUAGCAGAAUUUGUAGCUAAGUGUGCAAUAUGCCAACAGGUUAAGGUUAAACACCAAAGACCUGGUGGUAUAAGGCAAGAGUUUAGUAUUCCCACCUGGAAGUGGGAAGAGAUAAAUAUGGACUUCGUGAUUGGUUUACCUCCUUCCCGACGCCAUCAUGAUUCUAUUUGGGUUGAGGUUGGUAGGUUGACUAAGUCUUCUCAUUUCUUGCCUGUUCAUACUUCAUAUACUGCUGAGGAUUACGCUAGAUUGUAUAUCCUAGAGCUAGUCAGACUGCAUGGAGUUCCCUUGUCUAUCAUUUCGGAUAGGGGUACUCAGUUCACUUCAAUUUUAGAAAUCUUUUCAGAAGGGUCUAGGUACCAAAGUGAUUUUGAGUUUUGCUUUUCUUCCGCAGAUGGAUGGUCAGGCUGAGCGGACCAUCCAGACCUUAGAGGAUAUGUUAAGAUCUUGUGCACUUGACUUUAAGGGAAGUUGGGAUGAUCACUUACCGUUGAUAGAGUUUGCUUACAAUAACAGUUUCCACUCUAGUAUUGGCAUGGCUCUAUUUUAAGCCUUAUAUGGGAGAGAGUGUAGAUCACUCAUAGGUUGGUUCGAGGUGGUUGAAGCGGCUGUGAGUGGUCCUGAUUCGGUAUUUGAGGCUAUGGAAAAAGUUAAGUUGAUUAGGGAAAGGUUGAAAACUGUGCAGAGUUAUUAGAAGUCAUAUGCGGAUGUUACAAGGAGAGACCUUCAGUUUAAAGUUGGUGACCUACUGUAUUUGAAAAUUUUACCCAUGAGGGGGGUGAAGAGAUUCAGAAAGAAGGGGAAGCUUAGUCCCCGUUAUGUUGGUCCUUACAAAAUUCUUAGCCGUGUUGGUAAGGUAGCUUAUGAGGUCGAGUUGCCUUCCGAGUUGUCCUCUGUUCAUCCAAUAUUCCAUGUCUCCAUGCUUAGAAAGCAUAUUAGCGAUGCUGUGGUAGUGGAUUCCUCUGUGAGUGCUGACAUUCAAAAAAAUCUUUCUUUUGAUGAGAUUCCUAUUGAGAUUCUUGAUUUCAGUGUCCGAAUACUAAGGAACAAAGAAGUUCCCUUGGUCAAGUUGUUGUGGCGAAACCAAUCUAUUGAGGGUGCAACUUCGGAAGCUGAGGUGGAUAUGCGAUCCAAGUACCCUCACCUAUUUUCCACAAAAGGUACCGUUCUUUCCUAAAUCUUGCACUUUUGAUAAAAUUUGCAGCAGUUCAACUGUCAUUUAUUAUGUGUUCAGUUGUAGUUUCUUGAAUUUAUGCAUUCUAUGUUGCAUUCGGAGUGAGAAACGAUGUGGUGAUGAGUCUAACGAAUGGUUUCAGCUGUAUGCUCUAUUCCCUAUCUAAUCUUGGAAUUUCUAGGGUCAUUCGAGGAUGAAUGUUUCCAAGGGGGGAUGAUGUAAUACCCCUGGAAAUUUUUCGUUAAAAUUUUGUGCAUAAACGUGUUAGGUUCUAUCUUCUAGAAUAAAUUAUAAAUUUUUCGUGUGGAAUAUCUUAGAUUAUGACCCACCAUUGCGUAGAGUAUCUAUUCAUCUGUCAUUUAUUAUGUGUUCAGUUGUAGUUUCUUGAAUUUAUGCAUUCUAUGUUGCAUUCGGAGUGAGAAACGAUGUGGUGAUGAGUCUAACGAAUGGUUUCAGCUGUAUGCUCUAUUCCCUAUCUAAUCUUGGCAUGUCUUCAGUCAUUCGAGGACGAAUGUUUCCAAAUAGGGGAUGAUGUAAUACCCCGGGAAAUUUUUCAUUGAAAUUUUAUGCGUAAACGUGUUGGUUUCUAUCUUCUAGAAUGAAUUAUAAAUUUUCCGUGCGGAAUGUAUUAGAUUAUGACCCACCAUUACGUAGAUUAUCGAAUAAGCUUUCCAAAGAUAUGUGGAUCAUCCAAAAUGGACACCCGAGCGACGAGUUAUGAACAUUCCAAUCGAACCGUGAAUAGUAGUGAACAGUAAAACGUGCAGGAAAAAGUACUGAGGCCUGGCGUAUUUUUUCUCUANNNNNNNNNNNNNNNNNNNNNNNNNNNNNNNNNNNNNNNNNNNNNNNNNNNNNNNNNNNNNNNNNNNNNNNNNNNNNNNNNNNNNNNNNNNNNNNNNNNNNNNNNNNNNNNNNNNNNNNNNNNNNNNNNNNNNNNNNNNNNNNNNNNNNNNNNNNNNNNNNNNNNNNNNNNNNNNNNNNNNNNNNNNNNNNNNNNNNNNNNNNNNNNNNNNNNNNNNNNNNNNNNNNNNNNNNNNNNNNNNNNNNNNNNNNNNNNNNNNNNNNNNNNNNNNNNNNNNNNNNNNNNNNNNNNNNNNNNNNNNNNNNNNNNNNNNNNNNNNNNNNNNNNNNNNNNNNNNNNNNNNNNNNNNNNNNNNNNNNNNNNNNNNNNNNNNNNNNNNNNNNNNNNNNNNNNNNNNNNNNNNNNNNNNNNNNNNNNNNNNNNNNNNNNNNNNNNNNNNNNNNNNNNNNNNNNNNNNNNNNNNNNNNNNNNNNNNNNNNNNNNNNNNNNNNNNNNNNNNNNNNNNNNNNNNNNNNNNNNNNNNNNNNNNNNNNNNNNNNNNNNNNNNNNNNNNNNNNNNNNNNNNNNNNNNNNNNNNNNNNNNNNNNNNNNNNNNNNNNNNNNNNNNNNNNNNNNNNNNNNNNNNNNNNNNNNNNNNNNNNNNNNNNNNNNNNNNNNNNNNNNNNNNNNNNNNNNNNNNNNNNNNNNNNNNNNNNNNNNNNNNNNNNNNNNNNNNUUAUAAGCACGUUGAUGUUGAAUAUUUGAGAUAUUUUGAAUGAUUUGACCUUUUGGUCUUAAUGGAGUUGUUUUGAACUCGAGUGUGAAAGAAAUUCACAAUGUGGUUGAUUUUGAUUGAUGGGAAGCAUGAUGGCUCCCGAUGUCUAUUUAUAUAUUACUGAAAUUAUUUUUUUGUGGAUUGUCUUUGAAAGGAUCUGAGCUAAGUCUGGGAGAAAUCUUUAGCACCGAGUGGGAGGUAUAAAGUGACCUUACUUCCCUAGAACUAAGUGCCCCCAUAGGAGUGAUCUUGAGGCUGAUUUAUAUAUUUAUCACUAGUUUGUGUGGAUUUGAUAUUGAUAGUCCUACUCCGAUGGCAAGGAUAGGACGACUCUCCCCAACGUGGGUUGUACGUUGAACUCCAUGUAGCUCACAUGGGUUAUGUCGAUUAUAGGAUCUCCCAGUGUGUGUGUUUUUCCUUGUGUCUAUGGUGAACGGUGAAGUGAUUUGAAAGUGGAAUUGUGAAAGUUACUCUUUCAAAAGAUUUAAAUGAUAUUUACAUUAUGAGAAUUGAUAUUCUUGAUGAACUGAAAGUGUUUGACAAAUUAUAUGAUGACUCACAUGUGUUAUUAUACUUAUUUUAUCCUCUCAUGAUUAUGAUGAUUUUCUUCGGGCUAUGUGAGUCUUUUCAUACAUCUGCAUAUUUCUUAUAAAUAUUUAUGAUGAUGAUGUUUAUACAACUGCAUACACCCCUAUAUACUCAGUUCCUUUCCAUGGUACUGACCCACAUCUUCGGAUGUGGGCUGUGUUUUCUCGGAAUAUACGUUCAGGUGCUCAGUUCCAGGUUCGACAGUGAUUCUUUAGGCAUAUUGUUCUACAUCCUCUGUUUUGGUGAGUCCUCAUGUUCCGAUGACGUAAUGUCUGAUGUUGGUUUCACGGAAUUGUUUACAUUUAAUAACUGAGUAUUGGGGUAUGUCUCAAUUGCUUGCUGGUUUUAUUGAUUCUCUUAGAGGCUUGUCAAACUAGUAUAGAUGUUGGGAGUUGACUAGUAAGUCGUAUUUUGUUAUCUUUCUGAAAUUCUUCUAUUCUUGGAUGAUUAUUACUCUGUUGAUAUUUGAGGGUUAUUUAUGAAAACCCCAUUGAUUUGUGCUGAACUGAAUGAAAAUGGCUCAAAGGGUUAGCUUGGGGCUACUCGUAGCCUUAAGCACUGUGUGACGCUCCGGGACCCAUUUUCCGGGGCGUUACACAAUCAACCCUUGUGGAGUUCGAUGGAUUCUUAUACCUAAGAUUACAUCUGCAACUCCAAGGUCUUUCAUAUCAAACUUGCUUUCGAGCAUUCAUUUUGUUGCAUUUAUAUUAGAAAUGUCUCUACUGAAGAUCAACAUAUCAUCCACAUAUAAACAUACAAUGACUUGGUAAUUUGGAGUGUCUUUAAUAUAAACACAUUUAUCACAUUCAUUUAUUUUGAAUCCGUUUGGCAGCAUUGUUUGGUCAAACUUCGCAUGCCAUUAUUUUGGUGCUUGCUUUAGUCCAUAUAAUGACUUGAUAUGUUUACACACCUUGUUAUCCUUUCCUGGAAGCACAAAACCCUCAGGCUGUUCCAUAUAUAUUUCUUCCUCUAAUUCUCCAUUUAGGAAAGUGGUUUUCACAUCCAUUUGAUGGAUUUGAAGAUCAUAUACCACCGCUAAGACAAUUAAUAUUCAAAUAGAUGUUCUCCUUGUUACUGGCGAGUAUGAUCAAAGUAAUCAAGGCCUUCUUUUUAUUUGAAGCCCUUUACUACAAUUCUUGUCUUGUAUUUGUCAAUAGUGCCAUCCGCUUUCAUCUUUCUUUUGAAAAUCUACUUAAAACCUAAAGGUUUAUUUCCAGGAGGAAGAUCAAACAAUUCCCAUGUAUGGUUUCUUAAGAUUGAAUCAAUUCACUAUUGAUUGCCUCUUUCCAAAAGGAUGAGUCCGAAGAUGCCAUCGCUUCCCUAAAUGUUUUAGGCUCAUUUUCUAAGAGAAAUGUUACAAAAUCUGAUCCAAAUGAAGUAGACAUUCUUUGACGUAUAAUACGUCUUGUAUUUUCUUCAUUAUGUACAUUCUCACUUGGUUCAUCUUGAGGUCGUUUAGAUCCUCCAUUAGACUGUUUAUGUCUAAUUUUAUACGGAUAAAUGUUUUCAAAGAAUUCAGCAUUGUCUGAUUCAAGUAUCGUAUUUUCAUUAAUAUCCGAAUGUUCGGAUUUAUGAACCAAAAAUUGACAUGCUUUACUACUUUUAGCAUAUCCUAUGAACAUGCAUUCCACCGUCUUAGGUCAUAUAUUAACCCUUUUAGGAAUAGGAAUUUGGACCUUUGCUAGAAACCCCCACACUUUGAAAUAUUUCAAGUUGGGUUUUCUUCCUUUCCAUUUUUCAUAAGGAAUUGAUUGUGUCUUACUAUGGAGAACUCCGUUGAGUAUACGAUUGGCUGUAAAGAUAGCCUCUCCCCAUAAUUUUUGUGGUAAAUUGGAAUGUACAAGCAAGACAUUCAUCAUUUCCUUCAAAGUUUGAUUUUUUCUUUCUGUAAUUCCGUUAGUUUGAGGUUAAUACGGGGUCGUAUUUUGAUGAAUGAUUCCAUUCUCUACAAAUAUUUCGGUGAAGGGAGAUUCAUAUUCUCCGCUCCUAUCACUUCUUAUUAUUUUUAUCUUUUUAUCUUAUUGAUUUUCAACUUUAAUUUUAUAUUGCCUAAACGCAUCUAUUGCUUCAUCCUUACUAUUUAUCAAAUAGACAUCACAAUAUCUAGUGCACUCAUCAAUAAAAGUUGUGAAAUACUUUUUCACACCAAGUGAUGGUGUUGACUUCAUAUCACAAAUGUUAGUGUGUACUAAGUCUAAAGGAUUGGAAUUCCUUACAACGGACUUAUAAGGAUGCUUUGCAUACUUUGAUUCUACACACGUUUGACAAUUUGAUUUAUUGCACUCAAAGUUUGGCAAAACUUCCAAGUUAAUCAUUUUUCAUAACGUUUUAUAAUUAACAUGGCCUAAACGUUCAUGCCAUAAAUCAUAAGACUCAAGAAAAUAAGAAGAAUUUGAACUUUUAUUUAUUUCAACAGUCAUUACAUUAAUCUUAUAAAGUCCCUCGGUGAAAUAGCCUUUUCCUACAUACAUUUCACCUUUUCUAAUUAUAAUUUUUUCAGAAAUAGUUAAACAUUUGAAUUCGUUCUUAUCAAGAAGUGAAAUAGAAAUUAAGUUCCUAUGUAAUUUUAGAACAUACAACACAUUGUUAAGUGUCAAGACCUUGGCCGAAGUCAUUUUCAAGCACACUUUUCGUGUUCCUUCCACCUUAGAAGUAGCGGAGUUAGCCAUAUAGAUCAUUUCUUCUACUUGAGAUGGAGCAAAUGAUGAAAACAACUCUUUGUUGGCACAUAUAUCGUGGGUGGCACCAGAAUCUAUCUACCAUUUAUGAGGAUUCCUCACCAAGUUGUAUUCUGAGAACAUAGCACAUAAAUCAUCGCAUUCUUUGUUGGAUUCAAUCAUAUUUUCUUGAUCCUUUAUCUUUCCUUUCUUUGGGGCACGACAAUCCAUGCACUUGUGGCCAAUCUUACCACAAUUGAAGCAUUUUCCCUUUAAUUUCUUCUUGGGUUGAUUGCUUCCUUGUUCAGCUUUCUUUCUUUUCAUAGAAUUGUUUUGAUCAUCUUUUACAAUAUGUGCUCCAUUAAUUGUAGAAUUCCCUUUUGACCUUCUCUCGGCAGCUUUAUUGUCCUCUUCAAUAUGCAGUCAGACAAUAAGAUCUUCGACAUUCAUUUCUUUGCGUUUAUGCUUCAAGUAGUUUUUGAAGUCUCUCCACAAAGGUGGUAGCUUCUCAACUAUCGCUGCUACGUGAAAUGCAUCAUUGACAAUCAAACCUACAAAACAUUUUAUGUGAGUAUUAAGAACUUUUUUAAUUUGUUCAACUAAGAUAUUUUUCAAAGAUAUAACUCCGGCUAGGAGAUCAUGUAUGGUGACUUGCAACUCCUACACUCGAGAGGCAACCAAUUUGUUAUAUAUUAUUUUAAAGUCCAGGAACCAUGCAACAAGGAAUUUCUUAAUUCCCACAUCCUCUAUUUUAUAUUUUCAUUCAAGUACCCCCACAAUUCCUUCAAUGUCGUAGUUCCACUGUAGACAUUGUAUAGGUCGUCUUGGAUACCACUCAGAAUAUAAUUCCUGCAAAGGAAGUUUGAAUGUUUCCAAGCUUCUAGAAUUAUGAAACACUCUUUGUCUGAAGUUCCCUUGGGCACCUCAGGAGCGUCUUCGCUAGUGAACCGUUGCAGACACAAAGUGGUGAGGUAAAAGAACAUCUUUUGUUGCCAUCGUUUAAAUUCAAUGCCCACAAAUUUUUUGGGAUACUCCGCUGGUGCCGUUAUAGGCGGAGCAUUUGUGCGACUUGAUGUGGCAAUAUUAGUUUCCCCCACAGACGUUGUUGCAUCUUGCAUUUGACUAUCUCUUGUCAUUUUUCCUGUCAUAACAAGACAAAAAUACAUAGUAUUUUCAUAAUACUACUUAUAAAGUUAAGAAACUUUAAGCUUUUCUUCUUGUUUCUAGUUGACAAUGAUGUUUUUGUGACUUCCAAUUGUCAACCAAAUGAUCUUUAACUUAUGAUGAAGUUUUUAUGACUUCAAAUCACUAGUUAAGUUCAGGCGGAGUAGAAAGUUAAAACUUUAAUCUCCAGAAACAAGCUAUACAGAUUCUGGAGUUAUUUCCUUAUGAUUGUUAUCUCCUUCUACGGGUACACAGAAUCUGUAUAUGUAGAACAACAACUUCAAAUUUAGUUCUAUGUUGAAAAACAAGAACAAAAUGAAGUGCAGUAAAUACCCUCAACACAAGAUCAAAGUAAUCUUUCUAACAGGUGUAUUUGAAUUUUAGAAAUAAAGAUGAAAACAGAAAUGGCCAUGUCGCCCGAAUUCACGGACUUUCCUUAAGAAAAUAAUUGCCCUCACUGUACCCAAGGUUGCAAAAUUUUCUUGGCAGGAUAAAAUAUUCAAACAAACCAAUUGUAGUGGUACCUUAAACAACUGAAAUAUCUUCGAACGCACAAAACGUUUUUAUUGAGCACACAGAGUAAUUUUGAAGUCAGGAAGAGUUUUGUAUUCUAAAAAUCUCUUCUAAAAAGAGGCAAUGGUUCAUGUCAAAGGUUACACAUUUUCUGUAAAUUCAUGUCUAUUCAUCCAAAGAUUGCAUUCAUGUAUGUUCAUCCAAAGAUUGCAUCUUUUCCUGAACAACCAUCUCUCUCCAUGAAUCAAUGUGUCCUUUUGCUGAAGGAUUGCAUCCUUCUGAAAGCAUGCAUAAAUGGAGAAUACUAUUGCGUUUUGGUUGAUUCGGAUCAUCAAAUAAAAUUUGUUCCAAAAGAUAGAUCUCAUCGAUCGAUCAUUUUCAAAAUCCAAAUCAUUUUCUGAAGCCGAAGCCGAAGCGACGACGACGACGGCGCAAGGCAUCUAUUAUUCCUUGCCUCACUUAUCCAUGUGGGAGUGUGUUUCACAAUAUAAACACUUUAAAGCUUCUUUCUCCCACCAAUGUGGGAGAAUUUUGUAAGCUUUCCUAUUUUUGAGUACACUUUCCAUAUUGGUGUGAUCUCAAUUUUUCUGUUCCACUUGGUUUUCUCCAUUUUCCAUUCAUACCUCUCAUUUACUAUGAACCCAAAAACUUUUACACCAGACUUAUUGCAAAUCUCUUUCUUACAAAUCAAAAGUUUAGUAUUCCUAACUAGAAAAUUUUAAUGAUUAAUAUUUUAGCUAUGGCAGUGGAUAUUGAAGGACUAUAUAGUUAAGUAAGAACAUGGAUAUUCUUCAAUACUUACAAUAAUAAUACCUUUGAUAUUGUCAUUGGUAAUGGGAAAUUCAAGACUUCUAUCCUUCUUAACUCUUAGAAGGACAUCAAUUAGGUCUUCAUCUCCCAAUGCAUCAUCAUCCUUGUGAGCUGUUGCAAGGUUUUGUUGUCUUUCAAAGUUUGCGGGUAUAAGAAUCUGUAAUUUGACACAAUAACUUCAACACUAGUUCAAGUUUAAAACAAGAACACUAUGAAGUACAGCAACACCCUCAACACAAGAUCAAAGUGAUCUUUCUAACAAGUGCGUUUUAUUUUUUCAGAAAUUAAGAUGAAACAGAAAUGUAAAACCACGUCCCCAGACUUCACGGAGUUUCCUUAAGGAAUAAUUCCCCUCACUAUACCCGAGAUUUUUAAAUCUUCCUCCCAGGAUAAAAUGGCUUUCAAUUCAACUAUAGUGGUACCUUAAUUAAUUAGAUUCGUCGAACUCACUCAACGAUUUGAUUGAUAACAAGGAAUGUUUUGAAGACAAGAAGAGUUUGUAUUUUAGAAAAAAUUUUCAUACCAAAACCUUUGGAUGAAUGCAGGUUUAUAUAGUCAUUACACGCCUCUUCCGAAAGGUGGCAGUGUUUCAUCCGAAAAGGUGGCAAUGGUUCAUCCGAAAAGGUGUAUCUUUGGAAGAGUCAUGUUUAUUCAUUCGAAACAUUGUGUCUUUUUUUAAACAGACACAACUAUCUGAACAGUCACUCCUUUUCUAAAAUAAUAUGUCUUUUCAUAAAAAGUUGUGUCCCUCCAUUUUCCGUUCACACCAAUUGAACCCAACAGGUUCUUCAUGCACUCAUUGAUGAUAUCCUCAACAAUUGAAUCUACCUGACGAUGGACAUCUAGAACUUUUUUUCUUAGUUUUACUAAGAGAAUGAAGAAACUUGUAUGAAGGUAAGAUGUCAGCCACAUCAAAGCCUCGUGCUAAUCUUACCACUUCUCCAAUUAGUUUUAUAAACUUGUCUUGCUCCUUUAGUACUUGCCCAAAUGCGGAUAGAGUCAAUGAGAAGAAUGGCUUCUUCAUUUCUAAUUGAGCUAAACGAUCGGACAUUUUUGGCACUUAGUAGUUCCAUCACACAAAUUUUACGCAUUUGUCUCCAGUAUUCACCAGUUAAAAUAGAUAUGGUCAAGUGUCAUGAAAAAUCUAACAAAACAAAUCCUGGAUGACGGUAACUAAGACAACAACAAAAAAUAUAUCAAAACAGACACAACAAUAUAACAUGGAUUGGCCAAGUAUUAACCUACAUAUGAGUAGAUCAGGUUUACAUUCUCCCACUAAAAGGGACUCCUUUUAGCAUUUUAUUGUGGAUGCAAUAUAUUAAUUGAAAAAAAAAAAAGGAUUCUAAAUUUUUUCAUACAUAUAUUUUUUCUAAGUAAAGUAAAAUUAAUUAUGAAAAAAUUGUACUUUUGUCCGUGAAGAAAAAGUAAAUUCCUAAUAUAGUGGAAAUAUAUUAGGGAAAACACCUAUUUAAGACUCACCGUAGGGGAUAAAGGCAAUGUCGCACCUAUUGUAAAAGACAAUAUCCGUGGACAUGAGUUAAGGCCUAGAUGCAAAAGUGAGGUCAUGAGUCUUUAGUACUUAUUUAGCCAACUCAGAAGAAGUAACAACAACUGAAGAAAAUUCACCAAACUGAAGAUGCAUGAGCGGUCCAUAUUUUUUGGCUAAAUCUCUAAAGACGUGGUAUGGAGGUCCACUAGCGAUGUGAUGCAUAUUUCCUAUAAGAGGAAAUUUCCAUGGACCUGGAGGAAGUCUUCAAAAUUCAUUUGCAUAUGCUCUUAUUUAUAGGUUUCUGGUUUGAUUGGCUAAUAAUGGGACACGUUGAAACAAAUAUAAUAGCGUUAUUUUCAGUAACUUGGAAUUCAAUAAGUCAAAUAAUUGCCCAUAUAAAGACUCUAAUAAGGUGGCUGGGAAAUUGAUUUUAUAAUUAGUAGUUGCCAGCUUGGAAUUCAAUCGGUCCUACCAAGCUGUAGCAAUUUUGACUGAUGUGGAGUCGAGGUGUAAGGCGAGUCAUUUUAUUGAUAUUGAAUAAGGGGUAAAUCUCAAAAAAUGAAUUAUAUUUUUUUUUUUUUUUUUUGCUCCGGAAUGUUUCUGAUAAGUUUAUCCUAGGACUCACUCAAAAACUCUUUUAGAAACAGUGAUGUGGACAACAUGUAAGGUUUUUGGUUAAGUUAGAACAGUUAGGGGUAUUUUUGAACCAAAAUAAUAAGGGAAAGGGCAUUUUUAAACCAAAUAUUAAUGGCAAGACAUUUUUGAACCAAACUAUUAAUGGGUGACAUUUUUGUCCAAUUUCAAAUCAAAGUCAAUACGAUAGGGAAUAUAUAAAAUUUCUCUUGGCUUUUUUGUUUUUUGAGACUCCAAACAAACUACCAGCUCAUGUUGUUCGUUGGGUAAACAUUGGGUAAAUCCAAACAGUUUAUAAAUGAUAUAGGAGAUAUAAAUUGUCCUAGACAAGUCCGAAACGAUAAGCUCGAUUGAAAAGGCAUUGACAAGAAAAAUCAAUUCCUCAACUCACUUAUGAGAUACCACCAGUUGCACCAACGUAGUAGGCCCUAUGGGUCGACAUUUCUGUCAACGGAUGGAAAAGAAUCUAUAUAUAAUAUAAAGGAGAGUCAUAGACAAGGUGAUGUGGCACCAGCCUAUGACCUCUAUUCCUAUUUAUCUAUUUUUUCCUUUUUUUGAGCUUUUUCUAAUUUUUUAAAAUUAUUUUUUUUUCAUAAAAAAUCCUAUGUAUAAUUCACAUCUUUUCAUCUUCAUAACACCUACUCUUAAUUAGUACUACUAACAUCUAUAACUCCCAAAGCUUUCAUGUUUAUAACUCUAAUUAUUUAAUAAAUAAUUUUAUGAUCCUUAAAAUUUCACAUAAAUAAUACUUCUAUUUAAAUAAAAUUGUUUUGAGUAUAUUGACUAUGAUAAACUUUCAAGUGAAGGGGAAACUCCAUUAGGGUCAAAAUUAGUAUUGUGAGGUUCGAUCAUUGGUAUUUGUACAUAGCUUUUUUCAUGUAGUAUUUGGUCUUUGUAAUGUAAAUAUCUCAUGGGGUAAAUUUGUGCUAGUACAUAUUUCAAUAGCUUUUUAUUCUGGGGUUUCAUAUAUGCUAUUGAUUGUCCGUCUUAUGAAGUUUCUAUAGCAAUCAAUGUGCUGCUGCUACCUAUUUUUUUUUUUUUUAACCUUAUUUUAGAAUGAUUUGAAUAUGUUAUGCAAUAUAUUAUAUCUUGUUCCUCUAACUCUUAAAUUUUCUUCUAUUUUUCAUACUUAGUUUUUUCUACUAUUUUAGAAUGAUUUGAUUAUGUCAUAUUGUAAUAGAGUUCAUCUUUUCCUUACAAUUCUUAACUAUAGUAUUGCUUACAUUUUCAUUUUUAUUUUUUGAUGACAUUAACAUUUUGUGUCUCCAGGGUAUUAUGUUUUUGAAAGUGAGGAAAGAGAAAUAACUCAUACGUGCAUGUUGCUUAAGAAACUAUAUAUAUUUUCUUAGACAAAUUUUUAAUAAAUCUAUUGAUAGAAAAUAAGAAUGUAAAGUUAAUUUGCAGUAUUUUCUAUUAUAUAGUUUAGUUCAUGAAAGUUAUUUAUUCAUAUUAAAAUGCUAUCUUUUUUUCUUUUUUUUUUUUUGAUUAAACUUCUUAAUAUUUUUAGGUUUUCAUAGAUCAUUAUAAUAAAUGGCAGAAUCAAGAUUUUUAUUAAGGGGGUUAAAAAAGGCACACGUGAACUAGCCGGAGGAAGAUUGGAUGAACUCCUAAGUUUAUACUAGCUUUGCCCCUAAUUACAAUCAUAUGUUGCUUUACCUUUCAAGAUUACUACCUAAAAAAAUGUAAAAGAUAUUAUAUUUGAUAAAUUAUUUAGUAAUGAUAUGUCUUUCACAAACAUACGUGGCUAAUGAAAAGACAACAAGAUUCAUGCAUAAAUUUUUCAUUUAAUUAUAAUCUCAUUAUCAUUGUAUUUAUGAUUAAUAUUUAAUUAUAUCAUUUGUCAUAAAAAAAUCUUUCGUCUCUAUUGAUACACCCCACCAUAUUGCUCUACUAUAUGAGCUUAAAAUCGCACAACUACACUCUUUACUAUUUAACAUUUUGUAACAGUGUGAUUAUGAUCAAGACUAUAAGGAAAAAAGAAAACAUUAAUUAUACGUGGCAGGCAAAAGGUUUGGACAAAUAUAUGAUGGAGGUGGAUGCCUAUUGAAGCUGUCAAAGUAUAACACUAGAGGUUUUUGCUACAACUUGAAAAGUAUUAGCAUCAAUCAAAUUAUUAUAUUUAUUUUUCUCAAUUUAAAAAUUUAAGAUUUGUAUUAAUAUUCUCUCAUUUUUACAAAAAAUAAAAUAAAAUUAUUCCUCCUAAUUUCUUUUUAGUUAAUCUAAAUAAAACAUUGUAAUUGAAGUUUAGUAUUUCAAAAUGUACAAUAAUUUAGUAAUAAUCAAAUUUGACAUUUGAAAAUCUUACGAGUUGUCACAAGUAAAAAGAAGUUUUUUCAUAACGUAUUACACUUAUACAAAAGUUUUUUUUCGCGAGAAAUUUUUACUAGAACGAUAAUAACAAUAUGAUACGAGAAUGACCAUGGAGAUGGACAUAUGUGAGAUGUAUUAAACCCGAGACUUAGAGAGUGCAAGUGAAGUGCAAAGGAGGGCCUAAAUAGUCUCUGAAACAGUCCACAAACUAUACUCAAAGGACACCUAAAGUGAAGCCUUUGACUAAGGGGCCUUUUGGAUAUUUCACACAAUUUUUGUAACCUACUAUAAAUAGAAUAUGUUAGGUCAUUUACUACUUAGAAUUUGAUGAUAUUUGUAAGUUUUAUGACACUUUGAAACUCUCUCUCUUGUGAGAAUGGCCUCCUUGGCCAAAACUAGAGUGAUACUAGUGUGAAAUCACUAGUGUUGCAUUCAUGGCUUGAUACGUUGGUGUUUAGAGGAGGUAAAGUCCCUCUUGUGUCAACGUAAGAUAUAGGUUAAUCAUUGUAUGUAGUGUUAAGGGUCCAAGAGUACCACAUUCUUGGUUUCUUAGAUUAUAUCAACCCUUUGGUUUAUCUAUCUAUCCCUUUGUUCAUUGUAAUCUUGUAACCAUUAUGUGUUGUUAUCUCAAGUCGUGUUGUGUUGUUGUUCCUUAUAUUGUUUUUGUUCAUCCUUGUUAUUCAUAUUGUUGUUGUUAAUAUAGUUUGGGUGGCUGAUUUGAUGUUCAAAACACCUUGUAUUCUUGUCAUCCUCUUCUUGUUAUUGUUGGCAGUUUGUGUAGCUGUUGGGUUCACAGUUGUGCUUGAAUUAUGGACUGUUUUUGGGCUAAUUUGCUACAUUCCUUGUGUGUAGUGUAUCAUUCUGACCAACUAGUAAUGUGGUGCUUGUUAACUUAUUUUGUGGAGGUUUUAUAGUAUUAAUACACUCUUUAGUUGCUGCAUUAUGAGUUCUGAUUGUGUGAAGUUACUUAUCUUCUUUAUCGUUUAAGUUUGAGUUUGUUAUUUCCGUUUAGUGUCUUGUGCGUGUGGACUAUUUGUGUGUUUGUGGACUAUUUUUGUGCUCUUUUAGAUACCGUUUGGUACCAUUUGGUAUCAAAGCUCAAGGCUUGAUUUUGUUCUAACAAAAUCAAUCUUGGGAAGAUCUUACCAAAGUUAGAAACAUUGUGUUGUUGUUGGACCUUGGCCGAAACUUGUAAUCUUGUGGUGGUGACUUGGCCAAAAGUUUUAUGACUAGAUCUAGUAUAUUUUUACAUUCCUAAUGUGUUUGUAGUAUUGGUUUCUUUCUCCCCAACACUAAAAGUGUCUAGAUCUAAAGUUGAGCAUAUAAUAUUGACUAAUAUGGAGGUGACUUGAAUUUGGCCGUCUGUUGAAGAUUGGUGGACAAUUGGUGUUGUUGUUGUUGUGUUCUUGAGAAGUUGUUGUUAUGUUCUUGAAGUUUUUUAUUGUGUUCAUCUUGUUCACACCUAGUCUUAUAGCUUAAACUACAAAGUGCAAACUUGAUUCAAAAAGGUUAAGUUAAAGUUGUAAAGUUUGUUGGUAUGAAGACUUGAACCAUCAAUUCCUAGACUUGACAUCAACUUUUUCAACUACUAUCCUUAAAUCAAGGAGCCUUGUUUGGUGGAACUAUUACAAGUCAAGAUCUUCUUUUUUUUUUUUAGAAUAAAUUUACAAAAGACUUAAGACUUAUACUUUCCCUCCAACACCAAUUGUCUCUCAUUCUAAAUUGUGUGAAGGUUGAAAAUUUCAAAUUUGUGACUAAGUUUUGUGGGCGCGAGACAAAUUGCAUACUGCCACGUCACCACUUUCUACUGUUCACAUCAAUAAUUAAGCUCAAAUUUGGAUUUUUCUAGUUUCUAAUUGUUGAUUCUUGGUUUCGUUAGUUGAUCCCGGAACUAAUUAACAAACUAGUAAACUCCUGCUAGAUUGUCAAUUCGUUGUUGUGUCUACAUUAUUUUGUGCCUUUCUUGUUUAUGAAUCGUAGAAUUUCUUGGUUCAAGUUUGGACAUAAUUUCCUUGAGUCUUCAAAUAAAGAAUCCAUUCCGACCAAAGAGUAGACUCACCCCUCGACUCAUGACGAACUACAAGUCGACUUACAACAUUUGUGAAUCCAAGUGUGAUAUGAUCAAGUAUGUGAGAGUGUGGUGAGGUUUUUCCAAACUAACUUGUUCUAUGUUUUGUAGGAUUGUUCUUUUCUUUCCUUUUUUUAGGUACAAUUACAAGAGAACCCGCAUCUUCAACCUCUCAACUUAUGGACAACAAUUCCACCAAUGUCAUUUUGGCCUACCUUGACAUUAUGUCCCGAUACCUAACUAUGGAAAAUAAAAGGUUGGAUCAUAUGGUAGGUCAAAGGGAGCAAGUGGGAUGCCCGGAUACACAUCAAGAGGAAGGUCAUAGGUCAUGUGAGCUACGAGGUAAAAACGCUAUCCCCUACACUCCUAUAACUUAGUAUGUUGUGUUAUGGCUAGUAGAAACCAAGUAGGUGUAGUUAUGGCUUUUUCUAGGGUAGAGGUGCUUGAUUCAUCCUUUUGUGACACUCUUGGUGAUGUUAGGUCGCGGGAGGACUAAACUCUUAUUGUAAGUAUGCAAGCACUAGUUGAUCCUUUAGAUGAUGAAAUUGAUUCUUCUCGUAAGAACAAUUUGUGUCCAUCUAGUGCUAGCCCUUAUAACCCGAGUAAGACUCUAUUACCAAUUGACGAGAUUAUUCACACACUAGUUGACCUUUGUGCGAGCGAAGGUGUUCUAUGUUGGUAUGUGAGUUGCCAAUAACUAGUGAGGAUAUGAAUGAAGAUCAACUUACUCAUGAAUGUAUUCCACUCCUUGAGCAUAUGUGUGGUGUACUUGAAAAAUAUCAUGUUAGUGAUGGUGUUUAUAGGGUUGAUCUUGGUAGUGCACGUGACUCUUUGAACAUCUUGUGUGGUAAAAGCCUUGCUAGUAGUUUUGUUCAUAGAGAUCAUGUGUAUGGAAAUAUUGUAAAUGAUGGCAUAUGUAUUUUUGAGGUAGGACUUCUAGGUCGUAUCACUCUAUUCUUGAAUAUUAGUCUUCUCUUAAAGGCAAAUGUCAUACGUGAUUGUUAGAGUGACAUUCUAGGGGAAGGAAGGGUUAGCCUUGGCUUAGACCCUUGGCUACUUCUCUCAUUUGAUCCUGACGCCCUCUCGGAAUGUGGGAAUUUCUACAUUUCCCACUUAAUACUUGUUCAAGCUGACAAGAAAUGUUUGAUUGUGGGGGAUAAUAAAGGAAGGCAAGGUUCUUCCUUACCUCUUUUUGUUGAUGAUUACCUUUUCCUUUGUGCCAUUUAUGCUAAGGUUUUCAUGUUCAGCACAAAGGACUUAUGGGUAUACUCCAAGUAUUUCCCACCUCGGCAUGGCUUGUGAUGUGUGUAUUUUACAAAUCCUAACCCUCAUGUCAUGAGGAUAUUUUUCUUCUUUGUCCUUCUUUUAUUUUUCAAGGAGCGGAUUUGAGGUCGAAUCCUUUUUCAAGAAGGGGAGGAUGAUACUAGAAUGACCACGGAGAUGGACUUAUGUGAGAUGUAUUGAACCCGAGACUUGGAGCGUGCAAGUGAAGUGCAAAGGAGGGCCUAAAUAGUCUCCAAAACAGUCCACAAACCACACUCCAAGGGCACCUAAAGUGAAGCCUUUGACUAAGGGGUCUUUUGGACAUUCCGCAUAAUUUUUGUAACCUACUAUAAAUAGAAUUUGUUAGGUCAUUUACUACAUAGACUUUGAAGAUAUUUGUAAGUUUUAUGACACUUUGAAACUCUCUCUCUUGUGAGAAUGGCCUCCUUGGCCGAAACUAGGGUUAUGCUAGUGUGAAAUCGUUAGUGUUGCAUUCAUGGCUUGAUAUGUUGGUGUUUAGAGGAGGUAAAUUUCCUCUUAUUUCAAUGUAAGAGAUAGGUUAAUCAUUGUAUGUAGUGGUACGGAUCCAAGAGUACUACAUUCUUGGGUUCUUAAGAUUAUAUCAAACCUUUGGUUUAACUAUCUAUCCCUUUUGUUCAUUGUAAUCUUGUAACCAUUAUGUGUUGUAAUCUCAAGUCGUGUUGUGUUGUUGUUCCUCAUAUUGUUUUUGUUCAUUCUUGUUAUUCAUAUUGUUGUUGUUAAUAUAGUUUGGGUGGCUGGUUUGAUGUUCAAAACACUUUGUAUUCUUGUCAUCCUCUUCUUGUUAUUGUUGGCAGUUUGUGUAGCUGUUGGGUUUACAGUUUGUGCUUGAAUUAUGGACUAUUUUGGUACAUUCCUUGUAUGUAGUGUAUCAUAGUAUGAAUUUAAUUGAUCACAAAUUUAUAAUGUUUGAAUAGUGAAAGCUUUACAAUAUACUCUAUGGCUGGAAAAAUAUUUUUGUGUAUAUUGAUAUAAUACUACAUGUGUGUUUGGUAUCAUUGUAUAAAAUCCUAAUAUUCUACAAUCGAGUUUCAUACAGUCCUUUAAUUAUAUUUUUAAUAUUUUUUAAAAUAUUAAAUUGUAUAUUUAAUAACGUAUUUCAUAACCUUGCAAAGAGCAACUAAAUUUACUAGUUUAUAAAAUAACUGUCACGACCCAAAUCGGGGCCCUAGCCGUGACGAGCAUCCCAAAUUAUGAAAGCUCGGAUGCCCUUCUAACUUGUAAGGACAUACACUAUCCUCAUAUGAAAAAUAUAAUACGGAAAUACCUAAUGAAACGGAAUCAUGGUCAUUAAAUUUGAAUUCAAAUCUUAAUGAAAACUGCAAUUCAAAAAAUCUGAGUUAUAUCUGACUCAGUCUGUGAAAUUUCUACUACAUGCAUCAACCCAACUGUUUGAAAACUAGGACAAGGCUCUCAGUAAACCAAAACAUAAUAAUUAUAAAUUACUAAGUAAUCUAGGCCUUCUGAAAUAUAGAAGGCUCACCACGGAACUCUGCACUUCUAUCUGGAGAAACCCUACUACUUAUGGGGACUCCUAGAUUGAGCCUCAGAACUUGGAAGGGAGGGAGGUCAACACAGAUGUAUUGGUACGCAGAGAAAUCCAAAAUAAUGUAUUUAUAUAUAACAUAAGUGAGAGCAAUUUAUAAAAAUUUUUACAUAUAAUAUAUGAAAACACAUGGGCACAUUUUAAAAACUUUGAAACAUUUUUUUGAAACCAUGACUCACUCUUUGUCUUAAUUUUGAGCUAGAUGGUACACCCUACAAUCUGAAAUUCUAUGGGAUAUAUGGAAUCCAUCCUUGACUCGAAGGCCAAGCCCCCAAUCCAAGUUUGCUGCAAGGAUUGGAGUAUCUAUAAGGGGGCACGUAAGAUCACACAGCAGGGUGCCAAAAUCCCCAAUCAAAUCAACAUGUCAUGGUAGUGUACAAGAUCACAAAGAAGGGCUCCUAACCAUAGUCCCAAUUUGGGAUGACAUGAAUCAAGGUACACAAGAUCACAAGGCAUGGUAACAAUCCCGUGUUGGCAAAUCACGGUUUUUAGCAUAGAGUCUUUUAACUCGUACCUUCUUCGGGUAACCAUCUAACUUUCUUUAAGCCCAUUUUUAAACCUUUUCUAAACAUGCAUCUUUUUGAAUUUAUAAUAUGAAAAUAUGACUUCAAACAUGUGUUAUAUUCUGUUCUGAAUUACUAUCGCUUUAGCUGAGUUGGUAUCGUCAAACCAAGACUUGCAAGUCCUAUUUCUGAUCCAUAUUGUACAAUGCAUGAUUCUUUAAUUAAAACAUAAUUCAGAUCACCCAAGCAUGCAAAUAGUAUAGAAAAUUUCAUGUUCCGAAAGCACAAGUCAAAACCAUGCUAAGAUUCUCAUUCUUUCAAUAACCAUGUGGUGGUCAUGUAUUUUUGGCAAACAUGCAAUCUUUCAUUAAAAGUGUAUUCAGUAUUUAUCAAUAUGCACAACCCUCUCUUUUGGAUUCAAAAUCAUAUUCAAGUCAUAGCAAUAAUCAAUACAUUUCAAACACAAUUCAUAUCAUAUAAAAUAUGGGAAAAAUCAUAACAAGAGAGGAUUCUUUAGGAUUCAUGCUCUCAAUUGUAUAUUCAUCCUUAAACACAUGCAUACAUAUACGUAGAGUUUCAAAUCAAUUUGGGGGAAGGCCUAAAGACCAAAACAAUAAUGAUCAAGGCUUCUAAAACAUGCUUGUAAUUGUAAAUUCAAAACCCUUUUCUUAAAAAUCAUGAUUUCUAAACCGCUAGCAUGAAUUAAAGAUGGUUUCUUUUCCCAUGAAAUUUUAGGAUAACCCUAUGUACCUUAAUUUAUGACUCUUGAAUGAACUGAGGCUUUAGGGAUGCUAUUCGAACAAUUGAUGGGUGGUUCUUGUAGCACUCACAAUGAGGAUUCUGAAUCUCGAAGAAUUAUUGAAAACCCACAGUGAAAUCUUGAGAUAUUUUGAUCUUUGGGUUGAAAGUUCAUGGUGAUUUUGAGAGAGAAUGACCUUAUUUUGGUGUUUGGGGGAUUUAAUCCCGUGUUAUGCCUGAACAGGGGGUGGAAAUUACCACUUUUUCCCUUAAAAAUGCAAAAACAGGACCUAAAAAUUGGGUGCAUGCGAUAGAGCGUGAGUCACACGCUAAUCGCGCAAUGCUACUGUUUCAGUCACGAAAAUGGCCAUAACUUUUUGCUCAGAUAUCGGAUUUUGGCAUAAAUAGUAUCGUUAGAAAGAUAAUUCGAAGAGAUUUCAUUUAAUAUAUAGUAGGACCUCUAAUUCGUUAUAUACAAAGAGUAAUAGUCGAUUCAAUUUGACCCAAGUUUCGAUGCUCAUUCAAACUCGAAUGAUAGGAAAGUUUUCAACUCGUCCUUGAGUUAGGGUACCUCUAUUAUCUCAAUUCAUGAUCAAAUAGGUUCCCACACUACAUGAUUGAUUAACAUGCCAAAUUUGCAUAGGAUUUAUGGCUUUUGGAUCAUCUACACAUAGAAAUGACGGUUUUCGUUCUAGCCCGAAAUGCGGGGUGUUACAAUAUUGAUAAAGUCUUAGGCUGGCAAGCUGAAAGUCUUGAAAAACAAUUACUAUUAAGAAUAAAAUAAAAAUUUUGAACUUGUAUAAUGACAAAUUAUUUAGACAAAUAAUUUUGAGUAGUUUUCAAAAUCCUCGCUGCCACUCUUGCAAGUAUAUAGUCAAAGUAAGGCAACAAUUAUUAUAUAAGUUAAUAUUCUUCCAAAUUUGAAUUAAGAAAAUAUGACUAUGCUCACAGUCAACUUACAUACAACUAAAAAAAUAUUAGAAAAUUUAUUGUAUGUCCCUAUACCACACUAUAUAUACUUGCUCUUUGUCUUCCAUUUAAGUCAUCAGCUCUCAACUUAAGUGUUACUUACUUGUUUCUUCCAUAUUUAAGUUAAGUGUUACAUUCUUUAUUACUUAAAAUAAGAAGAAAUACUUUCAUAUUUAGCAAUGGCCUCAACGGCAGUUUGCAAUAAUAUAGUUAACCAUAUUGAAGAAGAAGAAGAGAUUGUUCGUCCCAUCGCCAACGUCUCUCCAAGUCUAUGGGGUGAUCAUUUCCUUUCAUUCUCCAUCGACAACCAGGUAAUUAAUUAAUAUUUGCAAUCUUUUCUUCAUAGUACGUUCUUAUUUCUUUGCUUUUAUUAGACAAUGUAGUUUGAUUUCUUUUGUCUUUUGGAUAUAUUGGUAGGUUGAACAAAAGUAUGCUCAACAAAUUGAACUGCUGAAGGAACGAACAAGGAGUAUGCUGUUGGCCACUGGAAUGAAAUUAGUGGAGACAUUGAAUUUGAUUGAUUUUAUUGAACGCCUUGGCAUAGCCUAUCACUUUGAGAAAGAAAUCGAAGAGAUUUUGGAUUGAAUUUACAAUGAAAAUUCAAACUUCGAGGGCGAUGUCUAUAAUGAUGAUCUAUGCACUUAUGCUCUUCAAUUCCGAUUGCUUAGGCAACAUGGUUACAAAAUCUCUCUAAGUAAGUACCUCUUGAAGUUCUACAAGUUCAAUAUUGUCGUAAUCAUAUAUAUAGAUAUAUAAUCCAUUUGAUAUGAUGGCUAAUAUUGUGUAUUCUUCAAUUCAUUGAAAAUCAGAAAUCUUCAGCAAAUUCCUAGAUGGAAAUGACAAACUCAAGGAGUCUCUUGCUAUUGAUGUGCUAGGAUUAUUGAGCUUGUAUGAAGCUUCACAUGUACGGAGUCAUGGUGAAGACAUCUUAGAAGAUGCACUCGCUUUCUCCACAACUCAUCUUGAGUCUGCAGCUCCACAUUUGAACUCUCCUCUUAAGGAGCAAGUGAUGCAUGCCCUUGACCAAUCUUUGCACAAAGGUAUUCCUCCAAUUGAGAUUCAAUUCUUCAUCUCAUCAAUCUAUUACAAGCAGGAAACAAAGAAUGAUAUGUUACUUCGAUUUGCCAAAUUGGAUUACAACAUGCUCCAAAUGCUGCACAAACAAGAACUUGCUGAAGUAUCAAGGUGAGAUUCUAUAAAAAUGGUAUAACCUUUUUGAUUGUUCAUUUAUCAAGUACUGAUGUUAAUUUGUUAUUCUGCAGGUGGUGGAAAGAUUUGAAUUUCGUGAACACACUUCUAUAUGCUAGAGAUAGAGUAGUUGAAUGCUACUUUUGGGCAUUAGGAGUAUAUUAUGAGCCUCAAUAUUCUCAAGCACGUGUCAUGCUCGUUAAGACCAUAGCAAUGAUUUCGAUUGUGGAUGACACCUAUGAUGCUUAUGGUACAGUUGAAGAACUUGCCAUAUACACGGACGUCAUACAAAGGUAUGGACAUCACCAAUUCACUUGUUCAAAUAUACCUUGAAAGAGA
rnacentral:lncRNA from 1 species